GAUUUUAACCGAGUUGUAAACGAAGAUGAAGUUUUGAAAAGGAAAAUGGUAAUAGUUGGCUUAUGGUGCAUACAAACUGAUCCCACAACUAGACCAUCAAUGAGCAGGGUUAUAGAAAUGUUAGAAGGGAACGUGGAAUCUCUUCAAAUCCCACCAAAACCCUACUUACAGCCAAGAGCAGCAGAAAAUUUUUCAACUAUUGAGUCGUCAGUCACUCUCUUCUAAGUUCAUGAAGUUUAGCUUCCUGGAAUCCCAUGGUGUUUAGUAGCUCCUAGUCACCAAGCUAUAUAGGCAGUUACCUAUGUUGUUUUUGCUAUUGUAAUUUUUAUGCUCUAACACCUCCACUACAUUGCUUUAUUCAAUAUAAAACCAAGUCAAACACAAUCUAAUCACAAAUUUUCUGAUGAUACAAAAUACAAUGAAGAUACUCUAUUCUUGUAUUAUAAAUUUGUUGACUCCACUUAAUGGCAUUCUUCAUUUUCCUGUUCACUACACAAGUUUUUUAGAACAAAAUAUCUUUCGUAUAGAAUAUGGCAACCACAGCUCCAGCUCCUAAGAACUUGGCUGUUGGUAGACGAAGUUUUUUUGAGGAUACAGCAGUACAUAGAUAUGCCCAAACCCAUCGGGAAAGGAAAUGUAGCUUGCAAGUCGACUGAAACUUUUGUGGGGAAAAUUCCUAUACAUGGCAAAGCAGAGUGGAGAUCGAGGUCAAUUGCACAGAGAUAAAGGAAACUAGUCAAGCUGAAAGUAAGCACACGCAAUAAAAUAUAAAACCAUAGUUAGUAGUAAGCAGUGCAAUUGCUGGUACAUUUCUCUAUGUAGGAUUUCAAUACAAACAAUCACAGGGAAGUCGUCCAACCUAAGGUAGUUUUUGGUAAGUUCUUAAAGGAGAAGCUUUCCUCAUGGGCUCAUAUUUUAGCCACAUUUCCAGCAAACUCAGCAAGACUGCUAUUGAAAUUUUCUAGAGAGAAAUCCUGCAUGGUUCAGAGGAAAGAUUGGAUUUCUACUGUAAUAAGCCCAGUAACAGUGCAAAGACAGCAGAUUUUUGGAUUUUCUGCCAUUAUGAUUUACAUAGAACAAAAGCGUACACGUACAAAAAUGUAAAAUAGGACAUGAGAAUUAACAAAUGCAAAACAGGAAAUGCAAAAAAUUCGAGAAGAAAGGCAGAUGAAUGCUACCUUUGGUAAUUUAUCCUGCUGAGCUAGAUGAUCCACAUGGAGUCUCACAUUUGAUGAGGCAGGAAGCCAGAGACUGCGAUCAACAUCAGCUUACGUAAAUGCAACAAUGUCAAAUAACGUCUCAAGGUUUGUUAAAUUUCUUCUUGGAGAUCAAGCUUGGCAUUCAUGAGUUUAAUGUUUUUUUUUCUGUCCUAUUGAGCUUGAUUACGGAUAUCAUUCCAAUUCCCAGGUACACCAUGACUUCCACCCCUGGGUCUAUAGGAAAUAAAGUUUCCCCCAUGGAAGAUCUUGUAGGUUUCUGGCUUUAAGAAUGAGGCUGUGAAGAAGUUGAAGCUUUUCUCUAAAGUUCAGUUUUUUGACUUUUCUCCAUGUUUUGCCACUGUUUGGCUUACAAUAAAAUCAAAUUUUUAGUAUAUUUUGAUAAAAAUUGAUGGAACGAGUUAAUUAAAAAAUUAUCCACUCUUUCAUCUGAUCAUCCCUUAGCAAUUUCCUCUUCUUGAUUUUUCAUAUAAUCUUCAAUCGCCACAGAAUCAUUCGAUUUAAUAUUGGUCAGAUUGCAUGUGCAUGUUUGUAAAAUAUUUAAUUACCUCGACAGUGAAAUCCAAGGUCCCUAAUUAAGUAUGAAUAAUCUAAAUAAACCGUCACCUUAUACCAAUAAGUUAAUUAAAUUAAUGAUUAACCAACAUAAGUAGCCAAUCAAUGACUAGAAAUAUGCCAUUUGUCCCCAACGACCUGUUUCAAAUUGGCACACCCGACUCCAUGUUCUAGAAGGUUAGGUGGGUGGAGUCGAGUUAGAUGUAACUAUCCAAUAGACUAUACACCACUAGUCUAUAUAGAUAAAAGGUCAAUAUGCCCCUUCAUAUGAACCUUCAGGUGAUUUAUCCUCCGUCAAUCUAUGCCAAUAUUUUGAACAAGUUCAUUCCCAUCACAAAAGAAGCAAAACCAGAUUUUGCAAUAUAACUACAUUGCUUUAUUCAAUAUAAAACCAANNNNNNNNNNNNNNNNNNNNNNNNNNNNNNNNNNNNNNNNNNNNNNNNNNNNNNNNNNNNNNNNNNNNNNNNNNNNNNNNNNNNNNNNNNNNNNNNNNNNNNNNNNNNNNNNNNNNNNNNNNNNNNNNNNNNNNNNNNNNNNNNNNNNNNNNNNNNNNNNNNNNNNNNNNNNNNNNNNNNNNNNNNNNNNNNNNNNNNNNNNNNNNNNNNNNNNNNNNNNNNNNNNNNNNNNNNNNNNNNNNNNNNNNNNNNNNNNNNNNNNNNNNNNNNNNNNNNNNNNNNNNNNNNNNNNNNNNNNNNNNNNNNNNNNNNNNNNNNNNNNNNNNNNNNNNNNNNNNNNNNNNNNNNNNNNNNNNNNNNNNNNNNNNNNNNNNNNNNNNNNNNNNNNNNNNNNNNNNNNNNNNNNNNNNNNNNNNNNNNNNNNNNNNNNNNNNNNNNNNNNNNNNNNNNNNNNNNNNNNNNNNNNNNNNNNNNNNNNNNNNNNNNNNNNNNNNNNNNNNNNNNNNNNNNNNNNNNNNNNNNNNNNNNNNNNNNNNNNNNNNNNNNNNNNNNNNNNNNNNNNNNNNNNNNNNNNNNNNNNNNNNNNNNNNNNNNNNNNNNNNNNNNNNNNNNNNNNNNNNNNNNNNNNNNNNNNNNNNNNNNNNNNNNNNNNNNNNNNNNNNNNNNNNNNNNNNNNNNNNNNNNNNNNNNNNNNNNNNNNNNNNNNNNNNNNNNNNNNNNNNNNNNNNNNNNNNNNNNNNNNNNNNNNNNNNNNNNNNNNNNNNNNNNNNNNNNNNNNNNNNNNNNNNNNNNNNNNNNNNNNNNNNNNNNNNNNNNNNNNNNNNNNNNNNNNNNNNNNNNNNNNNNNNNNNNNNNNNNNNNNNNNNNNNNNNNNNNNNNNNNNNNNNNNNNNNNNNNNNNNNNNNNNNNNNNNNNNNNNNNNNNNNNNNNNNNNNNNNNNNNNNNNNNNNNNNNNNNNNNNNNNNNNNNNNNNNNNNNNNNNNNNNNNNNNNNNNNNNNNNNNNNNNNNNNNNNNNNNNNNNNNNNNNNNNNNNNNNNNNNNNNNNNNNNNNNNNNNNNNNNNNNNNNNNNNNNNNNNNNNNNNNNNNNNNNNNNNNNNNNNNNNNNNNNNNNNNNNNNNNNNNNNNNNNNNNNNNNNNNNNNNNNNNNNNNNNNNNNNNNNNNNNNNNNNNNNNNNNNNNNNNNNNNNNNNNNNNNNNNNNNNNNNNNNNNNNNNNNNNNNNNNNNNNNNNNNNNNNNNNNNNNNNNNNNNNNNNNNNNNNNNNNNNNNNNNNNNNNNNNNNNNNNNNNNNNNNNNNNNNNNNNNNNNNNNNNNNNNNNNNNNNNNNNNNNNNNNNNNNNNNNNNNNNNNNNNNNNNNNNNNNNNNNNNNNNNNNNNNNNNNNNNNNNNNNNNNNNNNNNNNNNNNNNNNNNNNNNNNNNNNNNNNNNNNNNNNNNNNNNNNNNNNNNNNNNNNNNNNNNNNNNNNNNNNNNNNNNNNNNNNNNNNNNNNNNNNNNNNNNNNNNNNNNNNNNNNNNNNNNNNNNNNNNNNNNNNNNNNNNNNNNNNNNNNNNNNNNNNNNNNNNNNNNNNNNNNNNNNNNNNNNNNNNNNNNNNNNNNNNNNNNNNNNNNNNNNNNNNNNNNNNNNNNNNNNNNNNNNNNNNNNNNNNNNNNNNNNNNNNNNNNNNNNNNNNNNNNNNNNNNNNNNNNNNNNNNNNNNNNNNNNNNNNNNNNNNNNNNNNNNNNNNNNNNNNNNNNNNNNNNNNNNNNNNNNNNNNNNNNNNNNNNNNNNNNNNNNNNNNNNNNNNNNNNNNNNNNNNNNNNNNNNNNNNNNNNNNNNNNNNNNNNNNNNNNNNNNNNNNNNNNNNNNNNNNNNNNNNNNNNNNNNNNNNNNNNNNNNNNNNNNNNNNNNNNNNNNNNNNNNNNNNNNNNNNNNNNNNNNNNNNNNNNNNNNNNNNNNNNNNNNNNNNNNNNNNNNNNNNNNNNNNNNNNNNNNNNNNNNNNNNNNNNNNNNNNNNNNNNNNNNNNNNNNNNNNNNNNNNNNNNNNNNNNNNNNNNNNNNNNNNNNNNNNNNNNNNNNNNNNNNNNNNNNNNNNNNNNNNNNNNNNNNNNNNNNNNNNNNNNNNNNNNNNNNNNNNNNNNNNNNNNNNNNNNNNNNNNNNNNNNNNNNNNNNNNNNNNNNNNNNNNNNNNNNNNNNNNNNNNNNNNNNNNNNNNNNNNNNNNNNNNNNNNNNNNNNNNNNNNNNNNNNNNNNNNNNNNNNNNNNNNNNNNNNNNNNNNNNNNNNNNNNNNNNNNNNNNNNNNNNNNNNNNNNNNNNNNNNNNNNNNNNNNNNNNNNNNNNNNNNNNNNNNNNNNNNNNNNNNNNNNNNNNNNNNNNNNNNNNNNNNNNNNNNNNNNNNNNNNNNNNNNNNNNNNNNNNNNNNNNNNNNNNNNNNNNNNNNNNNNNNNNNNNNNNNNNNNNNNNNNNNNNNNNNNNNNNNNNNNNNNNNNNNNNNNNNNNNNNNNNNNNNNNNNNNNNNNNNNNNNNNNNNNNNNNNNNNNNNNNNNNNNNNNNNNNNNNNNNNNNNNNNNNNNNNNNNNNNNNNNNNNNNNNNNNNNNNNNNNNNNNNNNNNNNNNNNNNNNNNNNNNNNNNNNNNNNNNNNNNNNNNNNNNNNNNNNNNNNNNNNNNNNNNNNNNNNNNNNNNNNNNNNNNNNNNNNNNNNNNNNNNNNNNNNNNNNNNNNNNNNNNNNNNNNNNNNNNNNNNNNNNNNNNNNNNNNNNNNNNNNNNNNNNNNNNNNNNNNNNNNNNNNNNNNNNNNNNNNNNNNNNNNNNNNNNNNNNNNNNNNNNNNNNNNNNNNNNNNNNNNNNNNNNNNNNNNNNNNNNNNNNNNNNNNNNNNNNNNNNNNNNNNNNNNNNNNNNNNNNNNNNNNNNNNNNNNNNNNNNNNNNNNNNNNNNNNNNNNNNNNNNNNNNNNNNNNNNNNNNNNNNCCAAUACUAACCCGAUUUUGGAUCUUGAACCCCAAGAAUUGAACCAAGAAACCCUAGAUUAGCGAAGAACCUAAAACCCCUUGAUUACAAUUGAAAGAACCCACAAUCCGAUUGAUAGAACGCCACAAGAAGUUGAAUCUUGAUAAGUUCCAAGAUUGUUCAAGAAGAACAAUAAAUUGAAAGAAGAAAUUUCUCUCUCUAUAAUAUUAAUUCAAAAGUCAAAAGUUCAAAGGUUUUUUUACAAUCAAAAGUAAUCUCCUAUUUAUACUAAUGAAUAAAAAUGCCCAAAACCAUCAAAUUAUGGUAAUAAUUUGAUUCCAUAAGAAUUCUAUCGAAACUAGGAAAUUCGGCCAAAAAUAAAAAAAUCACCAAUUUUUUUGGCCCAUGCCGCCACAUGGUAUAAAUCCAUGUGGUCGCAUGGUUUAACUUGAGUUGGAGUUUUGGUUUUUGGGAACCAUGGGUGCGGCCGCAUGUAAUUUUGCCUGGGAGGCCGCAUGGUCUUGAUUUCUUCCUCCGCUUUCGUCACUUGAUAACAAAUUGAUCCAAGUCGAUUCGGCUUUCGACCCGAACAUGAAAGUUGCUCCAUUUUGAGUCCCGAACAUGGUUCCAUCCAUGGUUUCUUGAACGAGCAAUCCCAUCGCUUGUUUCACUUGCUUUGCCCUUGAUAUCGUCAUUGGUCGACCAUCAACUAUCAACGGGUCUUGUCUCGCACUUGCCUGGAUCAUAUCAUCCCCUCCUCUUCAAAAGGAUUUGUCCUCGAAUCUGAACCUACAUCAAACAGAGAGAGAUCAGAUACAUUAAAAGUAGCUGAAACAUUAUACUCACCUGGUAAAUCCACUUUGUAUGCAUUGUCAUUGAUCCUCUCGAUGAUUUUGACUUCCUCUGUUAUGGAAAACGCUCUUUUCUGAAAUGCACCCAGACCCAAUCUCCAGGCUCAAAUGUAACGCGUCUUCUUCUUUUAUUUGCUUUUGAUGCAAUCAGCUUUCCUUUCUCUUCGAUCUGCAUCCUGACCUUUUCAUGGAGUGUUUUCACCAUCUCGAAUUUUCGUUUCCCAUCCAAGCUACCUCGUUCAUGCACAGGGAAAGACAUUAAAUCCAUAGGUGUUAGUGGAUUAAAACCAUAAACAAUUUCAAAAGGAGAAAACGAAGUAGUAGAAUGUGUAGCUCGAUUAUAUGCAAACUCUAUAAACGGUAAACACUCUUCCCAUGAUUUCAGAUUUUUAUUGAUUAUUGUCCUAAGUAGUUGAGUCAUAGUUCGAUUAACUACCUCAGUUUGUCCAUCUGUUUGUGAGUGACAAGUUGUAGAAAAUAAUAACUUAGUUCCUAACUUACUCCACAGAACACGCCAAAAAUGACUCAAAAACUUCACGUCCCUAUCAGACACUAUACGUUUAGGUACUCCAUGUAAACGUACUAUUUUCCUAAAGAAUAAGUCUGCAAUAUUAGUAGCAUCGUCAGUUUUAUGACAUGGUAUGAAGUGCGCCAUCUUACUAAACCUAUCGACCACUACAAAUAUUGAAUUCCGACCCCCUUUUGUCUUAGGUAAACCUAACACAAAGUCCAUAGAUAUGUCUACCCAAGGUUCACUAGGUACAGGCAAAGGAGUAUACAAACCAUGGGGUUGAACCUUAGACUUAGCCUUUUUACAAGUUAUGCACUUUCCACAUAUUUGUUCUACGUCAUGUCACAUUUUAGGCCAAUAAAAAUGUUCCCCUAACAUGUCUAAAGUCUUUUGAACCCCUAAGUGUCCUACUAAACUUCCCCCAUGUGCUUCCCUUACCAAUAAUUCACACAAGGAACAAUUAGAAAUGCACAACUUAUUUUCCCUAAACAAAUAUCCUUCAUGCCUAUAGAAUUUAUCAAAUGCACCUUUAUCACAUGAAGCAUAAAUACUAGAAAAAUCACAAUCAGAUUCAUACAUGCCCUUAAUAUGCUCGAAACUAAGUAAUUUAGUACUUAAUAAAUUUAAAAGCACAUACCUUGGAGACAACGCAUCAGCAACUAUAUUUUCGUUACCUUGUUUGUACUUGAUGACGUAGAAAAAUGUCUCGAUAAACUCCACCCAUCUAGCAUGUCUUUUGUUCAACUUACCUUGACCUCGCAAAUGCUUCAAAGAUUCAUGAUCGGUGUGUAUCACGAAUUCCUUUGGCCAUAAGUAGUGCUGCCAAGUCUCUAAUGCUCGAACAAGUGAAUAUAGCUCCUUGUCAUAUGUCGGAUAAUUCAAUGCUGCCCCACUCAACUUUUCGCUAAAGUAAGCAAUAGGUCUCCUUUCCUGCAUUAACACUGCUCCUAUACCUAUUUCUGAUGCAUCACACUCAACCUCGAAUGUUUUAUCAAAAUUUGGUAAUGCCAAAACAGGUGCUUUACAUAGCUUAUCCUUAAUUGUGUUAAAUGCAAUUUCUUGAGAUUCUCUCCAACGAAAACCUACACUCUUUUUUACUAUUUCAGUCAACGGUGUGGUGAUGGUGCUAAAAUCUCUUACAAAUCGCCUAUAAAAACUAGCCAAUCCAUGAAAACUCCUAACUUCAGUUAUAGUCUUAGGUGUUGGCCAUUCUUUAAUAGCUUUUAUCUUUUCUUCAUCGACUUCCACCCCGUUAGCACUAACCACAAAUCCUUGGAAAACAACUCUAUCCAUGCAAAAUGUGCACUUUUUGAAAUUAGCAUAUAGUUGUUCCUUUCGCAACACAACAAGCACACAAUUUAAAUGUUCUAAAUGCUCAUCUAGGUUUUUGCUAUAGAUUAAGAUGUCAUCAAAAUAAACUACAAAAAAUUUCCCAAUAAAAGCACGCAAAAGAUGGUUCAUUAAACGCAUAAAAGUGCUCGGUGCAUUAGUGAGUCCAAACGGCAUAACUAACCAUUCAUACAAUCCAUACUUAGUUUUAAACGCCAUUUUCCAUUCAUCACCCUCCUGCAUGCGUAUUUGAUGAUACCCACUUUUAAGAUCAAUCUUACUAAAAAUGCAAGCACCAUGCAACUCAUCAAGCGUAUCAUCUAGCUUAGGUAUGGGGUGACGAUACUUUACCGUGAUAUUGUUAAUAGCUCGGUAAUCCACGCACAUUCUCCAAGUCCCGUCCUUCUUAGGCACCAACAAAACAGGUAUAGCACAUGGACUCAUGCUCUCCCUGACAUAACCUUUGCUCAUCAACUCCUCCACUUGCUUUUGAAGCUCCUUCGUCUCCUCAGGAUUGUUUCGGUAAGCUGGUCGAUUUGGUAUGAUAGCUCCGGGUACAAAGUCAAUCUGGUGCUCGAUGCCUCUGAUUGGUGGCAAUCCACUUGGCAUCUCCUCAGGAAACACAUCGUCGAACUCUUGCAAUAAAGACUUAAUCAAACUAGGGAGGGAUGUGUUAGAAUCCUCAAAAUUGAGGAGGGACUCCUUGUACACUAACAAUAUCAUUUGCCUAUUAUCGCUCAUAGCCUUUUUCAACUCACUCUCUUUUGCAUAGAAGUUGACCCUUGGCUUUUCUCUCCGCUCAGCUGACUCUUUUUCUCUCCUCUCAACUGACUCUUUUUCUCUUCGCUCAUGUGGCUUCUCUCUCUUUUCUCCACUCUCAGCCACCUCACUAUUUUCUCUCUUAUUGAUGAUUUCACUAUUGCCUCUCCUUUUUCCUGACUCUCUUAUUCUCUCGUCUUCCUCACUUUUUAGCUUAAUUUGAUCUCCAUACACUUGUACCGGUGUUAAUGGUGCAAGAGUAAUAGUCUUCCCAUCUUUGACAAAGCUAUAACGAUUCCUAUAUCCAUCAUGUGUGACCCUUCUAUCAUAUUGCCAUGCCCUUCCUAAUAAGAUAUGACCCAAAUGCAUAGGCACCACAUCACAUACUACUUUGUCACUAUAACUCCCAAUUGAGAAAUUAAUUAAAACUCUCUAACUUCCCCACUUUCAUUCAACCAUUGCAACUUAUAAGGCCUAGGGUGCCUUAACAAUGCUAGUCCUAAUUUCUCAACUAAAGUUGUACUAGCUACAUUCGUGCAACUCCCACAAUCAAUAAUCAUACUACAUACCUUAUCGUUGACGUAACAACGUGUGUGGAAUAUAUUUUAUCGCUGCUACUUCGAAUCAUCCACUUUGACUUGAGUGUUAAGAGCUCUCCUUGACACCAACGAUUCCCCAACAGCAAACUCCAAUUUUUCUUCUUCUUCAACGUCCUCCAAUGCAGGCAUGCCCUCAAACUCUCCUUCACUUUCACUCACCACUUUUCCUUAUCCAACAAAAUCAUUACCCGUUUAUUUGGGCAUUGAGAAGCAAUGUGCCCUGACCCCAAGCAUCUGAAACACUUGAUGUCUCGAUUCCUUGAUGGUUGUGAAUCUGUUUUGGGUGCUGUUUUGCUAGCACUUUCUUCUUUCCCUUUCUGCCACUCAUUCCUACCUUUAGGUACAGCUUUAUCACCUUUGUUGUUGUUGUUGUUCCACCCUGGCUUCCAAGAUGGAUUAACACUUGAAGUUCCUAACGGCUGCCUAGCUGCCCCUUUCCUCUUCAGUUGUCUCUCUACCUUCAUAGCCACAUGCAACAUGUCUUCCAACUCCACAUAAUGUUGCAACUCCACUACAUUAGCAAUUUCCCUAUUCAACCCAUUCAAGAAUCGUGCCAUUGGUAGCCUCCCGAUCCUCCACCACAUUGGCCAUAAUCAUGAGUAUUUCUAUCUCCUUAUGAUAGUCCUCUACACUUUUCGACCCUUGAUAUAGACCUUGCAGUUUUUGAUGGAUCUCUCGGUAAUAGUGGCUAGGAACAAACCUCUUUCUCAUCAACGACUUCAAUUCCUCCCAAGUGCUGAUUGGUCUUCCCCCACUCCUAUGUUGUGAAGUAAUCACUUGAUCCCACCAUGAAAUUGUAUAGUCACUGAACUCCAAAACUGCUAACUUCACCUUUUUCUCCUCCGAAUAGUUAUAACACUCGAAGAUCAUUUCAACCUUCCUUUCCCACUCUAGGUAUGCCUCGGGAUCACUCCUUUUUGAAUGAAGGAACUGUCAUUUUUAUAUUUUCCAAGUUUCCAUCCAACUUCUCCCCGCGAUCAUUCCGAUCUCGUCUGUCGAACCUAUUGCCUCUAUUCCUCACCUUUCCCAUCUCAAUACCGUGAAAUUCAUCUUCGCCCAUGUCACUCCCAUAUCCAUACUCCUCUCGCCUUUCCCUCCUAGGCUCCCAUCUAUCCGGUCCUCUGACAUUGGAUACAUCCACUCGAUGCCCCCGACUAAGAUUAGCCACCGAUGUAUCUAAUCUAUUCAUCUAAGCCUCCUGCUUCUCCAACCUAUCUCUCACAUCUCCAAACGCCCUCUCAAACCUUUGCACUAAAUCCUCCGUUGCAUUGCUAUUAUUGCCUUGUCAGCUUGAGUUUGAUUCUGCCAUUUCUGACAUCCUAACAUUAAAAUUUUAUUUUACUGCCUCACCAAAAGUCACUCAGAAACACACACACAUGGCUUUUACCCUCCAUUAAGCUCACCUCUCUGCCUUUUACCACUCAAUUCUUUCAACAAUUGCUUCUAGGAACAAUCAAUGAACUCAAUCAAUCAAUCAAUUCGUGUAGAAUUUCCCAAACCGGAUGUGACUCAAUAAUUGUAACAAAGGACUCAAAGAAAACUUUUACAACUUGAUUUAAAUCGAAGAAAUGGAAUGAUUCAAUGUGUCCAAUUAAUUUAGAAACGAUAAUGAAUAAUAAAAAGUUGGUAUUUGACGGAUCAAUAAUAUUUAACAAGGUUUUUUUUUAGAUCCGGAAAUCAAUAACAAAACCAACAAAGAAAACGAAAACUGAUUUGGGUGAAAAUUGAACCCAAAAAUAGAAUUUGAAGAUUUUUGAUGAAACUUUUGGAUCAAGGAUCAAGAAAAAACCUUUUGGACACAAGAACACAAGAAAUUGAAAAAAUUUAGAAAACAAAGGAUAUAACCUGAUUAAAUUGGAGCCAAAGCUCUGAUACCAACUGAUGCGAACCUCGUAGCAAUGAAAACUACGAAAUCCACAAUGAGAUUGAUGCGGAACCCAAGAAUGCCAAUACUAACCCGGUUUUGGAUCUUGAACCCAAGAAUUGAACCGAGAAACCCUAGAUUAGCGAAGACCUAAAACCCCUUGAUUACAAUUGAAAGAACCCACAAUCCGAUUGAUAGAACGCCACAAGAAGUUGAAUCUUGAUAAGUUCCAAGAUUGUUCAAGAAGAACAAUAAAUUGAAAGAAGAAAUUUCUCUCUCUAUAAUAUUAAUUCAAAAGUCAAAAGUUCAAAGGUUUUUUUAAAAUCAAAAGUAAUCUCCUAUUUAUACUAAUGAAUAAAAAUGCCCAAAACCAUCAAAUUAUGGUAAUAAUUUGAUUCCAUAAGAAUUCUAUCGAAACUAGAAAAUUCGGCCAAAAAUAGAAAAAUUGCCAAUUUUUUUGGCCCAUGCGAUCGCAUGGUUUAACUUGAGUUGGAGUUUAGGUUUUCGAGAGCCAUGUGUGCGGCCGCAUGGUCUUGAUUUCUGCCUCCGCUUUCGUUACUUGAUAACAAAUUGAUCCAAGUCGAUUUGGCCUUUGACCCGAACAUGAAAGUUGCUCCAUUUUGAGUCCCGAACAUGGUUCCAUCCAUGGUUUCUUGAACAAGAAAUCCCAUUGCUUGUUUCACUUGCUUUGCCCUUGAUCGCGUCAUUGGUCUGCCAUCAACUAUCAACGGGUCUCGUCUCGCACUUGCCUUCGUCGGGCUCGACUCCUGGAUCAUAUCACUUAGGACUGGUAAUGGUCUAGAGUUUUGCAAUGCUAAAUUUGAUCAGUUGUGCAAAGAGGCUGGUAUUAAAAGGCAUAAAACCCCCUAUACACCUCAGCAGAAUGGAGUGGCUGAGAGGAUGAAUAGAACCUUACUAGAUAAGGUUAGGUGCAUGUUGAUAGGUUCACGUGUUCCUAAGGUUUUAUGGGGUGAAGCGAUAAUAACAGCUUCAUAUAUUGUUAAUAGGACCCCCUCAAGUGCUCUAGGUGAUAAGACCCCUGAAGAGUUAUGGACAGGACAUGUGCCUGAUUAUUCCCACUUAAGAUUUUUUGGUUCUGCUGCCUAUUCCCAUUAGAGUAUAGGAAAACUAGAACCUAGGGCCUAAAAAUGUGUUUUCUUGGGAUAUCCUGAUAGGGUUAAAGGUUAUAGACUAUGGAGUAAAGAGUCUAAAGGUUUCAAAAUCAUUUCCAGCAGAGAUGUUACUUUUGAUGAAUAAAAAAUGCAUUGUUUAGAAAAUAAGGAGCCAAGAGGGUUAUCUGGUGAUGAAAAGUGUGAUAGUAUCAAACUGUAGGUGGAGCUUAGCUUACCUACUGAACCUAUUGAUCAUGAACAGGUAGAGAAAGAAGCUGAAACAGCUUCUGGUCCUCAAGGUAAUGAAGAGGAAAGUGUUCAAGAAAAUCUGGAAAAUCAACCUGAUAAAUUGGGGAAUUACCAAUUAGCUAGAGAUAGGACUAGGAGAGAAGUAAGAGAGCAUGUUAGGUAUGAGGAUUACCUUUCACUUGCUGUUUUGUCCUAUCAAGACUUAGUGUUUAAAGAACCAAAAUCUUAUGAAGAGGUUAUGAGCAACAAGCAAUAUGAAAAUUGGCAUGCUGCUAUGAUAGAUGAAAUGUACUCCUUAAUGAAAAAUAAGACCUGGACUUUAGUUCCUAAACCUUCUGGUAAGACCCUUGUUGAUUGCAAAUGGAUCUUUAGUAUUAAGGAGGGAAACACUAAAAAGAUGCCCAUAAGAUUUAAGGCUAGACUUGUAGCGAAGGACACAAAAAGAGGGCAUAUACUACAAUGAGAUUUUUUCUCCUGUGAUUAAAUAUAUUACAAUUAGAGUUAUGCUUGUUCUUGUUGCUCAUUAUGAUUUUGAACUUGAACAAAUGGACGUGAAAACUGCCUUCUUGCAUGGUGACCUUGAUGAAGUGAUUUAUAUGAGACAACCACUUGGUUUUAUUAAUGAAUCUAAAUCUGAUCAUGUAUGUUUGUUAAAAAGAUCAUUAUAUGACUUAAAGCAAUCUCCACGAUAAUGAUACAAAAGGUUUGAUAAUUUUGUAUCUACUAUUAAUCUUAUAAAAAGUGAAUUUUAUCAUUGUCUUUAUUUUGAAAGAAAUGAUGAAAAUGUUAUUGUUGCCUUUGUACUUCUUUAUGUGGAUGAUAUGUUGCUGAUUGGUCAGAAUAUGCAUGUUGUUAAUCAAAUAAAAAGAUCUUUAAGUACUGAAUUUGAAAUGAAAGACCUAGGACAUGCAAAGAGAAUUUUAGAGAUCGAAAUCACUAGGAAAAGGCACCAUAGGUUACUGAACUAGAGGCAAACUUUAUAUGUGGAAAAAACGUUGACUAAGUUUGCCAUGCAUAACUCUAAAUCAGUUUCACUUCCCUUGGCCAGCCAUUUUGAACUUAGUAAAGAGAAAUUUCCUGUAGAAGAAUCUGACAUUAGACAAAUAGAAAAAAUACCCUAUGCUAAUGCAGUAGGAUGUGUCAUGUACACCAUGGUUUGUACUAGGCCUGAUGUAGCUCAUUCUAUUAGCACACUUAGUAGAUUUAUGGCCAAUUCAGGACUAGAACAUUGGGUUGCUCUAAAAUGGCUAUUGAGAUAUUUGAAAGGAUCUUCACAUCUUGGUUUGACUUUUAGUGCCUAUAAUGAAGGUGUUGUACUUAAGGGUUUCAUAGAUUCAGAUUUUGUCAGAGAUAGAGACAAUAAAAAAUCUACUGCUGCUUAUAUGUUUACUUUGUGUAAUACAUGUAUUAAUUGAAAAUCACAACUUCAACCUAUUGUUGCUUUAUCUACUACUGAAGUUGAGUAUGUUGCUGCAACUGAAGCAAUAAAAGAAGCCUUAUGGCUUAAGGGCUUGUUAUCUGAAAUAAAUGAAUUAAGGAACCCUAUUGUUCUAUAUUCAGACAAUCGAAGUGCAAUUCACCUAUGUAAGAACCCUAUUUUUCAUGAAAGAACCAAACAUAUUGACGUUAAGUUGCAUUUUAUUAGAGAUGUUAUUUCUAAAGAAAGAGUGUUACUUGAAAAAAUUGCAACUCAGUUUAAUCCAGCUGAUUUAGAGACUAAGGUAAUACCUCUUAACAAGUUUAAGUCCUGUUUACAAAUUUUGAACAUUAAUGCUGGUUAAUUUUUUUAAAUCUGUAUAGGUGCUAAACCUGAUGCCUGUUGGAAAUAUUGGGAAGCUGCAUUCUUGGGAAUAAAGAUAUAAAUUACAUUUAUUAGGCUUCUUGUAUGACCAUUGGUAUCAAGGUGGAAAUUUGUUGGGCUGUGAUGCCAAUGUCCUAUCCAACAUAGGCUGUGAUGAUAAAGAAUGCCCAAUAUGGAGUGAGAUGGCCCACUUAACCAAGCCCAAUAAUUCAGUCCACUCUUAGUCGCUCUGGAGUCGUUGGAUUAAAAUACUGAUCAAUGGCUGAUGGUUUUAACUAUAAAUAAGACCAUUUUCUUUGACCUAGAGAUUGAAUCAUCAUUUUUCUUCUCUUUCUGGAACCUUCAAGGGCUUUCUGUCACUGUGAUUUUUCAUCUUCUCUUUGUGAGAUUAUCUAGUGUUUAUCUUUGUGAUAAUCGAGUCCUUGAUCUGAGAACUCUCUGUGUGAGUAAACUGUUGAGAAGUGGUCUAUCAAUUUUCAUGUUCCAUUGUAGCGACUAUGAAGUUGGGAUUGUGAGGGUCUAUGGUUGAAUUUGGUGCCUCUGUGAUGCUCCUUAGAGGUUUAUGGUCUGAGACUAUGAAAGAUCAAAACUAGAUGCAGUGGUUUUAGAUUUUUAUGUAAAGUUCUCUAUUAUAUUUGUUGUACAGUUUGGAUCUUGAAUUUAUAUUCUUCUAUGGUAUCUUACCCUACACAAUGAUCACCCCCUAUCAGUGAGUGAGUACUAACGUGAAGCAAUAACAUGUGACAAUCUGUAUGCCCCUGAUAAGAUUUCCCAAAAGCAUAAAUUGUUGCAUAUAUCAACAGAAAGGAAACAAAAAUAGAACAUAUCAUAUAUCUCAAAUUUGCAGAUUUCAAAAGAAGCACGGAAGAAAGGAUUAAGUAGCUUGAACAAACAGCCAAAGCAAUAUGCAGGACAAGGACUUGAAAUGAUGUAGGAGGUUCAAGCCCAAGACCAAAGAUAUGAGCCAAGAUUGGCCUGCUGAAGCUCAAUUUAUUUAAACUGGUUAAGCGUCUGGCAGAUAUCAAGAGGCAGAAAUAUUGAGGAAGAGAAAUAAUUGAAAAUUGAACACCGAUUAGAGGAAAAAGGUUUGUCCAUAAAAAUUACAGAAACUGAAAUGAUUCUCAACUGUUGACCACCAUUGCAAAUUUCUUUAGAUCCCAAAACUGGAACGUAGUCAAGUGACCAAUCAUCCUGUAGGAAACGAAUUAUAUUGAUUUUUGAUUAAUUGAUACAAUUUAUAAUAUACAGGCCUUUGUAAAUAAGGAAAAAACUAAUCUCCUAAAAACAGUAGGAAAUAAGUACAUAUUCUAUACUACAAUAAUUAUGGAAUGUAAAAUAUUCUUCAAUCAAUUUUGGCUUCCAUCCUUAUUUGGUAGGAUCCGAUUUUCACACUCCUCCUCAAGUUGGAUCGUAGAUGUUAAUCAUAUCCAACUUGCAUAUGAAAUCAUUCUUGCUUGGUUGAGGUAGUCCCUUGGUAAAUAUAUCUACAACUUGCUCUUGAGUAGGAACAUAAGUCAUGCAAAUGGUUCCUUCCUCAACCUUUUCUAUUAUGAAGUGCUUCUAUAUGCUUGGUACGAUCAUGUUGGACUGGAUUAAGUGAGAUAUUGAUCGCUGCCUCGUUAUUACAAUAAAAAUUUUGAUAGAGACUAUAUUUUGACAUGCAAUUCUUCCAAAAGUUUUCUCAGCCACAACCCUUCACAUAUUCCUUGUGCUAUGGCUUUGAACUCGGCCUCAGCGCUGCUUCUAGCAACAACACUUUGUUUCUUAUUUUUCCCAUACAUAGGUACAGUAACCAGUAGUUGGUCUUCUAUCUUCGAUUGAAAUUAUCCAAUCUGCAUCAGUGAACACUUCAAUCUCUUUCCUCUCACUCUUCUUGAAAAAUAGUCCUUUUCCUGGGAAACCCUUGAGAUAUCUUAAUAUCUUGUAGAUCGCUUCUAGGUGACUUUCCUUUGGAGAAUACAUAUGUUGACUUGCACGGCCCACUGCGGUCUAGUAUGUGACAAGUAUUAACUUCCCAACUAAUCUUUGGUAUCCAUCUCUUUCCACAUCAUUUCCAACCUCUUCAGGUUUCUUUUCGAUUUCGACAGGCAUGUCAUUUGGCUUGCAACCUAGCAUGCCGAUUUCGGUUAAAAGUUCAAUAACAUAUUUUCUUUGUGAAACACAUAUUUCAUUUUUUGAUCUGGCCAACUCUAUUCCCAAGAAGUAUCGCGUUUGUCCUAGAUCCUUCACCUUGAAUUCUGUGGCAAAACACUUUUUUAAUCUUUCAGUCUCUGCUGCAUUGUUUCCUAUCAAAAUGAUAUCAUCAACAUAUACAAUUAGGAUUGUAGUCCCAUCAUUAAAUUAGUAUGAUCUGAUUGUCCUUGUUUACAUCCUUGACUUUUCAACACCUUUGCGAAUCUAUCAAACCAUGCCCUCGGUAACUGUUUGAGCCCAUAUAGAGAUUUUUUGAGUUUGCAUACUCUAUUUCCAUCAGUUACCUUGCUGAACCUGGUGGUAAAGUCAUAAAAACUUCAUUUUCUAGUUUUCCAUUCAAGAAGGCAUUUUUAAUGUCGAGUUGUUGUAGUGGCCAGUCUAAAUUGGCCGCUAAAGGUAGAAAAACCCAAAUUGUAUUCAAUUUUGCAAUUGGUGUAAACGUUUUAGUGUAGUCGAUGCCAUAUGUUUGUGUGUAUCAUUUUGCAACUAACCGAGCGUUGUAUCGUUCUAUUAUCCCAUCAGCUCUGUAUUUCAAAUUGAAAAUCCAUUUGCAUCCCACUGGUUUCUUUCCUUUCGGUAGGUCCAAAAUCUCCCAAAUCUCUUUUUUUUUUCUAAUGCUCUCAUUUCCUCCAGUAUAGCUUCCCUCCAUUUAGGAAUUUUCAAAGCUUCUUCGAUGUUCUUUGGGAUCUUUGUGCUGUUAAAGAGAGAUAUAAAAGUACGGAAUCUAUAGAGCAUUAUAAGACAUAAAUUUUGAAAUAGGAUGGAGAGUACAUGAACUAGUUGGUUUUCUGAGAGCAAUGGGUAAGUUAGGAAUUUCUGAGGCUUCAUGAAGAGGCAUCAUUUGUUCUGACUCUUUUGAUACCUCGGAUAUGAUGGUCCUUGUACUUUGAUUUUAGCUUUCGUGAGUAAACUAGUAUCUCUUCAUUACUUUGUUUUUCUAUAUCUCCUCAUGGUUGUAAGUUUUUCUUUGUUAAUGACAAACUGGAUGGUAACAUGGAGUUAUUGGUGGGUGUAGACUCAAAGGAAUUGAGAUUCAAAUCUAGGAAUCGAUCUUCAUGUAGUGUCUCUCCCUGAAGAGAGGUUUUUUUGGAAAUAUGGUGUAUUUUCGAAGAAAGUGACAUCAAGACUUACGAAUUUUCUUUUUGUUGAGGGCUCGAAGCAUUUGUAACCUUUUUGAGUAGGAGAGUAUCCGAUCAAAAUACAUUUAACAGCUUGGGGAUCAAGUUUAGCUCUGCAAUGAGAAUGAAUCUAAACAAAGGCAAUACAACCAAACACUUGUAACGAUAGGUUGGAGUUGAGGCGGGAGGUAGGAAAGAAUUUUUGAAGUUUUUGGAGUGGAGAUUCGAAGUUUAAGACAUUUUGUUGAUCAGGUAAUUGGAUGUUAGGAUUGCUUUUCCCCAGAACAUUUUAGGCAUAUUCGUCGUGGAUAACAAAGCACGCGCCACUUCUAGAAGGUGCCUAUUCGUACGUUCAGCAAUCCCAUUUUGUUGGGGAGAAUCGACGCAAGAACUUUGAUGAAUUAUUCCACCGGUUUGAAGAAAAUCCCCCAUGUAAAAAUUGAAUUUGGGUUUUAUCUUUUAGUAGGUAUACCCAGUAAACUCAAGUGUGAUCGUCAAUAUACAUCACAAACCAUUUUGCAUGAGUUCAAUUGGCAAUUCGUGAAGGAUCCCAUAAGUCGCUAUGUAUCAUAGAGAAUGGUUUAGAUGGUUUGUAUGUGGACAUCGGGAAUGAUGUACGUUGAUGUUUUGCAAACUCACAUUUCACAUUGAAUAUCAACGAAUUUUUUAUUCAUAAAAAUUGAUGGAACUACAUGUUUUAGGUACUGAAAGUUUGGAUGACCCAUUCUAAUAUGCCAUAGCAAAAUAUCGCAAUUUUUAGGAACAUAUGCAAAAUCACAGAUUGUAUUAUGACGCUGUUUACUCACAUCAGUCUCGUCAGAAUAGUAGAGUCCUUCACGUUCCUUAGCACUGUCAAUCGUCUUCUCCGAUGAUAAUUCCUGAAAAACACAGUAGGAUGGAAAAAAUUUAGCAGAGCAAUUUGAUUUUUUUGUCAAUUGGCUUAUAGAGAUAAAUUACACGACAAUUUUGGAAAUGAAGGACAAAUUCUAAAGUUAUGGAAUUAGAAAUUUUGACACUCCAUUUUCCUGCAACCGAUAAUAGUGAUCUAUCUGUAAUUUUAAUUUCAGAUUCCAGGCACAGGUGGAAUAUGUAGAGACCAUAUGGUAAGAGUUUGUCAUGUGAUCAGAUGCUCCUGAGUCAAUGACCCGGGGGGUUUUAGAUUGAGAAAUGGAUUGUAAAGCUCUUAAAAAAUCACCUUUAUUCGCUAGCGAGCUAGUGAGAAUUUUUAUGGAUGUUUGACUUGACGACUGGAGGCUAUUUUGUAAUGUUGCUCCAUCUGUUUCGGAUUGAAUGCACCACCAGACUUGGAUUUUCCCAUUUGGUAAUCGACAGAUGCUUGAUAACCUCAAUUUUAUUUAUUUUGUCUUAACUUCCAAUUACUUGGUUUUCCAUGUAGAUCCCAACAUGUAUUUUCUUUCUCCUGGUUUUCGACAAUGCUCACACCAUAAUCUACCUCAUUGUUAUUUUGAACCCGGCCCGACUGUAGCUCCUUUAGAAUAUAGGCUCGUCAUCCAAAGCCCAUCACCCAAAUUAUUUGUGCCAUUAUUUAAGCCCACUUCAUUAUUAAACCUAGCUAGCCCAUUACUUUCAUUUACUGGCCCAUUAUUAGGAACUCCAGAUUGUUCAGACCUCAGCCUAUAAUUAGAUAACCCGUAUUUAUUGGAGAUCAGUCCAGACGCUUCUUUCGCUGAUGACCGAUACACACCAGAGUCGCCCAACAUGAUUUUCCUCUGAUCUUCUUCCCGUCUCACUUCUGCAAAUACUUCUCGGGACGAGGGAAGAGGACGCCUUCCAAAGAUCCUGCCACGAACCUCGUCAAGGUCGCGAUGGAGACCUACAAGGAAUUCAAACACCCUUUUGAUUUCUAAUUUCUUCAUGUAACGUACGCUGUCCUCUGAACACUUCCAUUCCUCUGUCGAACUCAGGUCCAGUUCUUGCCCUAGUCCGAUCAUCUCCAGGUAGUAAUCCGCCACUUCACGGUCCCCUUGCUUUGUUUGCCAUAACUUCAACUUGAUUUCAAAAAAUUUCGAGAAGUUCUCUGAGUUAGAAUACAUUUCUAUGACCGCCUCCUAGAUGUCAUUUGCAAAUGGAAGAAAUAUGUAUGUUUUCUCGAUAACAGGCUUCAUAGAGUUGACAAGCCAGGUACUCACCAUCGAAUUCUCCGACUUCCACUUUUAAAGGAAAGCAGCGUUGGUUGAGGUCUGUUACAUAUCCAAGUUUCCCUUUUCUGUUGAUUAUUAGUUUUAUCGACUACGCCCAUUCUCUGCAGUUUCUUCCAUUCAGUUUCUCUAUCGAUAGUUGGAGAACUGAAUUUUCAAUUCCUCAUGUAUUCAUGGCAGAGGUGGCUUUUACCUCUGAAUAAGAGAUUAUACAGUCCUUGUCUAUCGUGGCUGAUUUAGCCAUGUAUUGGUUAGGUUAGAAACAAAACUGCUCUUAUACCAUGUAGGAAACGAAUUAUAUUGAUUUCCAAUUAAUUGAUACAAUGAAAGGAAUACAAUUUUUAAUAUACAGAACUUUGUAAGUAAGGAAAAAAAUUAAUCUCCUAAAAACAGUAGGAAAUAAAUACAUAUUCUAUUCUACAAUAAUUUUGGAAUGUAAAAUAUUCUUCAAUCAAUUUUGGCUCCCAUCCUUAUUUGGUAGGAACCGAUUUCCACACAUCUACAUUUGAAAAAGAGGAAAUUUUAUUGGGUGUCAAAAUUUGGGUGUGCAUUAUAAAAACUAUCACCUUUUAAAUUUUCUAUAAAAAAGCCGUCAAAUGAAAACAAAACGAAGGAAGGAAAAUCGACACACAAAAUCACUAAACUCAUUCCUCUCUCUCCCACUCUGAAAUCAACCAUCGGCCAUUGAGGAGGAAGAGAAACCGACACACAAAAUCCCUAAACUCACUCUUCUCUCUAACUGAAAUCAACCACUGACCGUCGAUGAGGAAGAGAAACCGACACACACAAAAUCCCUAAACUCACUCCUCUUUCUCACUGAAAUCAACCACCACCCAGCUGUGGACGAAAUUGGAAGUGUUGGUGGAAUCGCCCACCGCCUUACCGUGAAAGCUUAUUUUUCCAAUCCCGUAGAGGGGCCUAGAAAUUUUUUUGGAGAAUAAGCCCUUUUGUUCUUCUUCUGUAACGAGUCCUUUGAACGUCCGUUAUUUGGAGAUUUUCUGAGAAAAUGUCGGAGCAUGAAUUGAAAGUUUGCAUGAAGCGAAGAUAAUUUUGUAAGUUUCACUCUUGUAUCUUGGUUUGUUUAAAUACUUUUUAUGAACCAUUUGUAAAUCUCUAUUUUUAUUCUUAAUUUGCACAAAUUGUUGUCUCCUUAUUUUUUACAAUUUCAUGAUUUCGAGUUGUUAUAACUGAUGUUUUGUAAAAUUAAUUUUAUGCUUUAUCAUUAAAUAAUCAUACUACAGAAGAGUUCGUUGGCUUGGGUGAUACCAAGAUUGCUGUGGUUUGGGUAGUCUCUUCCCAUCAUCAUAGGGUACUAAAUUAUUUGUUUGAUUUAUUUAUGUGUUUUAUUGAUGGGGGAGAGAAAAUGAGGUAGUGGGGUUGUUUGGUGGUUGCAGAGGAAGAACAUGGUGGAGGAGAUAAAAGAAAAUAGAAAAGAAAAAGGAUGACAAUGAUAGAGACAAAAGGUGGGUAAAGGAACCGAAAAUUAUGGUAUGGGGUUUUGAUGAUCUUUUAUUACUAUUACUAUACCUAUUAUAUUUACUUCUCUCUCCCUUUUCUUGUUUUACUGAAAUAUAUCUACAAGAACUAUUCUCACUCUUGUUUUCAAUCCUGCGUGGGCUCGCACUUCUGCUUCAUAUAGUAUUAUGGUCUAUUAUCAAUGCCUAAAUAUGUUCAUUUAUGUAAACAUGUCACGUGCUCUUUGAUUUCCUAGAUAAGAAUUUUUGUAAUUCAACGCACUAGAAAAGAAAAGAGAAUGCUUCUAAUAUCCAUAUAAAAAUGUCAUUUAUAAUGAUUACAUUUUAUUUGAAUAUUUGUGUCUCAUAAUGGUUAAAGAGAGAAAGCUCUGCUUAUUUAUGUUCCAAAUCAUUAGCAUGCCCCUGAAUUCCAGUAACUGUAUUAUUUUUGGAAGAUUUUAUGACGAACAACUUUUUACUUAACUUGAAAACUGUUGUUUAGGAUUUCCAAUGUAACCUUGCCAUUAGGGAGAGAUGAACUAUUCAAACCUGAAUGGAAGCUCAACAUUCAUGUGAAUACUUAAACCAACUUGUUUCUUUACAAGUAAAAACAACAAUGGUAGUGAUAAUAGUAUGUGUGAAAGACUGAACAAACAAUUUGAUAUAAAAGACAUGGUGUAAUUCAGCUUAAACCUUAUUACUUAUCUUUCACUGAACUCUAUUAUCUAUGCAACGAACUUAAUCAUUUUAAAGCUAAAAUGCUUAAAAUUUCCUAACGGAGUUCGAUAUGGGAAAUUUAGAAUACCCUCAAGCUACUGAUACCAGUACUCAAUGCAUAUAAAAUCGAAAUACUUUAGGUAUAACAUAGUCACUAAAAAGAAAAGAGAAAAAUGAAAGAAAGUAAUCAUAAAUUUACAGAAAAGAGCAUGAGGCAUUAUCUGGGCAAAUUAGGGGAUUUGAAAUACCUUACUUGGUAGAAAUUUCAUCAUUGCAGUCUUCGAUUCCACGAGGUAAGUAACACAAUAAAACCCCAUACACAUAAGAAGUAAAAGAAAAAAGGAAUGGUUCAAAUAUACAAAAAAAUACAUGAUGAAAUUGUCCAAAAAUUAUAUAUAUAUAUAUUAGGUAUAUCUCCGAAGAAGUUAAACAUCAAAUUGUUCAGAUUCUAUGAAUUGAAUUUUUAUUUUUAUUUAUUAAUUUUUUUCUUAGUAAAACAAAGAAAACAAUAUCGCCAUAGAUGAAACAAACUGAAACAUAUACUGUAAAAUACAAAUGUCAAAUUUGAGCACUACUUCUAAAGUAUUUCUGAUUCACAAAAACAAAGAAGAGGAGAAUUACAGAAUGCUUACGUGAUCUAUAUACAUGUACAAAAGAAGAGGAGAAUGAAUGAAAUUUGAAAAAGAGAAAUCUGAUAUAAGAUGAAUUGAAAAUUGGCACUUAAAACUUGGUCUCACAGGAAAUUAAUCAAAGGACAAAAACUCUGUAUCUAUAUAAAGGCAACGACGUUUACACAAAUCGAAGAUAAUUUUGUAAGUUCCGUUUUUGUAUCCUGGUUUGUUUAAAAACUUUUUAUGAACGCUUUGUAAAUCUCUAUUUUUUGUUUUUCAUUUGCAUAAAUCUUUGUCUCCUUAUUUUUUACAAUUUCAUAUUUUUGAGUUGUUUCUUAAAAUUAAUAUUAUCAAUUUGAGAAUUAUUGGCGUUCUUUGUCAAUGGUUUACUUAAACAGGCAAGUUCUGAGCACGAGGCUAUGGGUCUUUGCAUACAAGUUAGACAACUUUGAGAUGUAAGGUGUUUUAGUAGUGUUAAACUUUUUUCUCUAUGAAUGCAUGUUGCAAAUUAUGAAUUUAUAUGCAUAUUUGUCUGAUUGAUUGGGAUAAAGACAUAAAUAUAUUAAUCGGGUUCAAUUGAUAGAAUGCUGAAAGUCGUUACAAAGUACACUAAUGAAUUUUUAACAAUAAUGAUUUACCUUAGUUUGGCCAUGGUAAGAAGACACUAAUAUUUCCUAUGGGCUUAUAUUUUUGCACUAACUACUUCGGACAUGUUCCCUUUGUUGGCCACACCUCUCGUUCUGCGCCUUUUGUUGCUUGAGGGAGCUCGUAAUAGAAAAAAAGACCAUUCGAUUUUUGGGACUGUCGCCAUAAACAUGUAUCCACAAUAAGUGUGAAACUGUUGAUUAGUGACAGAUGUCAUUAGUUCAGAUUUCAUGCUUCAUAUGCGGAAAACCCGUUCAGGAGUGACUAACUUUUGUUGUUUGUUAUGUGAAGCAAACUAUACCUAUUCUCCUUAUAAGGAUAGGAUUUAUGCUUAGGUUUUGACGGUAUUAAUUGGAGCACAUGCUUGAGUGACUUCUUCCGAUUGGAUUUGAGUAGCUAGAGUUGAUUUGCUUCCUAGUGUAGAAGUGCAAAUCAUUGGUAAGAAAUUCAUUUUACAUAGUCCGGAUACGAAGCUGAUGUGGUAUACUCUUUUGCACAUAUACUAGUAUUAUAUUUUAGUCCGUAGCACUCUUUCAUGAAAUUAUUUUUCUAGUUUGACAAGAUGUUGAAGUUUUGAACGGGUCAUAGGCUAGAAGUAAAAUCAAAUUCUUCUCUAUUCAAUGUAAAUUCAAUAAAAUCAAAUUCUAUAACUAAAGAUUAAGGUUAACAAAAGACUCGAUUUCUGAAAACGAAUUGAUAUCCAUUGAUUAGGGCUUAUGAGCCUAGGAGACUAGAUAUUUGUCUGAAUGUCUAUUUCAAGGUUUUGUCAGAUAAGUAACAAUAAAGAGCUUUGCAUACAAGCAAUUUUUAUAUGCCCAUCUUUAUUUUUGUUAACAUCUGUACGGAAUUAGGAACUAGCCAUAGAUUUAUAAAGAUUUCGAAAUUUGAAAAAUACGUACUUGCAUCUUAUUUCGAGAUCUGCUAUUUUUAAAGCCUGUUACAAGUUGAUUCAUAAUACUAGUUAAAUAAAAAUGAAUGCACUAUGGGACUGUUAGCUUGCCAAUAUUCUCUGUAAAUACAACUCAAAAUAAGUUAUGUCCAAUAAAUUUAAGAUUGUGUGCAUAAAUCCGUUUUUACCACUCUCGUUCUUUAAUUGUUACUUUUAUUUCUGUUUGAUCAUUAAUAACCAAAAAACACUUGUAAAAAAUGUAUUCAAUGGUAACUACCCUAGGAUUCUUAUAUGGUCUUAUAUAUUGUAAUAGUCCAAUCCCAUAUAAUGGUGAAAUUGGUGUGAAUUUAAAUUAAUUAACACAUAAGUUUUUGUUUUGCUCAAUAACGUGAUUGUUAAAAAAUUUUGUGUUCUAUUCUUAUCUACAGGCAAUCUGGUUUAAUUGUUGAGGAUAUUUAUCCAUUCGAUAAAAAGCCAUAGCACAUUAUCCUAAUUAGCAAGUGUACUGGGUGUGAGAAUACCAAGGGAUUCUGAAUGACAACUUGACAUUGCAAAAGUGAGCAAGUCUGUGCACCCCCGGCGUGAUUAAACGCCGGCCUUUCUCCAGCCAUGCCAGUUAUCGCUACUGCCACCAAGUCAUCGAGGCUCGACCUCUGUCAUCCCCCACUACCAUUGCUGUAAGCUUCUCUCUCUUCCUCCCCGCUUAGUUUUCUAUUUUUCAGUUCUUUUUCCUUCUAUUUACUCCACAGUAAUUUGCAUUCAUCUUGAACUGAUGGGAAUUUCAUUCGUAGCCCUUACAUGCCAAUUUAGUUCACUUGCACAUAUCAGUUUAGCAGGCAAACCAACUCCCAAUGAACUAUCGUAUCCGACAUUUUACCUCAAAUUUUCUCAACCUCAUUCCUCCCAAUCGUCGGUACCUGCAGGCCUUGAUAGAUAAUCUAUCGGUACUGACGGUUUACUUUAGUUUUUCUCGAUGAUUCACUAUUAUGACACAUGAUUUCGCUUCACUAAAUUGCUAUAUACAUUACAAUUGUUUACACUCAUCCUGUAACCCCCUUUUUAUUAAUUCACCUUCCAUAACUGAUGGAGUUCGAGUUUCAUAUUCCAAAAGAUGCAAGUAUGCGGGCCCACAUUGCGCAACAAAGCAACCUCAAGUACAUGAAGACUGUGAUGGACCAUUUCAAAGAGCGACAAUGAGAGUACUUCUGCAACUCCUCCUUAGGAUAUCUAGUCGAGGUUCUGGACAUUCAAAUGUCUGCCCAACUCAUCCAGCAGCUAGUGUUCAGAACUAUCUGCAUUGAUAAGGUCUACAAGCUUUGGUUCAACGUGGAAGGGCACUUCAUGAGAUUCGAUCUACAGGAGUACGCGCUUGUGAUGGGGUUAAGAUACGGUGUAUUCCUGGAGGGUGGUGAAUUCGAUCGAUUGCUAGAGAGGAGGAGGUUGAAAAAGGGGUACUUCAAAUCCAAUGACAAGAUUUUGUUGGCUCAACACCAGUCUGCUUUGGCCCGACCUUCAACGCCCCAAGCUGAUCUCUACAAGUUAGGAUUGGUUCUAAUUGUCGAAAGAGUUUUCAAUGCUCUAGAUAAUAAUGUCGGUAUCCAUUUGCCCACAUUAUCAAUAAUCGAUGACAUGGACUUAUUUUUUGCCUACCCUUGGGGUAGGGUCGGAUAUAGGCGUUUGUUACAUGGAUUUCGGGGUAUUUGGGCAAAAAAAUUCCAAAAGGUGAAGCGAAAGAAGGAGAAGGAAAUUACUUACACGGUGCACGACUUCUCCAUUACCAUGUAGAUAUGAAAAUUUGUUACAUUAUUGUAACAUGCCUAAUUUUUCCCUCCGGUAACGUCGUGCCUAGAAUCUUCCAAAUUUUAAUGUGUUUUUCUUGUUUCGAUAGGUAUGGGCAUAUAAGGUGCUUCCAAAGGUUGGGGAAUGUUUUCUUAGUGAGUAGGUGAACGAUUGCCACAACUUCUUCGCUGGUCGGCACGAAAACAGUCACAGCAUCGUAUGUGUGAUGCAUUCUUCAAGAAUGUCAAGGUAUACAUAAAAUAGGAUUGUAAGUUCGUUACAAUCUUGUGUGUUCUAAUGUGAGUACUAUAACCUUUUUUUGCAGUUCCACGUGUACGUAACACUGCGUCUCACCGAUGCUGAGGCUCAACAACCCUAUUUUUCCACUCUUGUACCUUACGAUGAUCCCUCAAUGCUGGUGCUGGAUGACAUUGUAGGGACUAUUGUAGCGUCGUAGUUUAAUGCAUCAGGCGUCGGUAGUGGACACGGUGGACAGUCGGUAAGGGAGGAUUCUGAUGAUGAGGGGUCCAAAGAAGGAAGCGGUGUGAAGCAGACGUCCGGAGGUGAUGACGAAGAUGGGCGGUCGGGCAGCGAUCGUGACGGUGAGGAUACUAAGGAUACUGGUGUGUCCCACAGUGAUCGAUCCAGCGCUGGUGAGGACACUCGUGGAGGAGACAGGGGUGCUUUUUCCUCACCUUGACUGUUUCGAGUUCCUUUUCCAGAGCGAUCGAGCAUGAUACAGGCAAGAGUAGUUAGAACAUCUACACUAGGCCUGACCAGAGGGGACGUAGAGAAGCUGCUUUUGGAUCGAAGAAUCCUAUUUGAAAUGUGACUCUAGACUGUAAAGCUUGAAAUCUAACAACACGUGACCUCAGAAUAUAGAAGUCUUCGAGAGUUCAUAGCUAUCCUCGUGGCCCCAGUUGGUCCGACCACCGCUGCAAUUGCGACGAUCACCGAUACCGAGGUCGACGUUUCAGGUUCGUUACCAGAAGGUAUGAAUGUUACUUGCGUACAGCUUUUGCUUUAAAAUUUUAACCUACGAUCGUCAUUACUCAUCGUACUUGUAGCUCACAUAGUAUUAUUCAUGUUACAAUUCUGACAUAGACAUAUAUAGAGGACACGUAGAGCCAUGCUCGGACGAGCAGGACACGCCAGUUGAUAUAAGAACUCCGCAAGGUAUGUGGGUUGUUCACGAGCAAAUCGAAAUUUAUUACCUUAUGGACUUUACACGGUACGAAACUUCUUUGCGACUAGAUGAAAACAUAACUUCUUUCUGUCUGAUGAAUUUUUUUUUUAAUUAGAUGGAAGACAAAUUGAUCUGCAGUUCGGCAUCCUGGAUGUGAACGGUAGGAGGAAGUUAACCCAAUUUAUUAAUUUCAUUAUGUAUUCUACGAUUUUAUUCUAUGUCAAUUGGAAACCUCAAACGCCAUGCACUUACGUAUGUGUUGUAUUCAUCAGAUGCAGGAGCCAUGGAGCCCUCGAAUGCGGCUUGGGAUGACGAUGAAGAGGUGAAGGGUUGCGAUGCGACGGAUGGCGAUGGUAAGUUAGUUUCCUGCGUUCAUAGUGGUUUCGUUAUGCAUUGGAGUGGAUAGCAUUUCGGGUACCUAACAUGGCCCAUUUGGAUUUUCUGUAGGCGUUGUUAUUGAAGUCCCUGUUCCCAGCACUGUACCCGAUGCACGAGCCGGAGUUCCUAUAAUGUGACGUUGCUCGAUACGGUUGCGACGUCCAACUGUUGCUACAGGACUCCAAAUACGGAGAAAGGGAAAGAGAACAAAGAAAUAAUUGUGACUACACUACCCGGAGAGCACGACGAUAGUCUUGUACUCGUUUUUGCUUUGUGACUGAAUUGGUGGAGGUGGAGUUGGGAUGUUAACCUCAUGGAUAAUUUUUUUGUAAUGUUUUUUAUUUAACUUUACAUUUGACAUACUCUUGGGUAGCGUGGAAAUGCUUUGACGCAUUCCUCACAUUUUCGGUUGUCCGUGUUGAAUGCCAUGUCACUGUUCGAUUAUGUUGAUAGUUUUAGCUACUACUACUAUCAUGAUAACUUCUCGAUGACUUAAAUGAUCUGUCCCAUUCAUGGACUACUACUGUUUCAUGAUUUUCCUUCUCGUUUUUUGUCUUCACAAUUUCUUUGUGCUGUGAUCGAUUGUUCAAAUUUGUGGCCUUUCAAAUCUGUGUGUGUUACAUUUUUGUACUUAUUUUGUUCAAUAUUUCUCAUCAUAUGGAACUGCAACUCUGCGAUUACUGUUCAAUACAUAUAGGGGUUUUCGAUUCUGUUUACGUAGCUGGUAAACAAGAAUCGAUGAGCGAAAAAGUAAUUAUACUUUACAAUUUCUGAUUAUUCGAUAUAAUAAAAAUUGUGGAUUACAUUUAACUGUAACAAAAUUGUCUUUCAUACUUUCAAUGUCGGAAGUUGUACCAAGCAUUUUGCUUAAAUGUCUUUUAUGUCUAUCAUAUUGGUUUUUUCGAAACUACACCAACUGGGGAUGCAGUGGUGCUAUGCAUAAUGUUCGAGCAGGUUAAGAAUCACAUGUUUAUGGUAUGAUUAAGCUUUUCUCAAUGCUAUUGUUGGCUUACAAAUAUAUGUGUUAUCAUUGCCUUGAAUAUAAAAUGUGAUGUGUACCAUGUCACAGUUAAAAUUUUUGCCUUCCACUUCGCACAGAAACCAAUUCUACUAACGUUCACUAACUUGUAGCUAAAAGAAUUCCCAAUAUUGUUGAGAUCAUUUGAAAUGUGUAGGUGAUGUCAAGUUUGCUAUGUUUCUAUUGUGUUUGUGGGCUGCUAAAGGAACAUUUUAUUUCUCGAUAGAACAUGCAAGGUUAUUUGGUAUUUGUUUUCAGUCUGCAGCUUCCCACUUAUCCAUCAUCUAUCAGUCUUUCUGGUUGACGAUAGUUAACAUAUUUUUAAAUUUUCUUCCAACUGUACCACGAAGUUCAUGGCACAUUCUAGAUCUCUCUUGGACCAAUGAAGUAAAAGUGUGUUAAUGUCAAUGAGGGAAAAAAUAAUCUAGAAUUUCAAUGACGGGUCCUAAGGACACUUAAUAAUUCCACGCUCUCGUGGAAGUUUCUUACUUUUCACACCCCUAAUUAAAUGAUAACAAUUAUAGGAUUAACAAAAACCAAUUCAUCUAAAAAUCCAUUUCUGUACUGCUACGAAUAUGCAAGUAAAGGGUUUAUACUACAUUGAAUGAACAGUAGCUAAUGAUAAAGACAGAAAUAGGGUAUUUCCAGCUUGUUCAGUGCCUAGAAUAUAUUGUCACAAUUGCAAAAUUUAAACAUGCAUAUGUUCACUGGUGCAUUGAAUACAGUAGUGCUUGGACCAUCCCCAUCGCAGGUGAGCUUGCUUAAAUAUUCAUGGCUUGUUUGUUAUUGUUCAGUGCCAUAUAAAUACUUGAUGCACAUUUAUAUUUGAUUUUCCCCAGGACAUGACAUCCACACUUACAAGUUCUACAGUUGUUGCAAAUGUGCUACUUAAUGUCUACCAUGUCGUUGGAGGAAUAAUGACCAUGUCGUUGGAGGAAUAAUGCUUGUCAAGGUAACCCAUUUCGUACAUUACAGAGUACAUAGCUGGUUGGCUAUGUAAUGACCGCUAGGUGGUCCAGGUGGUUUAGUUUUUUGUCCAAUUACACCUUUCACAUUUACCCAUUAAUUCAAAAGAAAUGUGCCAUAGCCAUUAUGUAUGGCACAUUAUUGCAAUCAAACUUUCGUGCAAGGUUAGAAUCACAUGCAAUUCAAAGAUAUGUUUCAUCUUGUUUGUAAUACAUUUAGAUAUUUACAAUAUAAAUCUACCAUACGCUUAGGAUCACAUGCAAUUGCAGGCUAUCAUUGUUCUGUUCAUAAUUUAUGGCACAUUUAGGCAAUCGAACUUUCGUAUAAGCUUAGGAUCACAUGCAAUUCAAAGAUUUGAUUCGUCCCAUUUGUAAUGUCUUCUGAUUUAUGCAAUCUAAAUUUAACGUACGCUUUGGAUCACAUGCAAUUGAAAGAUAUGAUUGUUCGUGUUCGUAAUUUAUGGCAGAUUUAGGCAAUCGAAAUUUCGUAUAAGCUUAGGAUCACAUACAAUUCAAAGAUAUGAUUCUUCCUAUUUGUAAUGUAUUACGAUGUUUGCAUUCUAAAUUUACCAUAUGCUUGGAAUCACAUGCAGUUGAAAGAUAGGAUUUUUCGUGUUCUUAAUUUAUGGUAAUAGAUAUGCGGUUUUCGAACUUUUGUAUAAGCUUGGGAUCACAUGUCGUUCACAUAUACAAUUUACGAGUCAACUGCAUGUAACUAGUGGGUAUAUUCGGGCCCAAGUGCGUCACAUUAUGCACUUGAAAAUGAUAAUGUGUCAUUUUCCAUAACUUUUGGCAUAUUUCUAAUUGAAGGCAUUUAUUUGAACAUAGGUUGUAGAGAUAGGAGCUCGUUCAGACGAAGGUCGGCAAGUCGAAUGUCAUAUUUUAUGCACGUGCAUGAGAUGCAGCGCACACUGACAAAGCGUGGAAUUUUAUAUUUUUCCUUGCUGUGUAAAAUUUUUUCCCAGUUCAAACAUUUGAUGUGACAUUUAUUCAAACUGGAUGUGUACGCAUAUUCGAAAUUUAUGUACACUAUUAUUUGUUUUGCAAUGAAGCCACUUGGCUCGCACUAGGCCGGAUAUGUCCACAGCGAUCGUAAUAUAUUUUAUCAAUUUGAAACGUGCAAGUGCAUUCGUAAUAUCAGAUUGGUGUCAGACAAUUAUAUAGAUUAAAACUGCCGAAACCAUGACAGCCGUAAGCUUCUAGUUAAAAAAGAGUUAAUGUCCAUUUCAUUUUUUUCAUGCGUCAUCGAACAUGUACGUUAAGAUAAUGAGCCAUAGGUGUAAGACCUUGUAGCCUUUUCAGCAUGGUAAAAGUAACUAGAAAUUUGAUUGACAAUAUUUAAGUUGCAGAAAAUCCCCAUUGCUGAAUAGUACACAUGAUUUGAGAGUCUUUAAUGUCUUACUAAUUAUGGAAAAAUGGGGGAUAAAGGUACACUUAAUUUAUUGAACAAUCACAUCAAUUGCUUUUCACAUUGACAAGGAGAUUGGACUUGGAGGUUGGGUAGAUGAUCAACAUAAUUGCUUCCCCCAUUCAAGUUGCUUAUAAAUACUGUAUGAGUUCCUUUUUCCUUAGAAACAACACAGUUGAAUACCAUUAUGAGAAUUUGAAGUCCUUACACUGUGACGCCCCGAACUUAAACUUCGAGGGUCACGUACUUAACAUAAUAACUUCAUUCUUUAGUACAUGUAAAUACUCUUAAAUAAAAGUAUUACAUGUUAGAAACUUAUUUUCAAUUUGAUAAAACAAUUCUCAUAAAAUUUGAGGGCCGGUAAAAGUGCAUGUCAACAUGAAAUUACACUUUACAUAUGCGGCCUCGGCACUAUCAAGGUUAGUUGGGGCAGCAAGUUUGACAAUUUUUAUAAAAUUCACCCCAACUCCGUUUUAUGUGAAAUUUGUGGCAUUAGAAAGAUAAUUUCAAGUAUUUUUCUAGGUUAAAAUAUGAAAAUUUUCCAAGAUCAUAUGAUAUAGACGUUUUACUGAAAACAGUGAAGUGUUGCACAGAAAAUCCAGAUUGACCCCUUGACGUUAAAACCUUGAUAAGUCCGGUCAUAGAUAUCCAAAUUGAGUGAUUCAUUCGGCCAUAUUUAGAAAACUCAAAGAGGAAAACAGACAUAUUUUUAGAAUCUCAAAUGGACGUUUAUAGAGUUAUAAACAUCAUUUUGAAAUUGACUCCAGAAUCUGUCUCGUUUCUGCCUUUUGUCACUUGUAAGGAAAAUAAACUACAAAAAUGUCUCUUAACAUAACAUGAAAGAUAUAAUUACAAAUUUUACUAUUAAUACCAUAUUUCAUCAUGUCAUGUACAUAUUUUUACAUAAUACCAUAAGAAAGAUAGAUUGGAAAACAGUCAUCGAGCAAAACAUACAAAAGAAAACUUUCGGUUCAAAACAUCCUUGUCCUUAAUCCAUCAUCGCUUAAGCCAACUAACUUCCAUCAAUUCAACGAUCAUGGAUCUGAAAAUUUAGCAUAACAUACUAUGAGUAUAAGAAAUACUCAGUAAGAUACCAUGCUUAUAUUUUUAUCAUGAUAAUGCUACACAAAAGAAUGCAAUCAAACCCAUACUUGCACAUUCCGGAUUGCCGGUGCCCUUCGGACUUGUCCUAAGGCAUAAAUAGAUAUCUAACUUUGUGGACUUGUCCACCAUAAUCAUAUUGUGGUUUUUCAUGCAUAGUUUAAGCAUAAAUAUUACCAUGAAAAUCAUAACUCUUAAGCAUGGAAGGCAUCUUACCGUAAAACUUGAAGAUCUUCGAUUGAAAUGAAUUGGAAAUGCUAAACUUACUUCCUUCUCCUUUCUUUUCUUAAUUUCGAUUUUUGCUCUCUUUUUAAGUGUAUAAGUGUUUUGUAAAAUGAAGGAAAUCUCUCUAUGGAAAUGGAUAUGGAUAUAUUUAUAUUUAUAUAAAGAUAAGGAUAAGGCUUGAUAUAUUUUUUUUUUCUUACCUUUACACAUGUUUGGUCUACUAUCUAAGUGUAUGGUGAUGAUGGAGGACAAGUGGGUUGAUUAUAGGGUAAUAAGUGGCCUUAAAACCUAGAUUUACAAAGGAAGCCUCUUAUCUUUUCAACUAAUAUAAUCUAACCCUCUAACUUUCAUUGUUAACAAAGUGUACCCAAAUUUAAACUUGUACCCAACUUACAUAUUCAAAAAUUGUAGAUUGUAACAUAAUUUAAUCAUUUGGUCAAUUGAAGUCCUAACAAAAUAAUCCACUUCAUUCAAGUCCAAACUUGUCUUAAGUUUCAACUAACUAACAAUCACUUCAUACAUACACAACCUUUGACACUUCAUGCCUACAUUCAUUAACUACCUCUAACAUUAACCACUACAAAGGUGGUGUCCCCUUUUUCCUUAUGGCCAAAAAUAGUAUUGAAAGUUAAAUCGCUAUUCCAAAGAAAUUUAAACAAGCAUAAAAUUUCGGAGUAUUACAUCUCUCCCCCCUUAAAAAAAAUUUCGUCCUCGAAAUUACCUUGAACUUAGUUUAUGAAAACUUUGUCACCAACAUUAAAUGUCAAAUCUUUUCUCCUUUUAUCGGCAUAACUCUUUUGUCGGUCCUGAGCUGCUUUGAUUUUAGCUCUUAUUUUAUCAACCGCUCGACUAGUUUCUUCAAUUAUUGCGGGUCCUAGAACUCUUCGUUCACCUACUUCAUCCCAAUACAUGGGAGCUCUACAUCUUCUGCCAUAAAGGGCUUCGUAAGGUGCCAUCUUUAUCAUAGCUUGGUAGCUAUUAUUAUAGGCAAACUCUACCAGUGGCACAUAGUUUUCCCAACUGCCCCCUAAAUCAAGGACGCAUGCACGUAGCAUAUCCUCUAAAGUCUGUAUAGUCCUCUCCGAUUGUCCAUCAGUUUGUGGAUGGAAAGCUGUGCUGAAGUUUAACUUGGUUCCCAUAGCCUCUUACAAACUCUUCCAAAAUUUUGAGGUAAAUCUUGGAUCUCUAUCCAAUACUAUUGAGGCUGGGAUACCAUGCAAACGGAUGACCUCUUUGAUGUAUAAUAGGGCGUAUUGAUCCAUACUAAAAUUUAUUCUUACAGGUAGAAAAUGAGCUGACUUUGUUAACCGAUCCACUAUAACCCACAUAGCAUCAUUUCCCNNNNNNNNNNNNNNNNNNNNNNNNNNNNNNNNNNNNNNNNNNNNNNNNNNNNNNNNNNNNNNNNNNNNNNNNNNNNNNNNNNNNNNNNNNNNNNNNNNNNNNNNNNNNNNNNNNNNNNNNNNNNNNNNNNNNNNNNNNNNNNNNNNNNNNNNNNNNNNNNNNNNNNNNNNNNNNNNNNNNNNNNNNNNNNNNNNNNNNNNNNNNNNNNNNNNNNNNNNNNNNNNNNNNNNNNNNNNNNNNNNNNNNNNNNNNNNNNNNNNNNNNNNNNNNNNNNNNNNNNNNNNNNNNNNNNNNNNNNNNNNNNNNNNNNNNNNNNNNNNNNNNNNNNNNNNNNNNNNNNNNNNNNNNNNNNNNNNNNNNNNNNNNNNNNNNNNNNNNNNNNNNNNNNNNNNNNNNNNNNNNNNNNNNNNNNNNNNNNNNNNNNNNNNNNNNNNNNNNNNNNNNNNNNNNNNNNNNNNNNNNNNNNNNNNNNNNNNNNNNNNNNNNNNNNNNNNNNNNNNNNNNNNNNNNNNNNNNNNNNNNNNNNNNNNNNNNNNNNNNNNNNNNNNNNNNNNNNNNNNNNNNNNNNNNNNNNNNNNNNNNNNNNNNNNNNNNNNNNNNNNNNNNNNNNNNNNNNNNNNNNNNNNNNNNNNNNNNNNNNNNNNNNNNNNNNNNNNNNNNNNNNNNNNNNNNNNNNNNNNNNNNNNNNNNNNNNNNNNNNNNNNNNNNNNNNNNNNNNNNNNNNNNNNNNNNNNNNNNNNNNNNNNNNNNNNNNNNNNNNNNNNNNNNNNNNNNNNNNNNNNNNNNNNNNNNNNNNNNNNNNNNNNNNNNNNNNNNNNNNNNNNNNNNNNNNNNNNNNNNNNNNNNNNNNNNNNNNNNNNNNNNNNNNNNNNNNNNNNNNNNNNNNNNNNNNNNNNNNNNNNNNNNNNNNNNNNNNNNNNNNNNNNNNNNNNNNNNNNNNNNNNNNNNNNNNNNNNNNNNNNNNNNNNNNNNNNNNNNNNNNNNNNNNNNNNNNNNNNNNNNNNNNNNNNNNNNNNNNNNNNNNNNNNNNNNNNNNNNNNNNNNNNNNNNNNNNNNNNNNNNNNNNNNNNNNNNNNNNNNNNNNNNNNNNNNNNNNNNNNNNNNNNNNNNNNNNNNNNNNNNNNNNNNNNNNNNNNNNNNNNNNNNNNNNNNNNNNNUAUUGUUAACACUGGAGCUGUGACUAAUCUUCGUUUUAGCUCUUGGAAGCUUUGUUCACUUUUCUCUGUCCAUUGAAAUUUUAUCCCUUUUCGAGUCAAUUGGGUCAAUGGUCCUGCUAUUUUAGAAAAUCCCUUGAUAAAUCUUCUAUAGUAACCAGCCGAUCCCAAGAAACUACGUAUUUCUCUAACAUUGGUUGGUCUUACCCAAUUAUUUACUGCUUCCACUUUAGCUGGGUCUACUUCANNNNNNNNNNNNNNNNNNNNNNNNNNNNNNNNNNNNNNNNNNNNNNNNNNNNNNNNNNNNNNNNNNNNNNNNNNNNNNNNNNNNNNNNNNNNNNNNNNNNNNNNNNNNNNNNNNNNNNNNNNNNNNNNNNNNNNNNNNNNNNNNNNNNNNNNNNNNNNNNNNNNNNNNNNNNNNNNNNNNNNNNNNNNNNNNNNNNNNNNNNNNNNNNNNNNNNNNNNNNNNNNNNNNNNNNNNNNNNNNNNNNNNNNNNNNNNNNNNNNNNNNNNNNNNNNNNNNNNNNNNNNNNNNNNNNNNNNNNNNNNNNNNNNNNNNNNNNNNNNNNNNNNNNNNNNNNNNNNNNNNNNNNNNNNNNNNNNNNNNNNNNNNNNNNNNNNNNNNNNNNNNNNNNNNNNNNNNNNNNNNNNNNNNNNNNNNNNNNNNNNNNNNNNNNNNNNNNNNNNNNNNNNNNNNNNNNNNNNNNNNNNNNNNNNNNNNNNNNNNNNNNNNNNNNNNNNNNNNNNNNNNNNNNNNNNNNNNNNNNNNNNNNNNNNNNNNNNNNNNNNNNNNNNNNNNNNNNNNNNNNNNNNNNNNNNNNNNNNNNNNNNNNNNNNNNNNNNNNNNNNNNNNNNNNNNNNNNNNNNNNNNNNNNNNNNNNNNNNNNGACAAGUAUCUUUCCAGAUGGAAGGGAUAUUUCUAAAGUAUAUGGAAGGAAUUCACAUUCCACUUUAGACUUUGCAACAAAAGAAGAAGAAAUGAACGAAUGUGUAGCUCCAGAAUCUAUAAGUACAAAUGCAGGAAUAUUGGAAACAAAGAUGAUACCUGCGACGACAUUAGGGUCUCGUUCAGCUUCUAGGCCUGGACAAGGAGAAAACUCUUGCUUUUCCUUUCUUGACCUCUCCAGCCUUCUGUGUCUGAUUCUGAGGACAUUCUUUUACGAAAUGUCCUGAUUUCCCACACUUGAAACAAACAUUUUUACCCAAGAGACAUUCUCCUUUGUGAGGUCUAUCGCACUUAGGACAACGCCCUUCACUACUGACUCCUGCUAUAUUCGUUCUUCCUUUCUUUGGUGCAUUAUUCCCUUUUCCUUUGCCGGUAUUAUGUUUAUCAAAAUUCCACUUCCUCUUACCUGAGAAAUUUUGAACUUGGUAAGAAUUUUCAAUGUUUUGAGUUCUUUGAUAAGAGAUAGUCUGGGCUCGCUUUAGGACUUCUCGAUAAGUGCCCAGCUCAAGAACUGACACUAUGUCACGAAUAUAAGGUUGAAGUCCACGCUCAAAUCUUCUAGCCCGCUUUUCCUCAGUAUCCACUAAAUGUGGAGCAAACCUUGAUAAUUCCUCAAAUUUGCGUUCAUAUUCUACGAGGGUCAUAGUUCCCUGCUGAAGUCUAAGGAACUCCAUCUCCUUUUGAUCUCUCACAGCUGUCGGGAAGAAUUUUUCUUCUACAAGUUUCUUAAACCUUUCCCAAGUUAUAGCCUGUUCUUCAGCAGGUGUUAAUGACCUAGUAGUCAUAUCCCACCAAUGGCUAGCCCCCUUCUUUAACAUAAAUACUGAAAAUGUUACCCUUUCAGCGUCAUCACAUCUUAUAAAUUUAAAGAUGCGUUCUAAUUCUCGUAACCAAUCCUCAACUGCUAAGGGAUCCAUACUCCCCUCAAACGAUGGAGGGUUCAUUUUACGAAACUGCUCUAUCAUUGCAGUUCGAUCCCUCGAGUUAGGUACUAUUUGAGGUUGAAUAAUUGGUUGGUUAGGUUCCUGAUGAUCAACUGGUAUUUGUUGAUUUAGGGUUCGUUGCCCAGUCAAAGGUGGUGCCUGUUGUUGCUGUCCCAACUCCCGAAUUACAGCAAGUAGUUCUCGUGCAAAGUUUGCAACAUUAACUUCACCACUACUAGAACUAGCAUUAGCAUUACCGUGGUUACGCUUUGGAGGCAUUUCCUUUAAAAAAAAUAUAUACAUCCAGUUAAAAUUUACUUCAGAUCGUAAUACUAACUUUAGAAAAAAUUCAAAGGCCAAGGCAACUUUCCUUCAUAUAUAUACAUUAUUGUUUUUCACAAACAAAAACCAUGUUGAGGUAUGGUACAUACAUUCAAAAGCAGAGAUACAUGUUACAUCNNNNNNNNNNNNNNNNNNNNNNNNNNNNNNNNNNNNNNNNNNNNNNNNNNNNNNNNNNNNNNNNNNNNNNNNNNNNNNNNNNNNNNNNNNNNNNNNNNNNNNNNNNNNNNNNNNNNNNNNNNNNNNNNNNNNNNNNNNNNNNNNNNNNNNNNNNNNNNNNNNNNNNNNNNNNNNNNNNNNNNNNNNNNNNNNNNNNNNNNNNNNNNNNNNNNNNNNNNNNNNNNNNNNNNNNNNNNNNNNNNNNNNNNNNNNNNNNNNNNNNNNNNNNNNNNNNNNNNNNNNNNNNNNNNNCCAUAACUUUCUCGAAGCAAAUAUGUAAGGUCCUCAUAUGAAAGGUCAUCAUCAGACCAUAGCACAAUCUCAUUUAUGACUGAGGCCCAAGGUUCUGGAAUAGUUUCAUAUAAUCUUUGUAUCUUCACCUUAUCCCUUAAGCUAUGGUGUAUCUCCCAUAACAUCCCAAUAAUACAGUCUAGCAGUUCCAAAUGUUGUUCGAGAUUAUGGAGCGGAUGCAUACGAUAAUUAUAAUAAAAUGCCAAUAAUAUGUCCCGCUUCUUCGCAAAACCACAAACUUCUGUCCUUGUGGGGGUUCUUACUAUUCGUGCCAUAACUAGGACAAACAUUGAUUAUGUUACUCCACAAGGUUCUCNNNNNNNNNNNNNNNNNNNNNNNNNNNNNNNNNNNNNNNNNNNNNNNNNNNNNNNNNNNNNNNNNNNNNNNNNNNNNNNNNNNNNNNNNNNNNNNNNNNNNNNNNNNNNNNNNNNNNNNNNNNNNNNNNNNNNNNNNNNNNNNNNNNNNNNNNNNNNNNNNNNNNNNNNNNNNNNNNNNNNNNNNNNNNNNNNNNNNNNNNNNNNNNNNNNNNNNNNNNNNNNNNNNNNNNNNNNNNNNNNNNNNNNNNNNNNNNNNNNNNNNNNNNNNNNNNNNNNNNNNNNNNNNNNNNNNNNNNNNNNNNNNNNNNNNNNNNNNNNNNNNNNNNNNNNNNNNNNNNNNNNNNNNNNNNNNNNNNNNNNNNNNNNNNNNNNNNNNNNNNNNNNNNNNNNNNNNNNNNNNNNNNNNNNNNNNNNNNNNNNNNNNNNNNNNNNNNNNNNNNNNNNNNNNNNNNNNNNNNNNNNNNNNNNNNNNNNNNNNNNNNNNNNNNNNNNNNNNNNNNNNNNNNNNNNNNNNNNNNNNNNNNNNNNNNNNNNNNNNNNNNNNNNNNNNNNNNNNNNNNNNNNNNNNNNNNNNNNNNNNNNNNNNNNNNNNNNNNNNNNNNNNNNNNNNNNNNNNNNNNNNNNNNNNNNNNNNNNNNNNNNNNNNNNNNNNNNNNNNNNNNNNNNNNNNNNNNNNNNNNNNNNNNNNNNNNNNNNNNNNNNNNNNNNNNNNNNNNNNNNNNNNNNNNNNNNNNNNNNNNNNNNNNNNNNNNNNNNNNNNNNNNNNNNNNNNNNNNNNNNNNNNNNNNNNNNNNNNNNNNNNNNNNNNNNNNNNNNNNNNNNNNNNNNNNNNNNNNNNNNNNNNNNNNNNNNNNNNNNNNNNNNNNNNNNNNNNNNNNNNNNNNNNNNNNNNNNNNNNNNNNNNNNNNNNNNNNNNNNNNNNNNNNNNNNNNNNNNNNNNNNNNNNNNNNNNNNNNNNNNNNNNNNNNNNNNNNNNNNNNNNNNNNNNNNNNNNNNNNNNNNNNNNNNNNNNNNNNNNNNNNNNNNNNNNNNNNNNNNNNNNNNNNNNNNNNNNNNNNNNNNNNNNNNNNNNNNNNNNNNNNNNNNNNNNNNNNNNNNNNNNNNNNNNNNNNNNNNNNNNNNNNNNNNNNNNNNNNNNNNNNNNNNNNNNNNNNNNNNNNNNNNNNNNNNNNNNNNNNNNNNNNNNNNNNNNNNNNNNNNNNNNNNNNNNNNNNNNNNNNNNNNNNNNNNNNNNNNNNNNNNNNCUUACCUUUACACAUGUUUGGUCUACUAUCUAAGUGUAUGGUGAUGAUGGAGGACAAGUGGGUUGAUUAUAGGGUAAUAAGUGGCCUUAAAACCUAGAUUUACAAAGGAAGCCUCUUAUCUUUUCAACUAAUAUAAUCUAACCCUCUAACUUUCAUUGUUAACAAAGUGUACCCAAAUUUAAACUUGUACCCAACUUACAUAUUCAAAAAUUGUAGAUUGUAACAUAAUUUAAUCAUUUGGUCAAUUGAAGUCCUAACAAAAUAAUCCACUUCAUUCAAGUCCAAACUUGUCUUAAGUUUCAACUAACUAACAAUCACUUCAUACAUACACAACCUUUGACACUUCAUGCCUACAUUCAUUAACUACCUCUAACAUUAACCACUACAAAGGUGGUGUCCCCUUUUUCCUUAUGGCCAAAAAGAGUAUUGAAAGUUAAAUCGUUAUCCCAAAGAAAUUUAAACAAGCAUAAAAUUUUGGAGUAUUACGUACACACUAUUCGUUUCAUCAAUACUUUACUAUAUUGACAUAAUGAGUUUGUCCACAUGAAGCAUUGAACUGUUCAACAUCAACGAGCCAUUACUAGUUCUCGAUUCGUCUCUAUUAUUCCCAAUCUAAAUUUUGUCAGACGAUGAGAGAGUUCACCCUCCUAUUAGUAGGAGAGCCAUUUCCCCCUUUCUGUUUCCCAACUUGGAAGAUGUAGCGGCGGAAGGUGCACAAUCACCCAACGCUAUGCUCGAUGAGGUUUCGAGGUCGAUACUGGAUAUAAGGGGGGAGCGACGACGAUAAGGAAUGGCUAGCGUACAUCCCAUAGAAUGAGGUAAUUAUCAUCUCAUUGGACUAGUCGAGUAAAGACAGCGGGGAACAAGGCUUAGUUGUUGAUGACGAAUUAAGUGACACCCAUCGAAUGCAGUGAAUAAGUGAUGUAAAAUCCAGUCUUUCGUACUUCUUGAAUUUGGUUAACACAAAUUCUAAAGGUCUGCACGAUCAUCCCGGUAGGAUGCGAUGGGUAGUGUAUUUUGUGGUCCAACUGUCUAGAAUUACAGACACUAUCUGCCGGGAAUGACAAAUGAAGUUUCGAGCUUUAAUGCAGUAUUUUGUAAAUGGCCCCAUAUUUUGUAGUAUGUUCAACGGAUGUUAUGAAAUUGUGUUUAUCAUGCACUCAAUUUAGUCGAGUAUUUACGAUGUUGCAAAUUACAAUAUGUUUCGUGGAGAUUCAAAAAAUUGUUUUUAAGUGGACCAAAAAUAGAGAAGGUUCUACGUCGUCCCUUCAAGUAUAUAUACCAACCGUAGAGUAGGAGGGCAAAUUGUAUGGUUUCAAAGUUAUAUUGUGUCAUAUCUUUUUAUGUAUGCUUAUUCUGAAUAAUGUAAGCUGAUAAUGGGUAUGCGCACACCGUAGGUUGAGCGGAUGUAAAAAAAUGGAUUUCAUUAUGCCCUCAAUUCAGUCCACUAUUUAAAAUGUUUCAAUUUAGAAUUAAUUUGGUUGGGAUUGAAAAAAUAUUUCUUAUUUGGACAGUCGAUGGAUAAAAGGCUUUGCUUACUACCUUCAAGUAUUUAGUACGAUCGUGGAGUUAGAGGGUUAAUUGUACACUUUUAAAAAUGUUGUGUCCUGUAGGAAUUGUGAAUUUUUUCAUCAUGCAUACAAAAUGUACAGUUCACCAUGUAUGUGAAGUUGAUAUUGAAUGCAGUGAAGGUCUUCGUCAAUUGUCGAUAAUGAAUGAGACAUCUAUCCAGACUGACAUUUUAAUAGUAACUAUGAAAAACUUCUCAAUUAUCACAAGCUGAUCUUUUUUAAGUAUAUUUUUGUAAAGAGAAUGGUAGAUACAUGCAAGAACAUGGAACUAUAAUGUGACACAUCGGUACAAUUGAAAUGGAAUUUAAAACUUUCAAGUGAAUAACAACAAAUUAUCUUAGGGAAAUUCAAUUGUCAUGUUACAAUGGGGUGCUCAUCUUCACUAUUUGCACCAUUUACGGCAUGAUUGAACGGGAGUAAAGUGCACUUUCGCCUUUAUCCAUCAUAGCAUAUGUCUUUCACAUUUGAAGUGGAUUGUGCUUCGUGGUUUUAACUGAAUGAUGUUAAAUGCUUCCCUCAAAUAUCUCAAGUUUAUACGGCAUGGAAAGUAAACAAUAUCGGACGAUGAGGAAAUGAGUUCUAAAAUGUCGAGAUGUAAUGCAGGGAGUUUAACUGCAGGAUUUGUGCUUCGGUUGCGAGCAUAAGAAAUACUAAUAUAUGCAAACGAGAAUAAUAACAAAAUUAUAAUAAAUACAUCGGUUCAGUACAAACAACAUCGGUACAAUGUAAACAUACAACUUCGACCAGUCACGAAGAAGAGCCUAUUUUCGAUUAUGACCGACUCCACCACAGCGAAUGCAUUUCCUCAAUCAUGUGGUGGACUCGUAGUUGGAUCGAUGACAUCGUGUGGGUAGUCUACCUGGAGGACGAUGUACACUUGGUGGUAGAAUAUGAGUACCUGUAAUUUCGUUCAGGACAAUGCAUUCCACUUCACGCGUAACAGGAUAGAUUACUUCACUGUAGGCAUCCCUCCAGUAUUUUGAAAUAUAAUACGGUGAGCAUAAAUCAUACAAUGACUUACCUCGCAACAGGCAACACGACUUGCAUGAAUGCAUGGCAUAAGAUUCAGUUGAAACUCGCGAAAAGUGCACAAGUUAUCAAAAAAGUCCACGAUCUUUGUGUCAUUGGGUAGUCCAACUUGUGUUAAGGUGUCUAUCAAGCCUUGAGCUCGAAGCCUUGCAUCUGCUUCGAACAUUGUCCGUAACUCGUUCUCCAUCCUCGAUGACAACACGACACUACAUGUCGUUGCAUUGGUUUGACGUUCGUAGAGCCACUUCUGCAUAGUUUGCCAAAUGUAUUCGACCAAGCAUGUGAUCGGCAAUGAACGUGCAUGUCUCAACUUUGAGUUCAAAGAUUCUACUUUAUUGUUUGUCAAAAUGUUGUAACAUUGCCCAAAGAAUAGUGCUCGUGACCAAAAUGAAAAACCAGCUUGCUCCAAGUAGCCAUACGCUCUUUCAGUUACCCUACAGAUCUGUCUCAUAAGUCUUUUGAACUCUUCGACCUGCGUUGCUGUACCGUUGGAUUAAGUUCUUCUCCAAAGUGAGACAGAGGAAAUAGGUGAACAAUGGCAUUAGAAAUAUUAUUUUUCAUAAGCACUUUCAAGGUCAACAGAAACCACAUCCACGAUUUAUUUAUUUUGGCAUCGAUGAUCCCCAUGCUAAGGGGUUUGUUGGCAUCUUAGCGGUUGCCAGUAGAAGCAUACCUUUAUAUGGACCUUUCAAGUGACUAUCCUCAACAUAAAUAACGAGCCUCAAGUAGUGCAUGUAACCACGAGUGCUUGCACUGAAAGACAGGAGGAAGUAAUGAAACCUGUUAUGGGAAUCAACUUCAAUGUGGAUUACUGUCCUCGGGUUACACUCUCUUAGGACGUGACAAUAUGAAGAUAGUUUUUGGAAACUGUCCCCCCGAUGUAUCGUAUAGCAUAUGUAAAGCAGCCAUCUUGCUUCUAUGUGCUUUUUGGUAACUUAUUUUCACACCAAACUCGCGUUCCAUAUCAUGUGCAAUAGCGGUAGGAUCAUACGAUUGGUAUAGAUUAUCCAAUUUUCCCAAAAUAUGCUCGAUAAUUACUGAAGUAGUGGCAUGUCAUGUGCGUUAUGACUGAAAUCUACGAAACACGUGUGCAGAUUGUUGAAUUUACGGUUCAUGAAUAUUGCUGACUGCUUCACACUCGAAGCACAUAACAUCCACUUACAAUUAUUAUCUGCGCAUACAAUGGUUAACAUUUUGAGGCUUGACCUAUUCACCUUAAAAAGGAACUUGUUUUGCAAAGCAAGCACACGAAUUUUCGAGUACAACUCUUUCUUGCUCAAGAAUAUUUUUUGUUCAACAAGAUCGGAUGUAUUCACACUUGUAAUCCAUUGGUAUGUAUCCGAACUCUGGGAAUGUGAUGACAUUUCCUUGUCAACAUCUGCAAUAUGAGCGGCAAUUGUACCAUGUAAUGGGUCGUCCAACAUCUCAUCUAAUGGUGCAACCCCAACGUAUUCAAUUGGACUAUCGGCUGCAUUAUUGUUUGAGACGCUAGGCUCAUGAUGGAAAUCAUCUUGUUGUACAUUAUGGUGAACAUCCACUGCUCCAAACGAACGAUCAUGCAAAUUUGUAUCCCUCCCUAUGUCAACACUCGGCAGAUUAGUUUCCAAGAUAGUAAUGCAGAGGGCAGUUUCCAUAUGAACAUAUUUGUACCAAAUUAGAUCUUCAUCUUCACGUAUUAGCCGACGGUAUAUUCAUAUUCGGGACUUUGAACUUCAAUUCAAUUUCGAUGCACGGAUUAAUAAUACCAAAUUUGUUAUUCAACCGUAAUAGAAAUGACAUUAGUAAUUUUUUCUCAGUUUUCCCCUACUAUCAUAAAAAUUGGAUUCAUGAAAUUAUCUCCGUUUAUAAUACCAGAAUCAAAAGAAAAAAAACAAUCUCUUCUAUUUUUACGUUUAUUGACUAACAGUAUUUUGAUGAUCUAGCCACUAUUUUUUGAAACCUUUUUAUUUUACUCAAAACAAAAUCUUACAUCAUUGGUUUGAGACAUUUAAAUCAGAAACUUCAAAACUCUAACAGUUUUCAGUUGUUACACUGGAGCACGGCCAUGUACUAAAACCUAGCCUUCAAUUGAAAUUUAUUCAGCUUGGCAUUUUAAAUCAAUUGCUUUGAUGUUAGAAUUAAAAAAGACACAUUUUGCAACUUUCAUAAGAGGAUUUAGCAUUUUCAUUUGUAAACUUAUCAAUAGGCACAUAGCAUAAAUUAGAUGGCUGGCAUCUUCACCUUUUUUAAUUCGGCGCAUGGUACUUUAUGAGCCAAGAGAACAACAUCAGGUUUGCACUUCUGAACUAUUGAGAGACCUAAGAGCGAUCAGUACAAUUAAAUGACUGUACACAUAAAAGAUAUUUGAUCUCUAUUUUUCAGUACAUAAACAAAUGAUAUGGUGACUAGAAAACUUAUCUCAGUUGUAAAAAGAUUUUGAAAAUAAAAUACUUGUCUAAGAACAUUAAGCCCCUGUUUGGGCUCCAUUAAAAUGUUAAUGCAUUUAUCUCUUCUUCUUUUCAACCAUACGUUUUUUAAUAAAAUAGUAUUAUAUGUAAAUCCACAACUUUUCCUUUUUAACCACACAUUCUUAACAAAGUUACUAUUUCAAAAUGUAUUUUCACCAAAACCUCAUUAAAAUGGACCAAACAAAGGCUAAGUGAGCCUUCACUAGUUCAUCAGAGAAGAUGAGUCUAAUAGUAAUCAGAACGACUACCAAAAUGGAAAGAAAACUAAUUAAUAGGUGCAGAAUUCUUUUAUGUCCAUUUUACAAUUAUUUAGGAAUGAGAACACCUCCAUCAUAAUUUUCUACACAUAAAAAAAUGAAAAGACUGUUAAAAUAAAAUGAAAAUUCUAGAUGCAGAUUAUAUUUUCAAUUGCAUACCAUCAACAUGAUCAUGAUGAUGAUGAGUUACAAACAUGAUUAACUUUCGUGGAAGUGCAACAAUGAUUUGUUCAAGCUGACAGUGCAAGAGAGCAGAACAAAUUGCAUGAUUAAUAGUAAUUGGGCAAAUACUCAUAGCAUCAAAUAAAAGAUUUUUUAGUCACAAAGUUUUUAUGAAAUAGCAAUACUCAUUACUAACUAAAAGUAAUAUCUAUGGCCAUUCUGCAAAGUUCUCUUCUGAUGACAGUUUAAGGUGAACAGUAGAAUGUGAAUACAGUAAUUGAUUCGACCAAGGUAAUAUUCUCUUUGGUAACUCACUCGAAACACAAGCAAAUGCUGAAUUGGGAAAUAUAUUACUAUCAUUAUUGUGCAUUUUAUUUUCUAAAUUGAACCAUUCUGAAACCAAAGAACAACAGUUGACUUAAAUACGAUGACUAAGUAACUGAACUGAUUCUCGAAUUUCUCAAGCGGGCACUGAGUUCACAGUUCAAAAAUUACCCAUCAUUUACACUAUUCUAUGGUGUGACAGUCAUCAAACCGACUUUUAUAGUGGGUCCUACAUGGAACUCUCUCUGUGCUAAUCAAUAGAUGCUAGUUCAAUUGUUUUAAAUAAUUUCAAUUUGGAAGGAUCACGCAAAAAGUAUCCAUUUUUUAAGGACUAUAAGUCUGUACAAUUCAAUAUUUAUAGUGAUACAUCAUUCAUCUCUUUCCAUUUUUAAUUCUUUUUCUUAUUGUACCUCUUUAUGCAUAGUAGACUUGCAUCCUGGAUCAACAAUCAAUACAUCUCCACAAGUAACAAAACUAUCACCAUCGCAGCCAUCAUAACUAGUCCCAAGAAAAAAUACAACUAAGUUUGAAGUAUGGAAAGGCUUUGCUAUUCUGCUUCCCAUGGGAAUAAGUUUAACACCCAGAGGAUACUCCUGCAUAAUAAGAAGGAUUUUACGUCCUUGAAGAACAAUGAUUUUAUUCAAGCAAUAUAAACAAAACAUCAACAAAGUGAAACUGCAUGUACAUAUUGAAGUCUAACUAAAAAUUUAGCAAGUAAAGAAAAUUGAAUUGCUCCAGACACUUUUGAGCCUAUAGCUAAAUGUUAGAAAAUGUCAAGAGAGAAGAUUAUGACUUAUCUAGAGUAAUAUUUUUACAAAAUAUCUGAACAUUUCUAAAGUUGAUGACAUGUGAUCAUGGAUAAGCAUAAUUGAGUGAAGCAUGAUGUGCAUAACAUAGAACUUUGUAGAGUCUAUAUCCCAUAUAGACACCAGUCAGAACGCCAAUUAAGCCAGUGCAAAUGCUUCUACUGAAUUAAUUGUUCAUGUAACCCAUUAAAACCUUAAGCGACAGUUGCAAGCAAGGGCUUCUGUUCUGUUAGCUUGAUACCCAUUCUUCGAGUAGCGUUAUGUAAAAUCACAUUAUGAAUUGAUGUUCGUCUAGUUGCGUGUUACAAUUUGAAGUGAUUAUCUAAGGUUUCAUGAUCAUAUAGGAUGUCACAAAUUGUAUACUCGAUGGAUCGGGUAUAGUAAGACACAAUUCGUGAUGUGAUCAAAAUUAUGUCAUUCACAAUCGGUACAUAAAGUUGGACUAUUUAUGUUGAUAAGAUUGUAUUUUUUUAUUAAGAUUUGUCUAGAUCUUGAAAUAGGAACAAUAAUGUGUUUCGAUGCACAUUGAACGGGACCGCGUAAAUGGCUCAUUUGUGACCGUUUGAAAUGAGACUCUACUUGAUUAUCAAAUAGGUCACCUAACUUCUGAGUAUGUAAUGUACCUUUGAUUGCUAGUUCAAGUUCUUUGAGGUACCAAUGAGUGAAGUCUUAAAUAGAAAUUGAUCUCGGUGCUUUAGGAAUCGGGCCGAAACCAUUAAAGAUCAUAUACUUACAAUAGUGGAAUCCAUUAAUCAUUGAGAUGAGGCGAUCGUCACUCUCAGGUAUUUUCCUAGGCAAAUUGAACCUGAGCUUUGUAGGUCGAUGAUGAGAUCGUUGGACUUUACAUUGUGAUUUGAUCACAACGAAUUUACCGUAUGAAAAUGAUACUUAGAGGGUAAUACAUGUUGAAGGGCAAAAAUGGUCAUUUUGCCAGUUUCAAUAAAUUGGCGAUUAAAUAGGGGUUGACUUGUGGAACAAUAAUCAAAGGAUAUUGUUAUUGGAUCAUAAUUUGCUUCUAUAACUAUCACUCGACUCGAGAGUGCAAUCUCGAUUUUUUGGUAAAUUAAAUUGGGAUCAAUAGAUAUAUCUCAAUUGGUCAAGAGUUGACCCAAUUGGAAACAUCUAUUAGAGCUUGGGUCAUGUGAGUUCGAUUUGGUCACUCGGCUCCAAUAAAAAGUGUGUGACUUAAUUGAUCUACUAUAAUAAAGUCCAAGGAAAUUUGUGCAAUUUCCAAACCCUAAUAGGGCAUUAUAAAUAAGCACUUUAUUGGCGUAUUUUAUAUAAGAAUUAUGGUUAGUCACUUUUCACUUUCUUGAAAAGGAAAUACACCUAAUGGAGAACAAGAGAUAAGAUCAAAGGGAGGAAGCAAUUGGCUAGGCCAUUAAAAGCUCCUUCAAAAGGUUAUCAUCUCUUCUUUCUAUGUGUGAGGAUUUUUAUAAUCCAAUGAUCUCAAGGUUACUAAGAUCCUUUUAUUCAUAUAGUUUUAAUCUUCAAAGGAAAAUUAAUUUCCUAUUGUGAUGAUUAAAUCCAUUAACCAUCAAAUUGUAUCAAAGCAAAUGUUAUUGUAAGUCUUGAGUAGGAUUAAAAUUUUUAAACCCUAGUGUAAUAUGCAUUUUAGUUGGGUGGUGUUAGGAUAUUUGAUUUUGACAUGUUUAUACUUUAAAUAUAUUUAAAGUUAUUUUUGAUAUAUUUGUCAUCACUUUUGGCCCUAGAAUUUUUUUUACUUACUAUUGUAAUUAAUUGAUUGUUGUUGUUUUUCUCUAGAAAUGUUUUAAGCCGUAAGGCACUAGGCUUUUUUUUUUGUUUUGUAUUUUUUCUUUAUCUUCAUUUCUACACUUGUAUUUUGGGGAAGAAACAUGUUCUUGUUGCUGUUUUGGUUGAAGAAAUGUAAAGAGAAAAAGAGAUAACAAAAUGCAAGAAAAACCAAGAAACACCUCAGUUGGAUGGUGGCAGCAGCCAUAGCUGCUAGUUGGAGCAACCAUAGUUGCCACUGUCAAAGCAGUAGCGGUUGCUUCUUCGACAGUUGGGGGCCACCGAUUUUGGGGUCGUCGGUGGAGGUGCCGCCGCCAGAGUAGUGUGUGCUUUGGUGGAAGUGUGUUUUCUUACUAGGGUUUGAAAAUUAGGGUAAUUUGGAUUUUUUGGGCCUCUCUUUGAUACUUAGGGUAUGUUGUUGGAUAAUGACCUUGUUGGUUUUAAGAUUUAGGUCUAAAAAUUAAAUUAAUCCUAUUUUUAUGUUACAUGAGGUGGACGACAAAGAAAAUUGACGAAUUGGGCUGGGAUGUAGCCCAAUGUAAUUCUUUUUAUCCAUGUUGUAAUUUAAAUUCUUAGGAUGGGUCAUUAGUGAUUAUUAUUUAUUUAAUUAUCGCUUUUACCGCUUUAUGGAUGGAUGAAUGUUUAAUUAUUAUCGUAUGUCAUGUAGAUUAAAUGAAACACCACUCGAUGCACUAAAAUCAUAUGCAUUUACAUUUAAAUAUUUUUUUAUCAUUCUAAAUUAACUAGAGGUGGUUGAAAAAUAUUUUAUAUAAUUAAUGCCAUUAUAAUUGUUUAUAUUUGGCGGAUUAAUUAAGUGAAAAUCCGACGGUGCAAAAUAAUAAGUGGGAGAGGGUUUAUAGGCAUUUAUUAAUCUACGGCCUCCUCCGUCAUCCAAUAUGUUAUUAAAAUACCUAUAUUUAGUAUCAAAUUAUAUCGGUAUCCCUAUAGGAAAACUACAUUAUUUUAGAUUAACUAAAAUUGGAUCUAGUAAUAAAAUUUCUUUAAAAUGAAAUAAUGGGAUGAUCAUCCUAUAGACGACAUCUUAUAUAUUUCGGAUAUUUUAAAAUUAUUGACGGAGGUUAUUACACUUAUAUACGAAUAUUUUUGAGGGAAUUCCUAUAGAAGAUUUCAACAAAAUUAUUCAUGGGCCAAAUAAUAAUCAAUCCUCAUUUUUUUGUGGCAUGAGAUACCUAGCUCAAUAAAAUGAGUGGGAGGGUCCCAACCUUGCUAACAACUACAUUGACCUCCUAUAGAGGGCAUGUUAUAUGUUGUAAGGGUUUAAGGUUUUUUGAAUACAAAUAUAGUUUUGGAUCUAUAUUUGCAUAUUCAUAUAUAUGCAUCAUAUAAAGAUUAUUGCUCAUUUUAUUAAUACGCGAAUCGUUAAUUUUACAAAAAAAUGUUGCUUAAUUCAUUAUCAGUGAUACUUAACAAAAAUCAACUUGUGGGAGAAAAUUACGUUGACUGGAAAAUGAAUCUUAAUAUUGUUCUUACCGCUUAAAAACAUAAAUUUGUGCUGGAUGAAAAUUGUCCCGAAACCCUUAAAGAUGACUCCAUAGAAUCUCAAAAGGCUGCAUUUGAAAAGUGGCGUCAUUCUGAUGAGAUGGCCCGUUGUUACAUUUUGGCAUCCAUGUUAGAUGUAUUACACCAGAAACAUCAGAAUAUGGAAACUGGUUUUGACAUAAUGGAAAGUCUUCAAGAGAUGUUUGGACAUCAAAGUUGACAAGUUAGGCAAGCCUCCAUUAGGGUAAUUAUGAAAAUGCGCAUGAAACCCGUCACAUCUGUAAGGGACCAUAUAUUAACCAUGAUUGGUCAUUUCAAUGCUAUAGAGGUUUUAGGAGCUGAUAUUGAUUUUGAAACGUAGAUUGACAUGGUCCUUGAGACUCUUCCUGAGAUGUGCUCACAAUUUAUAAUUGAUUAUAAUCUACACAAGUUGGACAUGUCUCUGACAGAAUUAAUGAAAGAGCUCCAAAAUGUUGAAACUGUUCUAAAGGCCAGAAGUGGAAAUGCUUUGACUGUUACAGCUGGACCCUCUCAUCCUAAGCCUUCUGGUAGCAAAGGAGGAAAGAAGAGGAAGAGACCAAACAAAAAGCUAGAUAGCAAGUCAAAGGGGAAGAAAACUACUGCUAAUGGAAAACCAAAGGGAAAGUGUUUUAUUUGUGGACAAAAAGGUCAUUGGAAGAGGAAUUAUCGGGAUUACCUAGCUAAGGGGAAGCAAGGUAAAGGCAAUAAUGCCAUAUUCAUUAAGUCAUGCUUAGUGGUUGAUUCUACUAAUACCUGGAUUGUAGAUUCUGGAGCCACUAAUCAUGUUUGCAAUUCUUUGCAGGGGUUCCAGGAAACCAAGCAUCUUAGUGAAGGGGAGUAUACUCUUAGGGUUAGCACAGGAGCAGUAGUAUCUACCAAAGCUGUUGGCACUUUUACUUUAUGUUUUGAGAAUUGUAGGCAUUUGAUAUUAGAUAACUGUUAUUAUGUUCCCGAACUUACACAGAACUUGGUUUCCGUUGCACUUUUAUAUCAUGUUGGUUAUUUGGUAUUACCCAUUCUACGGUGGUUAUUAAGUUGAAUAAUUCUGUUAUAUGUUUAGGUCAUAUGGUUAAUAGUCUUUAUGUCUUAAGUUCUAUGAUUAGCUCUUUACAUAAUACUACUGCUAAGAAAAGAAAGAGGUCGUCUAGUACUGAUGAAACUCUCUUAUGGCAUCUUAGAUUGGGUCAUAUCAAUCUAAAUAGGAUUCAAAGAUUGGUAAAGGAUGGUCCUUUAAAUGAGUUAGAGGUGGAAUCUAUACCAACUUGUGAAUCUUGUAUAGAAGGAAAGAUGACCAAGAGGCCCUUUAAGGCUAAGGGACUAAGAGCUAAAGAGGUUUUGGAAUUAGUACAUUCCGAUGUUUGUGGUACUUGGGCUAGAGGAGGAUACGAGCACUUCAUCACCUUUAUAGAAGAUUACUCUAGAUUUGGAUACAUAUACCUAAUGUCUCACAAAUCCGAAGCUUUGGAGAAAUUCAAGGAGUUUCGGAUGGAAGUUGAGAAACAAUUAGGUAAGAGUAUCAAGGCCCUUCGAUCCGAUCAAGGUGGUGAGUAUCUAUCCUAAGAGUUUAAGGUCCAUUUGUCGGAUAAUGGGAUAUUAUCCCAAUUGAAUGCACCAAAAACUCCCCAACAAAAUGGUGUCUCAGAAAGAAGAAAUCGAACUCUUUUAGACAUGGUAGGAUCAAUGAUGAGUUAUUCCUCAUUGCCUAUAUCCUUUUGGGGAUGUGCACUGCAAAUAGCCAUUUAUAUCUUAAAUUUGGUACCAUCUAAGUCAGUUCCCAAGACACCUUUUGAAUUGUGAAAUGGGUGCAAGCCCAAUUUACACCACAUUCGGAUAUGCGGAUGUUCGGCACAUGUGCUAAAGGGAAAGACAGAUAAAAUGAAAUCAAGAUUAGAUGUUUUUUUCUUUGUAGGAUAUCCAAAAGGAAUGAGAGGUUACUACUUCUAUAAUCUUCUUGAUAAGAAGGUAUUUGUUAGCACAAAUGUAACCUUCUUAGAUGAUAAGUAUAUAGAAGAACACAGGUCUACUGUUAAGAUUCUACUGGAAGAGAUGUUAGAACAUGGUUCAAACAACUCAGUUCCAAAUUUUGCAUAGAAUCUAUUAGUGAUGACUUGGUACAUUCUACUGAACCAAUGGUUGCUGAUGAAGCAAGUGAGCAAGUGAUGCCCACAGGGCUUCAUAGGCAAACAAAAUAGAGGUAGCAGAGAAAGAAACACUAUUGUUGUACCUUCACAUGUCCCCUUAAAUGGGGAUAAUGAGGAUCUUGGUCCUAACUAAGGACAUGAUCAAAUAGUGGGAGGAGAGAAAGGACCUUUAAUCAGACUUGACAAUCAGGCACCUUCAACAAUUACUCGUAGUGGGAGAGUUGUAAGACCACCUUCUAGGUACUUGCUCUAUGGAGAGUCCUAUCAGGCGAUCUCUACUGAGCAAGGUAAAGAUCUUACUUCUUUUAAGGAAACAGUGGAGGAUGUAGAGUUUGAAUCUGGAAAUCUACCAUGAACUCAAAAAUGGAAUCCAUGUAUUCCAACAAGGUUUGGGAUCUUGUAGAUGCACCUAAUGGGUUAAAGCCUAUAGGGUACAAGUGAGUCUAUAAAAGGAAAAGAGUAUAGAUGGAAAGGUUGAAACCUUCAAAGCAAGGCUAGUGGCCAAGGGUUUUACCCAAAGAGAAGGCAUCGACUAUGAAGAAACCUUCUCACCGAUUAUCGUGCUUAAAUCUAUUCGAGUCCUUUUAUCCAUUGCCACUCAUUAUGAUUAUGAGGUUUGGCAAAUGGAUGUCAAGACAGCAUUUUUCAAUGGACGUCUUGAAGAGACCAUUUACAUGAUGCAACCUGAAGGGUUUGUGAAAGAAGGCCAUGAAAGGAAAGUUUGCAAGUUGCAAAGAGGUCCAUUUAUGGACUCAAGCAAGUGUCCAGAUCUUGGAAUGUAAGAUUUGAUCAAACCAUCAAGACAUACGGUUUUGAGCAAAAUCUGGAUAAACUUUGUGUGUACAAGCGAAUACAAGGGAAGAAAGUAAUUUUUUUGAUUCUUUAUGUAGAUGACAGUCUACUCAUUGGAAAUAAUGUAGGGACAUUAUCAUCUGUAAAGAAAUGGUUGCCAUAGAAGUUCGAUAUGAAGGACUUGGGAGAAGCUAGUUAUGUUUUGGGAAUCCGUAUCUUACGAGAUAGGAAAAACAAAAGGAUUGCAUUAUCCCGAGCUUUAUAUAUUGACAAAAUAUUGUUCAGAUUUGCAAUGCAAAAUUCCAAAAAGGGACAGCUUCCUUUUAGACAUGGAAUUCAUCUAUCCAAGGAGUAUUGUCCCAGGAAUGCAACGAAAAUAGAUUACAUGAGAAAGGUUCCUUAUGCUUCGGCUGUGGGAAGUCUCAUGUUUACUAUGCUUUGCACUAGACUGAAUAUUUGUUAUGCUAUGGGUAUUGUUAAUCGUUAUCAGUCUAAUCCAGGACCAAAACAUUGGGUAGCGAUGAAGCAUAUACUCAAGUAUCUUCGAAGAACAAGAGAUUAUAUGUUUGUCUAUUCAGGACAUGAUCUGAAUCCUAUUGGAUAUACUAAUUUCGAUUUUCAAUCUGAUCGUGACUCUAGGAAGUCUACAUCAGGAUUAGUAUUUACUCUGGAAGGUAGAGCUGUGGUAUGGAGGAGUAUCAAGCAAUCUUGUAUUGCUAAUCCCACCAUGGAAGUAGAAUAUGUAGCGGCUUGUGAAGCUACUAAAGAAGUUGUAUGGUUCAAGAAUUUUCUUUUCGACCUUGAUGUGGUACCUUUGGCAAUGGGGCCCAUAAUAUUUUAUUGCGAUAAUAGUGGGACAGUUGCCAAUGCUAAAGAACCCAGGAGUCAUCAGUGUGGCAAGUACAUUGAGAGAAAAUAUCACCUUGUUAGAGAGAUAGUUCAUCGAGGAGAUGUGACGGUUAGUAAGAUUGUAUCAGCAGAUAAUCUUGCGAAUCCGUUCACUAAGACCUUACCAACGAAGGCUUUUGAUGGGCAUCUUAAGGGGAUGGGUAUUCUUGAUAUGUCACACAUACUCUAAGAAGGGUAAGUGGGAGAUUGUUAGCUUGAUACCCAUUCUUCGAGGAGCGUUCUGUAAAAUCACAUUAUGAAUUGACGUUCGUCUAUUUGCAUGUUACAAUUUGAAGUGAUUAUCUAAAAUUCUAUGAUCAUAUAGGAUGUCACAAAUUGUAUACUCGAUGGAUCGAGUAUAGUAAGACACAAUUCGUGAUGUGAUCAAAAUUAUGUCGUUCACAAUCUGUACAUAAAGUUGGACACUUUAUGUUGAUAAGAUUGUAUUGUUCUUAUUAAGAUUUGUCUAGAUCUUGAAUUAUGAACAAUAAUGUGUUUCGAUGCACAUUAAACGGGACCGCAUAGAUAACUCAUUUGUAACCGUUCGAAAUGAGAUUCUACUUGAUUAUCAAACAGGUCACCUAAAUCCUGAGUGAGUAAUGUAUCUUUGAUUGCUAGUUCAAAUUUUUUGAGGUAUCAAUGAGUGAAGUCUUAAAUAGAACAUUGAUCUCGGUACUUUGGGAAUCAGGCUGAAACAAUUAGAGAUCAUAUACUUACAAUAGUGAAAUCCAUUAAUCAUUGAGAUGAGACGAUCGUAACUCUAAGGUGUUUUCUUAGGAAAAUUGAACCUGAGCUCAGUAGGUUGACGAUGAGAUCAUUGGACUUUACAUUGUGAUUUGAUCACCACAAAUUUAUCGUAUGAAAAUGGUACUUAGAGGGUAAUAUAUGUUGAAGGACAAAAAUGAUCAUUUUGCCAAUUUCAAAAUAUUAGCGAUCAAAUGGGGGUUGACUUGUGGAAUAAUAAUUAGAGGAUAUUGUUAUUAGAUCAUAAUUUGCUUCUAUAACUAUCACUCGACUUGAGAGUGCAAUCUCGAUUUUUUGGUAGAAUAAACCGGAAUUAAUAGAUGUAUCUCAAUUGGUCAAGAGUUUACCCAAUUGGAAACAUCUAUUAGAGCUUGGGUCAUGUGAGUCCGGUUAGGUCUCUCUCUUAGCUCCAAUAAAAGGUAUGUGACUUAAUUGGUCUACUACAAUAAAGUCCAAGGAAAUUUGUGCAAUUUUCAAAUGGCAUUAUAAAUAUGCACUUUAUUGACAUAUUUUAUAUUAGAAUUAUGGUUAGCCACUUUUCACUUUCUUGAAAAGGAAAUACACUUAGUGGAGAACAAGGGAGAAUAUCUAAGAGAAGAAGCAAUUGGAUAGGCCAUUAAAAGCUCCUUCAAAAGGUUAUCAUCUCCCGUUUCUAUGUGUGAGAAUUUUUAUAAUCCAAUGAUCUCAAGGUUACUAAGAUCCUUUUAUUCAUAUGAUUUUAAUCUUCAAAGGAAAAUUAAUUUCCUAUUGUGAUGAUUAAAUCCAUUAACCAUCAGGUUCAGGCCUGUAUUAGUUUCUAAGAAAUAAAGUUCCAACACUAGGACUGGAAACAAUGAAAUUCUCCGGCUGCAACCAAUUUUCCAAUGCCUAUGCCACCAUCAAUAAUUUUGUCACAUAUAAGUAUUGAUUAUUUAUUCCAGACCAAGACCACUGCAUCAAAAAAGAUAAUUAAUAAGAAGAGAAAGGGAAAAGAUGUUGAGGACCUGAUGUCAAAAUAUUCCAAUCUUGACAUUUUCCACACUGCCGAGAUUGGAGAGAUAACUGAAACUUGCUUUCCAUUUUUUCUUAUUUGUAAAGUCCAACUUCCCAGCAAACAAUGUGACGGGAUUUUAAUCCAAUAGUAGGAUGGUUGAACUAUGAAAACAAAUAUAAAUCAGUUUUCUUAAAGAUCGGGUUGGUUGUCAAUCCAACGUUAUUAUUACCCAAGCUCAGAAAGGUCCAUACAGGAAAUUUAGAAAAGGGGGGGUAUUAUGAUGCAGAGAUUGAUUUAGCUUUCAGAACCCAACCAAUACCACAAAAAACAAACCUGACAUCUCAAAUUGGAAGAGAUUUGCAAUUUUGAAUAUUCCAUUGAAUCAUUCAGAUAACCAAUAAAAAUUAGUGGUCCUAUAUGAUCAUUAUGAGGCUUCACUUCAAUAAGCAUAUCAAUGCAUCCUUUGGUGCUCAUCCACUUACAAAUAUAUGCAUGUAGGUAUAACAUACAUUAUUUAAGCCUCAAAGAAAUGACUAACUAUCAAUGAAAGUAUUUAUAGAUAAUUCUCUUUUCUAUUUAGAAGAAAGUCUCUUUUUAUGAAAUAAAAGAUGUGUUAUAAAAAUGUUAAAAAAAAUACUUUAUAUAGGCGAUAUUGCAAAUCCAGCAUGCCUUAAACAUGAUCGCUUGCAAUUAUGCACUUUAUAAGAUGAAAGCAAUAAAAAUCAACAUUUGAUUGUUGCCUGAGCCUGUUGUUUGAAGCACUUAGUAAAGUUAUGUUUAUGAGUCUAAAUGAAAAUAAAAGUGAUUUAUAGUCAUUAAAUGAAAAAUGAGCUCUAUUCAAAAGAAAGUUAAAAAAAAAAAUAAUUUUGUAAUAUUUUGUUGUAGUAUUGCCAUUCAAAGAUAUGUUUUGUUUUUUCUUCAAACAGAGUAAUCAGAUUGUGGCGCCGAAGGUGUUGCUCAAGAGACAACUAAAAUAGUCCCAGGCUGAGAAUCAGCUACGUCGUUAAGUCGAAAUACAGAGCCAUCUUCGACAUCCUAACAUACUACAACUCUAUGGUUAUUUUUAUGAUCAGAUGUGUUCGAGUUUGUUUGGUUCUAUAUGUUAAGAGGAAAAUUUUACAUUGGACUUAUAUGUAGCAAAAUAAUUGCAGACACAAGUUUAUUUAAUUUUGGAGUAUGCUGCCAAGGGAGAACUAUAUAAGAAGCUGCAAAAAUGUAAAUAUUUUAGCGAAAGACACGCUUCUACUAUAAGUCCUCUCGCUGUUUCCAGUGCUCUUCCUCCUAAAACUCAUCUAUACAUCUUUAAUUUUUAAUAUUCUAAUGACAUUUUUUUGAGCUUAUAGGAAGACUGACUAGAGGUCAUUAUUUGUUUUAUCGGAUGUGACCAGUAUGUUGCAUCAUUAGCUAGAGCGCUCAUUACUGUCAUGGAAACGCACGUGAUUCAUAGAGAUAUUGAACUAGAGAACCUUUUGGUUGGAGCACAGAUAUCUAGCGGCAUAUACUUGUUAGUCGAAAUGUUUCUUUGUGAAAGUACUAUAGAUUUUUCUCACUAUAAAUAAAGUUUCCCUCAUGGAAGAUCUUGUAGGUUUCUGGAUUUGAGAAUAAGGCUGUGAAGGAGUUGAAGCUUUUCUCAAAAGUUCAGUUCUUAGACUUUUGUCCAUGUUUUGCAGCGGUUUGGUUUACAAUAAAAUCAGAUUUUUAGUAUAUUUUAAUAAAAAUUGAUGGAACAUGUUAUUAAAAUAUUAUCCACUCUUUCAUCUGAUCAUCCCUAAGCAAUUUCCUCUUCUCGAUUUUUCCUAUAAGCUUCAAUCGCCACAGAAUCAUUCGAUUUAAUAUUGGUCAGAUUGCAUGUUCAUGUCUGUAAAAUAUUUAAUUAACUAGACAGUGAAACCCAAGGUCCCUAAUUAAGUAUGAAUAAUCUAAAUAAACUGUCACCUUAUACCAAUAAGUUAAUUAAAUUAAUGAUUAACCAACAUAUGUAGCCAAUCAAUGACUAGAAAUAUGACAUUUGUCCCUGACGACCUGUAUCAAAAUGGCACACCUGAUUCAAUGUUCUAGUAGGUUACGUGGGUGGAGUCGUGUUAGAUGUAACAAUCCAAUAGACUUUAUGCCACUAAUCUAUAUAGAUAAAAGGUCAAUAUGCCCCUUUGUAUGAACCUUCAGGUGACUUAUCCUCCAUCAAUCUAUGCCAAACUUUUGAACAAAUUCAUUUUGUUGGGUUUUUUGAUACCCAAUAAUUCGAGCGAUAAUUUAAAAUAGUUGUCAAAUUAUUUAUCGACACCAUGGACUUGGCUUGACUCGGAGACGAACUACACUUUUGGAUGGCUUGGGUUUGGGUUGGAUAAUUAUUUGGUUAGUUAGACCAUUUAGUGAUUAAUAUGGAGUUGGAAAUUGGCCCAUUAGUUUAGGUUAUAUGACAGCCCACUUAGAGAUCUCUUGGCCCAUAUUUGGUGACCUAAACUAACCUAUAUAUAUGUAUCUAUCUCCCAGCCGUGUGGUGUGCGUGCGUGUUGUAGCAAUGGAGAGGAGAGUUAAGAGAAGAGAGGCAGCCGAGAGAGAGGGAAGCCAUGUGAGGUUGUGAGUGAGAUUCAACCAUUUUGAUAUCUUCUUCUUCCUCUCCAUACCUUUGUGGAUUGGUAACGCCAUCACCUUUCUCCUUUGUGGGGUUAGAGAGAAAGAAGGCAGUCCAAAUGUGAAGGCGAAAGUCUUGGGUCGAGCCGAGGUAAAUCAGUGUUCGUUUGAUUAUUUUCUGAACUCGGAAUCAAGAUUUAUCGAGGAAUUUCGGCGACAAUUGGUAUCAGAGCUUGUGUUGUUGAUAAAUCUUUGAUUUUUGGAGCUAAAAAUGAGUUGGAAGUGGCCAUAAAUCGAUCUAGAAAAUAGGCAGAAAACUGGACGAAAUGUGGGCAGAUUUUUACAAAACUGGACAGAUUUUUUUUUGGCAUUUUCUUGUAAAACCAAAAAUAGUUUGGAGAAAUGGACACCGCUAGUGGACUUGUAGGCAGAGACGUAUCCAGAAGGGUGACGUGUGGUCGACGCGUGUGGCGCCGGCGCCGGUGCAUGGAGAUCUGGCCAGGGCGUGUGUAGGCACGUCGAGCAGAAUUCGAUGAAGGUGUCUUCAGAUAGAAUGUUGCUAGUGAUGAUACAGACCAUGCAGUGUUGUCGGAUUUCAUUUUUGAACAAUAUCGUGAAAGUUGGAUGAUUUUGCCCUUGGAAAUUCGUGUGCCAGAUGCUAUUUUUCGUGUAGCUGUGAUUGUUGGUGACUUUAGGAUGAAAAAUGACAAUCCUAAAGUGGUGACUUCGCGUCUAUCAAUAUUUAUAGACCGUCAGACAUGGUCUGCUCGGUAUCGUAUUCUUUGCCUUUUAUUAUUGUAGUUAAAAUUAAUGUGUAGGUUAAUUAUUUAUUUUUCAAGUUAGAAGUCAUCAUGAGGGGUGACGUUAGGUUUGGGGUUACUGUGAAGGGGUAACCAUUGCCUGUUGUUAGACUAAGAAAUUAUAUGUUAAUUAAUUGCUUUAAAUUCUAUGUGAAUUUAUCACCAAUUUUUCUACACCGAUAGAAUUGCAUGUGACCUUAGAAAAGUUUACUUGACUAUUCUGUGUGAAUUAUGUGUCAGUACUUUACUUGUGGUCAUUAUUUGAUAUUGUUGGCAUGUAUAGGUCUAAGGCAAGUGCGAAAAAUAAAAUAUAUUUUAACUGUGGUAAAAUUUGGGUAUAGCUGAAAGAGAUUGUCCUAGGAUGAUAAUAAAAGGAAAGAUGAGGAUAGAGAUGAUGCGAAUGUGACUUUAUGGUCGAGUAGUGAUCCUAAUGAGGUUUUAUUGAGAGAAUAAACCUCGUUACUGCAUUACAUCUGUGUGUAAUCCUUUCUGCAUGCAUUUAAUUAUUUAAUUCUAUCGCGUUGUUAUGUUACACUUUCAUUAUGUUUGAUAUGUGUAAUUGUGUGAAUUAGAGUGAUUUAUUACUUUGUGUAAUGUGUUUGCAUGCAUAGUAGGUUGAGAUUUGUGACGUACUCUAUUUGCUCUGUGAGUAGUGUGAGAGUAUGGUAGUAAGAAGAAAGGUGGGCAACCGUUUUCUCAUUUAUCUUUGUUAGCCUAUGUGGUUUGUGAUAUUAUGUGAGGCGGUCAUGUUAGGGUUACAUUCUUUCUCUUUGUGAGCCUUUUUUUGUGAGUGUAGUGAAGUAACCGACUCUUUCUUCAAUUUUUCUUUGUGAAUGCCACCUUCAUCGUUUUCUUUGUGGAUUUUUUGAAGCUUUGGUGAUUCGAAUAACCUUUGUGGUCACCGAAAGGUGUUAAUUUGCUGUAGUGAGUUUGUGAUGAAUUAGCAGUGUGUUAGAUGCCUUAUGGUAAGGUGGAGUAUAGAUGCCUAGAGGUGCAUUUGUGAUAUGCAUGGGAGAUGUGGAGUUUGACAUUUAGAUCACGAGAGGUGAGGUGAUCAAAUGUUGAAAUUCUUUAUCUGCGAAAGAGACCCUGUACAGGUAGAGUGUGAGAGAGGCACUUUUAUCACUUCUGUAAGAUAGAGUCUCAUUAUCCACGUAGGUUGGGAGAAAUGAUGUGGUGAUAGAGGAUUAUCUCGAGACCUUAGGAUCUAUUGUGAUUUGCCAUUAGACAUAAGUUGAACGAUUGGUUUAGUGAGCAUGGUGGGCGAUGAAAGGAAAUAUGUGUUUUUGAGGUAGGAGUAACACGAAAUGGGAUAGGAUAAGUGUGGUGAGAUCUUUCGUGAGGUCAUUUACACAUUUGUUGCAAAUGUGUUUGACUGUGUGCUGAUUAACUUGAUGUUAGUUUGUAGUUCUGUGUGAACGUGAUUUUGAAAAGAUCUCUGUGUGUGUUAUCUUAUAUAUCUUCAUCGCAUGAUUGUUUGUUAACUGUGAAUACUUGUUUCUACUUGGAUGUUUUUGACCUUAGCCCUGCUAAGUACAUGGAGCAAGUAUCAUAUGUGUUUCAGGUUGAAAACAUGAGGUAAGGUCUGUGGUUCCAAUUUUAUUGGAUUAUCUUAAUUGUGCAAGUAUAAACUUUGUGUUUUGGUUGCCUGUAGAUUAACAUCAAAGUGCAGAUUGUUGGAUUUUUUAUACCCAAUAAUCCGGACGAUAAUUUAAAAUAGUUGUCGGAUUAUUUAUCGACACCAUGGACUUGGCUUGGCUCGGAGAUGAACUACACUUUUGGAUGGCUUGGGUUUGGGUUGGAUGAUUAUUUGGUUAGUUGGACCAUUCAGUGAUUAAUAUGGAGUUGGAAAUUGGCCCAUUAGUUUAGGUUAUAUGGCAGCCCACUUAGAGAUCUCUUGGCCCAUAUUCGGUGACCUAAACUAACCUAUACAUAUGUAUCUAUCUCCCAGCCGUGUGGUGUGUGUACGUGUUGUAGCAAUGGAAAGGAGAGUUGAGAGAAGAGAGGCAGCCGAGAGAGAGGGAAGCCAUGUGAGUUUGUGAGUGAGAUUCAACCAUUGUGAUAGUUUCUUCUUCCUCUCCAUACCUUUGUGAAUUGCUAACACCACCACCCUUCUCCUUUGUGGGGUUAGAAAGAAAGAGGGCAGUCAAGGUGAAAGUCUUGGGUCAAGUCGAGGUAAACCGUUGUUCAUUUGAUUGUUUUCUGAGCCUGGAAUCAAAAUUUAUCGAGGGAUUUCUGUGACACGUUCAAUAACAAAAGAAGCAAACAAGAUUUUGCAAUAUAACUACAUUGCUUUAUUCAAUACAAAACCAAGUCAAACUCAAUCUAAUCACAAGUUUUCUGAUGAUACAACAUACAAUGGAGAUACUCUAUUCUUGUACCAUAAAUUUGUCGACUCCUCUUAAUGACAUUCUUUAUUUUCCUAAUCACUACACAAGUUUCUUAGAACAAAAUAUCUCUCGUACAGAAUAUAAUAAAGCAAUGGCAACAACAGCUCCAGCUCCUAAGAACUUGGCUGUUGGUAGACGAAUUUCCUUUGAGGAUACAGCGUUACAUAGGUAUGCCCAAGCCCAUCGGGAUAAGAAAUGUAGCUUGCAACUUGCAAGUCGAUUGAAACUUUUGUAGGGAAAAUUCCUAUACAUGGCAAAGUAGAGUGGAGUUUGAGGUCAAGUGCACAGAGAUAAAAGAGAACAGUUAAACUGAAACUAAACACAAGCAAUAAAGAAUAAAACCAUAGUUAGUAGUAAGUCGUUCAAUUGAUCAUUAUUUCUCUAUGUAGGAUUUCAAUACAAAACAGUCACAGGGAAGUCGUCCUACCUAAUAUAGUUUUGGUAAGUUCUUAAAGGAGAAGCUUUCCUCGUGGGCUCAUAUUUUAGCCACAUUUCCAGCAAACUCAGCAAGACUGCUAUUGAAAUUUUCUAGAGAAAAAUCCUGCAUGGUUCAGAGGAAAGAUUGGAUUUCUACUGUAAUAAGCCAAGUUCCAGUGCAAAGACAGUAGAUGUUUUGACUUUCUGCCAUUAUAAUUUACGUAGAAAAAAAGCACACAUACAAAAAUGCAAAAUAGGACAAGAAAAAAUUAGAGAAGAAAGGCAGAUGAAUGCUACCUUUGGUAAUUUAUCCUACUGAGCUCAAAGACUGCGAUCAACUUCAGCGUACUUGUAUGCAACAAUGUCAAGUAACUUUUUCCCUCCACCUUUUACAUCUUUCAACAUCAGCGUACUUAUAUGCAACAUGAGAAGUGCUACAUAUACACUCUAGUGUACAGCCCCCUCACAUGAGAGGGGUCCAAUGAAUUUUUUAAUCAUCGUGGGCCCUCUCUCAUGUGAGAGGGGUGUACACUCUAGUGUAUAAGAAGCAUUUUUCAUGCAACACCCCUAUUUGAUGCUCUUUAUUCUCAUGGUAUGCAUCGGCUUACUUGGGUACCAAACCCUAGUAAGGCAACCUAUCUUGCAUGCUCGAUUGAGUUGUCAGAAAGCCUCUACUUGAGAGCAGGACUAGAAUUAAUUAACAUUCUCAUAGUCUUUGUGAUUGUGGCAGAAGACUCCACACAAUUAGUUAUACAUAAGUUUCCUAGUUAGCUUAGUAGUUUUUGCAUUUUUAAUAGGAUAAUAAUCAAUUAAUUAGAUUAUUUCCUAGUGUAAUAUUCUUUGUAGGUCAAAAAUAAGAACACACCUAUUGUUGGGAAUAUUACAACUAUAAUGUGUAAAUUAUAUUCACAAAGCAUACCAUUUAUUUGCGUGCAAUUGAAAUGUAAUUUUGACUUAUUGAAAUGGGAUUUGAGAAGUAAAACAUAAAAAUUUCCAAAUCCGAAUGCAUGAAUAUAGAUUCAUCUCUUUCAACUCUUGAACGAAAGUAAGAAAUUCUUUGAAUCAAACCUCGCAAAACAAACAUAUAAAUAAUGUUAAUCAGUUUUUGAAAUUAAACCAUAAUUAAGAGAAAGAAAGGAAAAAAAAAAAAAAGAUGUAAGUGAUGAAUUUUUUACUGAGGCAAAUGUUUGACGCUUUAUCCUUAAGAUGAAUUUGCCCCGAAACUGUGCUAACGAUUUUCUAACAAUCAUCUCCCAAGACAUAAUGACCACGUCGAGCCAUAGGAGCACUCCAAAUGAUUUCGAUUAACGAACUCAAACGAAAUUCCCUCUCUACCAUAAACAUGACUUUGAUGCAAGACAUAAUCAAUUCUACAAAGUAUUUUAUGUAACUCGACAUGAAAUGAAUAAUAUGGAAUUAUGGAAUGAAUUGGAAUUGAAAAUACACGUCCAAGAGGUUCUAUAUAGAAGAUGAAGGUUUGUGGGAGAAGAAACACAACCUAGAUUCAACAUUUUUCAUAAGAAGUUGCAACACUUUAUUUCAAACCUGCAUCAUAUAGAAAAGUUGCAACACUUCAUUCUUCCAAAUUUGAACCGCAAUUUCUCAUUCAUUCAAAAUUGUUUACGAGAUUCUAAAUUUAUCACGACGAUCUACUCGACGAGUAGAAUAGAUUGGUCUAUUUAUUUUUGUAAUUUGACCAUCGGAUUAAGCCUGAAUAUUUGGCUAAAGUUGACAUAAAGUUACACCUUUUCAUUUUGGUUUUAAUACUUAACCAACUUUUCAAUUUCUUUUUAAACCAAUUCCAGCAAUCUCCCAUAUGAAUGAAAAUUCGAGUAUGCAAAUGUAAUGCUAUGAUGUGAUGCAUAGUAGAGAGAGAGUGAAAAGCCACUGCAUUGAGGAUAGUAGCUUUUGGCUUUGAACCUCCUAUAGUGAAAUACCAUCGGACUUACUUGGCUAAUUUGUAAACGUGAUGUCUUGAACCGUUCAGCCUUUACUGUAAGCCAAGACAACAAUAUUCACACAAUGUCUUCCCUAAACCGUUCAUGGUUCUCAUGACUUGGUUCAUUUUGGCCCUGAACCCUUCUUGGUUCUGCGAGUGUUUAGAGAAUUUAAGCCUUGAAUAAUUCUCAUUGAAGCGGCCCCACUUCACACUCACAUAGGUGACCUCCUAUUAAGAGUAUUUUGCCCUACUCCACUUAACUUAGUCAAGAUAUAGGAAUCAUUAAAAGAUUAUCUUAACAUCUUACAACUCUAUAGAAAGCACUUUAAUAUCAUAGGAAUAAGUUAGGAAAUUUGAUUUCCUUAGUGCUUCAUGGAAUCCUCAUAACUUAGUUGUCCAUUUGAACUAAGAUCUUAGGAUCUCUAGUCAACAAGGUAGGGUUACCAUUACAAGGGCUCUAACAUAGUAGGCUUCAACCCCUUUCCUUUCGAUAUGCAGUAUACUUAAUCUCUCGGUAAAUCUCUUAAAAGUACCACAAGUUUACACCAUUGAGAUCAACUGCUUAAUGGUAUUAUAUCUGACUUAUACACCAUUAUAUGUGACUUAGUAUUUUAUCAAAUAUUGCUAGCCAACGAUCAAUUUCAUUUAAUAGAUACAAAUUGUCACCACCAAGAAAUCAUCUCAUGAAGCUACAUGCUUCUUAUUAGCUUUAUCUAAAGCUUAAUUAAAUCCAAAACAACAUUGUUAGAGGAUUUCUAUCUAAUUAUUAUACUAGUCAACCAUGUUUACUAGUAGAUUUCAGAAUCAUGGGUAUUCAAUAUUAUCAUUGAAACAUUAUAGUGCAUUCGAACUUUAUAAAUAUUCUUCAAAUAUUCCAAUUGUUCUUGCAUGUCCAAACAAUUGCCACAGUUGACUUCCACCCAUUUAAUCCACUUUAGACUUAGUUUAUAUCAUCCUUAUAAUUAGUAUAAGGAUUUUCUAUCUUUCAACCUUCAUAGAUAUCUUUCAUGAUUAUAAGAUAGAAGCAAAUGUAAAUGUUAAACUGAGUUACCACUACAAUUCCUCAAUUAAGAAUACAUAUGCAAUCUAUUAAUGUUGCAUCCACAAGUUUUGAACUUUUCAUUCAAGUUCACGAGCAUUUACGAUAACCCCCCACAUCUUUGGGUUACAAUUGAACUUAGGAUUCAGCAACUAUUUCAUGGUUCAAUUCAUUUAUCUCUUAGAUAAUAUCCGUAUCGAGUGCUUCGUGAAAGUCUAAGUACUUGCAAAAUAGUGGUUCUCGACUCACAAUUUAUUUCAAUUAAAGUUGUAUAUAACGUACUUCAAUCAAAUUAUUUUAAUUUGAUCAUCCAAAUAAAAUCAAGGCCAUCAUAUGGACCAGCGAUGCUUUCCAAGCAUAAACCAAUUUAAUUGGUCUUACGAUUGAAGUCAAUUUCAACAGUGAAGAUGGCUAUGCAUCUUGAUUCACAAGAAUUGCAACUUCUCUUAUCACAUUUGUGACACUUAACAUGAUAGUUUCAUUUUAUGUUAAAUAAUAAGGUACAUAUUCACUUUCUUCACCAUAUUCAAAUUUGAAUGAACGAAUCAACCAUAGGUUGAAAAGUUGUGUUCUCAAGAGACAUAACCCUACAAAAGGAUACACAUCUUGAAUUAAUCCCUAUGAAGAGACACAGCCAUUAAAAAAUAAUCAUACCAGAAUUCAUGAUUAUUCAUAUGAAAAUACACCUUUUUCAUUUAAAUUGAUCUUAGAAUAUUUCAUAAUAUUCUAACACAAUUUUCCAUAACAUAGUUUUUAUCCUUUCCAAGUGAAUGUUGUUUUACAAUCAUUAUUUUCAAGGAUAAUCGACACUACCGCUAACUAUAAACACCGUUUGUGCUCUAUAAAUAAUUUCAUAUUCCAAUAAUUGGAUAAACAAUUUUCACUUUAAAAUAAUUAGGACAAACCACAUUUUGUCAUAAUCUUAUGCACAUAUAAUUAGCAUAAGUCAUCUAAUUUAAUUUCAUCAAAUUAAUUGAGGCUCAAUAAGAUUUGAAAUUUUCACCAAGAUAAGAACCCAUAUCCAAAAAUAUUGGCACCAAACCAUGCCUCUUCAUUCAAAUAUUUUCCAUGCACACGCAUUUGUCAAGAUAUUUCAUCGAGUGAUUAUCACUAAAUAAAUUAACUAAUUGAAAUCCAUGUGAUAUAUUGAUUACUACCCUCACACUUUGGUGACAUUCGCUUCAUGUGAAAAUUCACGUGCCAUGCCUUCAUAUUUCAAACGGGUCACACUAUUACAGCAAUGUAUGCAAUUAAUUGUAUAUUCUUUCCCGUCAAACAACCACCAACUAUUUAAAAAUUGAAGAGUCAUUAUUUAAUGAAACGACAUCAUGCACUUGUUCAAAAAUAAAACCCACUUUCAUGAUUUUGACUAAUUUUAUGAAAUAAUUGCAGCCACAUAAUAAUUCACAGAUUCAUUUCCAACCAACAGUAAUCAUACCUUAAAGUGGUCUUAUAGUCCUUAACUAAUGCCAUCGGAAAUAGAUCACAGAGAAAACAACGUACUGAUUUUCCAGAACCAGAUUUCAACAAGAAUUAGAAUAUAAGAUGCAUGACCAACACUAAAAUUCAUCUUAAGAUUGUUGUGAAUAUUACACCGAUAAUGUGCAAAUUAUAUAAACAAAGCAUACCGUUUAUUUGCGUGCAAUCAAAACGUAAUUUUGACUUAUCGAAAUAGGAUUUGAGAAGCAAAACAUAAAAGUUACCAAAUCCAAAUGCAUGAAUAUGGAUUCAUCUCUUUCGACUUUUUAACGCAGGUAAUUCUUUGAAUCAAAUCUCGCAGAAAAAAUAUGUAAAUAAUGUUAAUCAAUUUCUGAAAUCAAACCAUAAUUAGAGAAAUCAUAAAAACAAAGAAAAAAAGAUGCAAGCGAUGGAUUUUGGACCGAGGCAAGUGUUUGACGCUUUGUCCUUAAGAUGAAUUUGCCCCGCAACGGUGCUAAUGGUUUUUCGACAAUCAUCUCUCAAGAUACAACGAUCAUGUCUAGCCAUAGGAGAACGCCAAAUGAUUUCGAUCAACGAACUCGAAUUGAAUUUCCUCUCUACCAUAAACAUGACUUUGAUGCAAGACAUAAUCACUUCUACAAAGUAUUUUAUGUAACUUGACAUGAAAUGAAUAAUAUGGAAUUGUGGAAUGAAUUGAAAUUGCAAAUACACGUCCAGGGGGUCUAUAUAUGGAAGAUGAAGGGUUGUGGGUGAAGGGACACACCUCCAAAUUCAGCAUUUUUCAUGAAAAGUUGCAACACUUCAUUUCAAACCUGCAUCAUUUCGAAAUUCUUCUAACUUUGGACCGAAUUUCUCAUUCAUCUGGAAUUGGUUAUGAGAUUCCAAAUAUACCACAACAAUCUACUCAACAAGUAGAGUAGGUUGAUUUAUUUACUUUUGUAAUUUAACGAUCGGAUCAAGUUUGAAUAUUUGGUCGAAGUAGACACAAAAUCAUACAUUUUCAUUUUGGUUUUAAUACUUAACCAACUUUUCAAUUACUUUUUGAACCAAUUCCAACACCUAUAAAGUCUAUUUUCCUAGUAUAUAAAAAAGAGAAUGUGAAGUUAAUGUAUAAAUCAAUAGUGAAUUAUUCCAUUUUAUCUCACUGUAGCAAUUUUUUUUUAUUGUGGGAGCAAAAACGAUGUAGUUUGUCUUCAAUAAUUUCUCUAUUUUCACAUGCAACCAUCACCUCCACUGCAGUAUUACUCCAUUUUCGCACACUACUUCACCUCAUCCAAUCUAACUAAUAAAGAAAAGAGACUAAAUGAUUUAACAAAUUAAACAAUAAAAUUACUGGCAAAAAUAAAAUGAAACAAAAAAAAGUUAUUCUAAAGUUUUUAAAUUAAAUUAAAAUAAUUAAAAUUAAAAAUAAAUAUUAUUUAAUUAAAAUUGAAAAAAUUGCGUUUUAAACAAAAAGAAUAAAAAAUAAUUUUAAAUCGAAAAAAUAUAUUUAUAAUGUAAACAAAAAAGAAAUUUUAAAACAAUUUUCAAAAAAAUAUAAUAAAACAAAAUAAAAGAAAGUUACGAAAAUUAAAUAGAUAACAUUUAGUUAAAAUUGAAAAACUAAGUUUUAUUAUGAAGAGAAAUGAAUUUUAAAUUGAAAAAAAUUAUUUAUAAUCUAAACAAAAUAAAUAAUAAUAAAAAAAUUCUCUCGAUGCACAGAAACUCAAGUCUCCGUGUUAGUCUUAGUCUCUAUGCACGGAGUCUUUUAGACUCCGCCAUGCAUGGAGUCUCUUUAGAAAAUAUAAAUAUCUCAAACUCGACAGUGACUCAAACUUAAACUCUCCCUGCAUGGAGUCUCUUUUAAAAAUAUAAAUAUCUCGAACUCCUCAUUGACUCAGCGCAAUCUUCAUCUUCUUUUUUUCUCAUUUUUUAAUUUCAGGAUAAAAAAAAGGUGAACAUAUUAAUUCUUGCUCUAUAAUAUUUCCUUUUUCUUUAAAUUUACUUCAAAUUUGUUUUACAUAUUUCUGGAUUUCAUCUUGGGAUUUAUGUGUAACUAAAGGAGCACAGAUCGAAGGCUUUGCGGGUAUAUUAAUUAAUAAAAGCUCGUGGAGCUCAAAAAGUUUGUGCUAUAUCAAGUUAUCUGUAAGUCAGUCCUCUUGACAUAUAAUUAAAAUUUUCAAGGGGAUUAAUUAUGGAUGAACAUUUUUUUAUUUUUACAAAUAUUUGUUAUAAGUGCUUCUGGGGGAAAAAAAGUACGGACCUUUUAAAAACACAUUGACAAAAUCUGUAUUAAUUGAGUUCUAAAAAGCAUUAGAAGAAAUAAGGGUGUGUUUGAUUACAUUUAUUUUCCAUGGAAAAUAUCAGUUUUCCAUCUAAAUUUCUACUUGGAGUGUUUGAUUGCUAUUUUUUUCCAUGGAAAACAUUUUCCAACUUUUGAAAACAUGCCUAACUUUCCUUGUUUUUAAGGAAAAUAUUUUCCUUGAGUAGAGGUGGUUUUUAUUUUCCACAAAAGAUGGAAAAUAUUUUCUUUUUUAGGUGAUAUUUUCCAUGUCAAUCAAACACACUCUAAGAGUUUAUGCUUUGCCCCUGAAAUUUCUCCAGAAACUCUUUUUUUUUUUUUUGAGAUUGACCAAUGUGCUUGAUUAUGUAUCUAAACUAGGGUUAAUUUCACCAGCGGCCUAUUUUAUGUCAAUUUUGUGUUGAAUAUUUAAAGAUUUACCUCUUCAUUAUUCUGUCUUAUGGAACUCGAAAACUUCUUUCUUGAGCAAUGAAGACUGCUUUAGAUAUAUUUUUGGUGAUACUUUUAUAGUUUCCGAUGAUAAUUUGAUACUUUGCUUUGAGGUUAAAUGCCAAUUUUCAGCAUAGUUAUUAACAAAUGCUUCCUUUUUGCUUUUGUGAUUUCAGAUCUCAUUGAAAAAUGAAGAACCCGAAGGUUUUCUUUGACAUACUGAUUGGAAAGGCAAAAUCCGGGCGUGUUGUGAUGGAAUUGUUUGCUGAUACCACUCCCAAAACUGCUGAAAAUUUCCCAGCCCAAUGCACGGGGGAGAAAGGGUUUGGAGCUUCUGGGAAGCCAUUGCAUUAUAAGGGUUCGAUAUUUCAUCGCAUUAUCCCAAAUUUCAUGUGUCAAGGAGGAGACUUUACAAGGGGUAACGGAACCGGCGGAGAAUCCAUUUAUGAUGCGAAAUUCUCGUCUAGCUAAAGCACACAGAGCCUGAUCUGUUAUCAAUGGCCAAUUCUGGGCUAAAUACCAAUUGAACACAAUUCUUUAUCACGACUGUGAAGACACCUUGGCUUGAUGGGAAACAUGUAGUGUUCGGGAAGGUCGUAGAUGGCUAUACUGUGGUAAAGGAGAUGGAGAAUGUAGGUUCCAAUAGUGGAACUACCAAGUCGACGGUCGUGAUUGAGGAUUGUGGUGAGAUAACAGAGAAACAAUUGUUCAAAAACAGGGCACCAGGCCAUGUUUUGUUAUGGAAAAUAUAUGGUAUUUAUAAGUUCUGGUGAAGAUGAAGUUAACCUUAUGUUCAUUUGUAUAAUCGGAAUAAAACCUGAAUUGAUACUGUUAAGUCAUUCGAUUGGACUAUUUCUUCGUGUGGAUAGCAGCUUUCUUUGUGAAAAAUUUUGUGAUGACUGCAUUUCAACUGCUUUCCACUUUAUCUACAAUAUCAGUCUAACAAGAUUAAUAUUAUCAAGACUUUAAGCUUCUCUUAUGGUUCAUUAUCGAAUAGAUGACAUCGAGAUAUGAACCUAAAUAUUUUAGGUGCUCGGCUACCACAUUGAACUACAUUUAUUUAUUCAUACACGCACAAAAUUUUCAUAGAUUUUAGAUAGGAGAGAUAGAUUUAGAACUUGAUCAGCAGACUAGGGGGACCUCGAACUCCUUAACCCCGCAUCAAACGCCUGAGUCGGGCCUGAGUUGGACCAUCCCCAUCAAACGGGUGUGCGUCACUGAGCAUGAUGUACAGAGUUACUUUGGUACUCCACUCUUCCAAUGAAAACUCUAUAAAGUAGUAGAACCCAACUUACACAUGUUACAUAAAAUGUAUAAAUAAACAUGACUCAUAUCCAAUUGUUUUAGUGGACUCGAUACAUGAUGUGUGUUUAUGAUGGAUGUCAUUAGGUGUCGACUCACCAUUAAGAUUAGCUUUGAUCCAUCUUUGACUUUGACUAAAUAAUUUAUUAACUUUGACUAAAAUAGAGUGAGAUGUAACAAGCAAGGACCAAAAAUUACAAAGAAUAAACUUGAAAAAUUGACUUUCAUGUUUAUAUUAUGCUCAUUCUCUUUUUCAAUAACAUACCUUUCUCUGUGACACUCGAGGUUAAAAUUGUGACUUUUUCAUUUUAACUAAUUAGUGACAAUGCACCAUUGAGGCCAAAUUACAUUACUUGCAAGCAUUGCAUACAACAAUCUUAAAGCAAGAAGAAAUUGCAGAUUAAAAAAUUGUAGAAAAACGGAAAUUUACUUGUGAAAUACCAAUGCAACAGCUCUUCAAGUUCCACAUCAAUUGCACAGACUCGAAGAAAAUAUCAUCUGCUACCGCUUCUUCAUGGCUUGGGAAGGAUUAUAAGCAUAUCGGUACUCCUCUCUUUUUUGGAAUGAUUUCUACCCAAGUGUACGUAACAGUGAUAUUACAGCAUGCAACCCUUCUUGGAUGGACCACCCUCAAUUAAGAUGGAGCACCUGGAGAGUACUACUCUUUAGAUGGUUGUUUUGGCAACCAUUGAUGUCAAUUAUGAAGGCGGCGGACUAUAAUUACUGCUUUAUUUGACAUAGCUUGUGAAAGGCUUGAUGUGUUGACUAGUAGAAAUAUUGAGCAUCCUCCCCUUACAAGUCAGUUUCGAGGUCAAAUCUACCCAAGCGCUUGUAACAAGCAUAAAUUACAACCAAAAGGAAUGCCAAGAUUGUAAGCUCAUGAAAAUUGCAACCAGCCUACUCAAAAGGGAGUGAGGAAACCUCUAGAAUGCAAAAUUUUCCACAAUAUUCUACAACUAAAUAAUAGGGAAGAAAAGGUUUAAAACAAAUUACAGGCAAAACAACAAAGCAGCCGAUGACGGUUAGCUAACAUGUUAAGAAUCACGAUGUCCGACUUUCUUUUUGAUGUCAUCUUAGCCAAUCGAUAACGUUCAUUGAAUAUUUUGAAUUUUGAUUUGAUUGGGUCUUUCUCUCGUAUUGACUUUUUCAAAAAAAUAAAAAUAAAUUAUUAGCAGCUUUAAAUCACCAUGUCCGACCUCUUUUUGACGUCACUAUCCAUGUAGCUUAGAAGUGCAUGUAAAACGAGUGAUGUUGGGUCCACAAUUUCCUCAAAUUCAUUUCAGAUCAUAUGAAACUUUUGGAAUAAGAUUUAAGGAUCCAAACCAUGCGCAAUAGGGGUAAAGAAUUAAGGAUCCAAACCACGCGUAAUAGGGAAAUCCUAUGAUUAUCCUUGCAUUACUAUGAAUUAACUUUUCCAAAUAGUUUUCGUCGAAGAAUUUUAUUGCACAUGUCAUUCAAGAAGAGUAGAAAACUAUGCCACAGCUUGAUACUAUUGGUAAGGUGGUAAACCUUUGGAAGUUCGUGAGGAACAAUGUUAUCAUAUAGAUGUACCGUGAAAACAUUUAUAAAUUAAUAUGAACAUUCAUAGUGGUGCUAGUGCUAAAAUCAAAUUAUUGUUCUGACUUCCGAGUUCCAAUAUCAUGCACUCCGGUGAUUAUUGUCCCAUGGGUAAAGAGCUGCACCAGUAUUGACAAUUUUUGGAUAAUAUUCUCACGGAUUGUGUGCUCAAAAUGACCUACUUUGGUGUAAAUCUUUUCCAUGUCAUGCUUUGGUCUCAUACUCAGCAGUUUUCAAAAAAAAUAAAAUAAAUUCAAAUCUAUGUUUGCUAAAAUUAACUAAUUGCAUGUUUUUCUGUAGUUUCACUUCGACAUUUUAGUUCAAUCACUGUCUGAAAAAUCUGUGUCUCACUUACUUGUCGAAUUUCCAUCUAAUUGCUAUUAAUUACUUACAUUUUGUGACAAAUAAAUCAAAAUGCUUGUAAGUCCUAAAUGUUGUCAAAAAAAUUACUAUUAAGGGAAAAAUUCAGCCUUCCCCUUCUGUUCUGUUGGGUAACAUUGUCAAAAUACAGAUAUAUUUUCCACUUUGCAUUGUCCAAAUAUAGUCCAAGGACAGAGCAGAACAUAAAAUUUAGCACUCAAUUAGUAUCUUCAAAACCAAAUCUGUCUUUCGAUUUCUGUGUACCCAAAACUAUCAUCUCAAUUUACUAACACACAGAGGUAUUUUUCAACACACACUGACAUGCACAUGCAUGUGCAAUGGGAAGUGAAGAUACACAGAUAAAGACAGGUGACCUGUUCGAUGAGGUUGUGUCGAGUUAGGCUAUUGAAAGUGGAUACAAGAGCGUAAGAACCGCCCAUCACCAAAUGAAAUCAGUUUUUGUUGCUGCAUAUUUAUCAAGAGAAAAAAAAAUAUUCAUCUACAUUAAACAAAUAGUAAAAGAAUUAAAAUAACUUAUAAAAAUGACGAUGACACAAAUAUUUCUCAUUUUUAAAAAUUUCAAAUACAUUUUCUAAAUUUUACACAUUCCACACUAAUAAUAACAUAAUAAAUACAAUACUCGUGCAACGCACUAGACAAAGACUAAGUAGUUACUUCUAAUUAACUCUUGGCAAAAUUGAAAUGUCUUGUUAUCAUUAAAUUAAUUGUAGGAGAAGUAUUUUAUUUUACAGAUACAAAUGAUAUUCUAAUGACAGACCAUGACUAAUAAGUAGUGACUUCAAACAAUUUGGAUUUGGUCCCAUGGGCACCUAAUGUUUGGGAGGUAAGAUUUAUAAUGGGAUAACUGCAAAAACAAUCCUUCAAAUUCUUUAACAAACUAAAAUGUAUUUCACUUUUCAUUAUUUUGAUUUUUAUUUGGUUACCUUAUUUAAUAUUUCAGUAACAUACUUUUAUUGUUUUAACUUUGUUACCUUAUUUUACAUGUUAGAAACACGUGUCACCAAUUUUUUUUUUUUUUUUUUUUAAAGUAACACGUUGUGUUACUCCAAUUUCAAAACAUGAAACCACCAUGUCCAACACUGUUUCUCAUCAUUGCCACUGCCUUCGUCAUCAAUGUUGGUAAAAUUAUGAUUGAACAUCAAGUGGUUCGAUCCAUGCAUCUUGAGGACUAGAUUGAACUAAUUCCCAUUGAGGAUUGUUAAAAUAGAAUCAUUGAUUUUACAAGGAGAAAAAAAUGGAAAUGGAUUGGAUCAAAAUCGAUGAGCUCUGGUUCAGCCAGUACCUAUAUUUUUCCACAGAAUCAUUGGUUCUAGUCCUUAUUUUUAUGCUUCAAUGUAAACCUUAACAUAAAUUUUAGGAAAAAUUGUAGUAACGAUCCCUAAACUUUUACUUUUUUGCAGAGUUUACUUUAACUUUUAGUUUGUGCGAAUAGUAAUCCCAAACUUUUGAGAAAUUAGUAGCUAAAUCCAUUUAUUUGACCAUUAGUUGACCAAGAAAUUAGAUUUUGACCAAAUUAAAAAAGGUAAAUUAGUAACUUUACAUUUUAUGACUUUAAAUAAUUAAAUAAAAAUAAAAGAAAAUGGGAUGCUCUAGAAACCAAUCCCCACACCCCCACGACACCCCACCCUUCCCUCCCCUCCCCUCACCUCCCCUCCCAAACUUCAUCUUCUUCCCUUGAAGUUAAUAACCCAAAUGGUCACUAAACUUUGUAAAAAGUUUUUACUGGUCACUGAACUUUAAAAAUCACCCAAAUCAUCAUUGAACUUUGCAAAAUAUUUUUACAAGGUCAUUGAACUUCACAAAAGAUUUUCAUGAGGCCACUGAACUUUAAAAAUAAUCUCAUUCAUCACUGAACUUUGUAAAAUGUUUUCCAGCGAUCACAAUUCAGUUAUCCCUGAAAUUUUUUUUGCAAAAUUCAGUGAUGAAUGGAGUGAUAUUUAAAAUUCAAUGACCUUGUGUAAACUUUUUACAUAGUUCACUAAUAACUUGGGUAAUUUUUAAAGUUCAACGACCUCCUAAAAACUCUUUGCAUAGUUCAGAAACCAUUUGGGUUAUUAGCCCUCAUCCCUUGAUUCACUGGCAACUAUCAACACCAUUGCAAGCAUUGGCUUGCCUUAUCAAUAAAAUGGUGUGGCCAUUGCUUCCAUCAAUAGAACACGUCAAUUUCUCCACCAAUCAUCGGUUUUUCCCCUUCCCACAAACCCAGUUUCAACAACUUCACUACUCAAUUUCCCCAUCAAUGUAAAUGUUUCUCCCUCCUCAUCAUAGACAAAGCUGAACGAGAACGAGCAUUGUGGUGUUUCUUAUUGCAUAUAGCAUAUGCUUAAGUCAAGGUCAACACAAGCAUACCCAUAAUACACAUACAUACAACAAUAUAAGUAUGAAUCAAAGGUUGUCAAAUUUAUUGCGAAAAUUGUAAAGAAGAUGGCCCAAAGAUUUGGGUUCGAUUUUGAUUUUUCAUUUGUGUUCUAUUUGACAGUGGAGAGGUGAUGACGGUAGUGGUGGAGGCAGAGGUGGGGAUGAGGACGGCGGCAUCGACGGUUAUGAGUAGUGAUUUUGGUUUUGGGUAGGGGUAGGGGUGGGGUUUGGAUGGAGAAUGGGGAAGGGAAAGAGGUGCAAAAAGAUAAUGAUUUUUUAAAUUUAAGUAUUUAAAUGUGAAAAAAAAAAAAGUAAAGUUACUAAUUUACCCUUUUUAAUUUGGUCAAAAAUUGGUCAAAGUCUAAUUUUUUUGUUAACUAACGGUCAAAUGAAUUCAUCUAUUUGGAGCUGCAAAUUUCUCAAUGGUUUGGAUUCGCCACUGGCCAAAACCGGAGUUUAAAUAAAGUCUACAAAAAAGCGAAAUGUUAGGGACCGAUGUUGUGAUUUUCCCUCAAUUUAUUGAUCUCUACAUGCUCUUCUUCUUUUGUUGUUGGUUGUCUACUAUCAAAAAUUGUGGCCAAUUGCGUAAGGAAGUUUUUAUGAGAAGUCUCACUUUCUUGUUGAGGAAUAGUAGGAUUAACACUAUUAUGACCUUUUCGACCAAUAAAGAUCAAGACGUUACUCCAACGAUUGAAAAUGGGGAGGGGGAGGGGGAAGGGGAAGGGGAAAGAGAAGGGGUGGAAUAAGAUAACGAUUUUUUAACUUUUUUUAAUUUAAUUAAUUUAAGUAUUUAAUGUGAGAAAAUGUAAAGUUACUAAUUUAACUUUUUUAAUUUGGUCAAAAUUCUAACGGUCUGAUUUUCUGGAUCCUUGUUCUAGGUGGGCGGUCUUGGAUAAAAUUUGCUGCCCUUAGAUAACAUGUUGUAUUACUUGUCUGGUAAUUACCCGUUUCAUAUGUUGGGUAACUUGUUGGGAGUAAUUAUGCUAUCGACCCUAACUCCUUCCAUCAUCAAUAUCAACAUCAGAUUGCAGCCCCAAAAUGUUAGUAUCACCAUUGCUGACACCCUAAACAUCCACCUCUAGACAGUCAAAAUCAGCACCACCAUAUCCUCCAACCACUGCUUCACGAACAUAAAACCAUAACUAUCACGAUGGAAAGCUUUAGAAACACUAUAAUCAUUUCGAUACGAAAAUAUUUGAUGAAUGGUAGUGAUGAUUGUUACACUUGUGAGUGGUGGCUGAGCGUGACAUUUUUAUGAUAAUACAAUUGGAGAAACAAUAAAUGUUGAAAAUGUUGAGUUUGGCGGCAAUUAGAUUGAGAUUCCAAUAACAGUGGCGGUGGCUGCAUAAGACGAUGUCAAUACGGAAGCAUUUUUGGAGGAAUGGUGGAGAAGAUUGUUGUCUACCAAUACAAUCUGGUGUAAGGGUUGUUAUGUGAUGUAUUUAAAUCAAAGUUUAAUCCAUAAGAGUAUGAUUAAACAUAACGAUAUAUGAAAAACCUUUAUGGUAUAUUACAAACCACAAAUAAACAAUAAAUGAAGAAAAAUAAGAUGGAAAAUGAUCCGAGGCAAGUAAUUACACUUUCUCCUCAACAGUUCUAAAGAUUCAUGGCACUUGUCUCCCAACAUAUAAUGGAUUCAACUUAUGGUAUAAGCACUUCAAACCACAAGCUAUAGCAAACUAGAAUGGAACUUAUCCUCGCUACAAGGAAAAUGAUAUAAAAUGAAUUUUAUAGAGUUUUUGUAAGAGAUUUGAUGUAAUGCUUUAUGCAAAAUCAAUAUGGAAUGACUUGUGAACGUCCAAACGGUCCUAUUUAUAGAGAAUAGGGGUUGUGGGCGAAGUGUUGUGUGCCAAACCUCUCAACCUUACUAAUAGAAGCAUCAGUUGUUGUUGCUAGCCUGGCGUUGGCCUCUCGCUUGAGCGCCAAUGUCAAAUGAUUUAUAGAAACUUUUCGCCCGCCUAUCGCUCGAGUGACAGCCCCGUCACUUGAGCGAUAGGUGAACGACGGAGUUAAGUAAUUUUCCAGGCCAAUUUUUUCUCUAUUUUCCUUCCAAAUUUUAACCACAAUUUUUCAUUCAUCCGAGGAAUUCCAAAUAUACUACGAUAAUCUACUCAACAAGUAAAACAUGUUAGUGUUUUUAUAUUUGUAAUUUGACUAUCGGGUCCAGUCCGAAUAUUUGGCCGAAGUCACUCUUUCACAUUUUUGGUUUUAAUACUUCACCAAUUUUCCUUCAAGUCUAAACCAAUUUACAACAAAGAUAAUGGGAAGAGGUUGUUGAUUUGAGAAUUUUGAGUUGGGUAUGCUACUUGGCAACAAUGAUCCAACAAUAGUGGGAUACUAGUUUGGAAUAAUGCUAUUUAUCAUUAUAAUGUGGAAUAUCAGUGAUGUGGUAGUCUAUGUAAAAUAAUGGGAUUAUGUCGCUCAAUUUUUAUGAGAGAGAGAGAUGCAAGGAGACGUGGUCUCAAGAGAGAAAGAAAUGUGAGGGCCUGUAGGGGCUAAUCCAAUUCAGUGUUUCUUGUAAAAGAUGCAACUUUUUUGAAUGCUUUCUCAAGAUGUUGGUCAUUGAUUCCCUAACUUGCUCUUGAAAAGCUAGCGCCCAAAGGUGCUCUAUUGAGCUGCUCACCGUUUGGUACAGUAGGAGCUAGCAAAGGAAGUCAUGGACUGAUCGCUUGGAGCAUUACUCGCUAGUGCAGUGCUUUGUUGAAUAGUAAUUUGAUGAGAAUGAAGGCAUGUUUGAAACUCUUUAAAUUAGAACUCUUUAUUUCUCAUAUUCAUUUUAUUCACGCAAUAAAAUAUUAUUUAUUAAACCUAAAAAAAAUUCCUACUUUUUAACCCCACAUUUUUCAAAAAAUCACUAUUUGAAACAUCAUUUUCCUCCGAUUUCUAUUUAUAAUGGUCAUAAAAAGGGACUUAGAAUAAAUUUGUAAAAUCUUAAACACUAGAAAAAGAAGUAUAUUCCAAAAAAGAUAUAAUUAGUUAUAGGUAAAAAUCUGAAAAACAUAAAAGGGAGGCAUUUUUUAGUUUUUGUAAGAAAAUGAGUAUCCCACCUUGGAGCAUCUCCAACAGAUUUAAAGAUUAUAUUUUACAAUUUAGAGAUCACUAGCAACUGUAAUUUCAUCAGGCUUAAUCUUGGCCACCAUCAUCUCCUCGAAAAGCCUAAUAGCAUCUUUAUAUUGGGCAGCUUGAGCAUAGCCUGUGAUCGUGGAAAUCCAUGAAAUCACAUCCUUCCUUGGCAUCUCAUCAAAAAGUACCCUUGCUGCAACACAGUAACCUGCUUUUGCAUACCCCAUAAUCAUGGCAUUCCAAGAAACAACAUUCCUCUCCACCAUCCUACCAAAAAUUUCUCGAGCCAACUCGACCAAGCCACGCUUUCCAUGCAUAUCAAUCAAUGUAUUCCCCAGGUACAAAUCAAUCUUAAAAUGGUUUUCCUCAAUGUAACCAUAGCAUCCGCAAUCUUCCACUUACUCAAAUAACAAAAAGCUAAUAAAACUUUCACCAGUCACUGCAUCAGCCUUAACAUUCACCUGCCUCAUUGCAUUGAAAAGUCUUGAAACUUCAUUGUAAAAUCAAUGAGUUCCAUGAAACGAAGUCUUUAUCUUUCAUUUCGUCAAACACUUUUCCCGAAGACCCCAAAUCACCAUAUGAAGCAUACAUAUGUAUUAAAGAAAUGCACACAAAAAGAUAUGCUUUGAAAACAAGUUUAAUAACAUGACCAUGAACUCUUCUUCCAUAUGAAAUAUCUAAAAUUUUAGCACAAGCUUUAAGCACAAAUAUAAACGAAGUAUUAUCUCCACAGUCCACUAGCACGCAUUUCAUCAAACAUUUGGAGUGCAGUAACAGGCUGACCACUCUUGGAUAAUCCACAGAUCAUGUAGUUCCAAACAGGCAAUGUGGGCUGUUCUAUUUGAUUGAAAAUGAAAUGGGCUUCGUGUAAUGAGGUUUGAGAUAGAGCGUAUGCUUUGAUUAUAUGUGACAUCUUACAUCGGUUAGUGUGUUGGUAAAUUCUGAUGUAAUGUGCAUGAUGCUCUUUAAUGGAAUCAUUAAGGAUUGUGUCACGGUCGAACCUUCAACAAUGGCAGCUCCUCACCGUAACGUAGUUGCAACUCAGAAAAUGAAGAUUUUCAAUUGAAAUCAGGUGACUUGGUAACCAAUAAAAGAUAAAAGAGAAUGGGGGGAAGGAUUAAAUGACGUAAAAUAAGAAGAAAGGGAAGAGAAAAAGCCGUUGAACGAUUUCAACAAUUGAAUUGAAAAUAUCCAAUUACACAGAACUCAUCGUUUCCAUUCCCAAGCUUCAAUACAACCCUAUAUACAAUAAAACAACAAUUGGGCUUGGGCUAGCCCACCAUACAAGCCCAAAGAUAAAAUAAAACAAAAUUGGCAUAAUCCAUGAUAUCACUUUUCCUUAAACUAACCUUGAACUCAAGGUUUAACAUCAGGAUGUCUUUUUUGUAUGUUGUUAGCAGCGGUCUCAUUCUCUUUACCAUUCUAGCCUGUCUUUUCCAUCUCCUUGUUUAACCGGCCCAUCUGAUGUAGCCAUGUGAAUGUAGUAAUCAUAUGCAUUAUGCAAUUUUCUGUGCUGAACAUCAUCAUGCUGUAAAGCAUCUCUAGGCAUUGAGACCUCUUGACCAUUGAAGACAGAAGGUUCAUUCAUGCCCUUCCAGAUGUACACGGUUGGCGUUGAACCAAAUUCUUAUACGAGAAAUUUUCAGCCCACCAAGACCUAAUCUUUGGAUUCAACACAUUCAAGUAUGAUGACGAACUAGACCAGCACCACCCAUCGAAAUCUUUUCCAGUUGCAUCAUUUACAUAAUAUACCUUUUCGAAAGUCUCCUUGUGUAUAUCGUAAGAUUCGUCACUUUUAAUGUGAGGGCCCAUGAUAGUGACCAUAUGCCUGCCCUUUUCAGCUAACUUCUUCUGCAUCUCUUCUGGAUUAGGAAAUAGCAGCCUAUCCCACGUAAAAUAAUUUUUCCCAUCCGUAUGCUCAAUAUCAUGCCACAAAACAUCAUAAGGGAUAUCAUGCUCAUCAAAUUUGGCAUCUACAUUAUAAACAUCCUCUUCACUGCUAUAAUUCCACCUACAUUGAUGGUAAGCAAUAGCAAAUAACUAUGGCAUUGCCAGUGUUCCAGUAACACUUGUAUACUGCAUAACCAUAUUUUUUGGCUCCGGACCAACAAAAAAGAAUGCAUCCACCACACCAACUUCUCUCAUCCACAAUGUAUCGACCCUCUUCUGAUCUGAAGGCAGCAUCAAAGCAGAAGUAUAUUCAUCAUUCCAACCUAUCCCCAGAACAUCGAUAUGCAUUUCAGCGGCAUUCAACCAAGAAAACCCAGAGCUCAUGUGUGACUUCCCAUGGGAAAUCAUGAAAGGUAUGGAACCAUAAAACCCAAAAGGCGAGUAAGCAAUAUAUUCAAACAUAUCAAGGUUAAAAAGCCAAUAUGGCUUAGAAUCAUCCAUCCCAAGUCCUCUAGUUGGCUUUAAGGCUAAACUAAUGGCAUGUUCUGGAAUGCCAGAAACAAAAUCGGCAUCAUAGAAUGAUACGUCAAAGCUAAUACUCUGUGGUCCAUACGGACGUGUAUGAGUGUGGCUCCUAAACCUCUCCUUCAAAUUCUCAACUUCAUUUUCUUCAUCCUUCUCAACACCUAAAUUAGAUUCUAGCUUCUCAAAACUAGUCUCCACAACAGUUUCUAUUUCGACAUGCUUGGUAACUACAACAAUUGAAUCACCAUCUCCAUUCAAUUCAUAAGUACUGACCUGCUUUACUAGUUUCUUAUCUGGUUUAGAACAGGAACCCCAUUUCCCUUCCAGUUUAGAAUCUGAAUCAUCCAUUUGUGCUUCAGAAGACUCGACUAUUUUUGUGUACUUGUUGGACUGAUCUUUGGAGGCUAAUUAAGCCUCAAUAAUUUCAGUCAUCAUUGAGAUUACUAGCCCAUGCUUCCUAUUAAUUUCUUCCAUUAUCCAAUCCAAUCGAGAGAUACCCAUCGAUUGUAGCUGCUCUGAUACCAUUUGUUACGGUCGAACCUUCAACAAUGGCAGCUCCUCACCGUGACGUAGCUGCAUCUCAGAAAAUGAAGAUUUUCAACUGAAAUCAGCUGACUUAGUAACCAAUAAAAGAUAAAAGAGAAUGGGGGAAGGAUUAAAUGACGUAAAAUAAGAAGAAAUGGAAGAAGAAAAGCUGUAGAACGCACUGAAAAUAUCCAAUUACACAGAACUCAUUGUCUCCAUUCCCAAGCUUCAAUACAACCCUAUAUACAAUAAAACAACAAUUAGGCUUGGGGUAGCCCACCAUACAAGCCCAAAGAUAAAAUAAAACAAAAUUGGCAUAAUCCAUGACAGAUUGUUGAGGACGUGAGAAAGUGGGUUACUCGCUCUGGUUUUAGGGUCGUUGAGGACGUGAGAAAGUGGCGUGAAAUAGGUCGAGCGAUUUCAUGAGCGUUUAAUGUUUUUGUGGAGGGAAAUUUGUGGGGAACUGCCAACUAUAAACCAAAACAAACAAACAAAGUUAGAAACAAAUCACCUCGAAAUAGAUCUUCGUCUCCCCCAUGUGCGGAGAUCGCUCUCCGCACAACGCGGAGAGCUCUCCAUACAUACUGACUCUAUAGGCCAGAAAGAUCGUGGGUCGCUCUCCGUGCAUCUCGUUGUGCGGAGAGCUCUCCAUACAUACUAACUCUGUAGGCCAGAAAGAUCGUGGGUCGCUCUCCGUGCAUCUCGCGCUGCACAGAGAGCUCUCAAACCGACUUUGUAGGCCAGAAAGAUCCUGUGUUUGCAAUUUUUAAAAGUUUGUAAUUUGUAAUUUUAAGGUUUACAAUUUGGGAAUAAUUUUAAAACAGUAGAGAAUGGGGGUCAAUGGAGUGAUAUAGAGGUCAUAUUAAUAGAUACUAUCAUAGAUGCAUAUAAGUACAUAUUGAUCAUUCAUGUCUCAUCAAUGACUAACAUAUAUCUUUUAUUAAAUAACAAAAAUGUUUGACACAGACUUAUUGGCAAAUAGUAAUGGUUCAAAAAAUAAUAACAUCAAAUAUUUAUUGAAUAUAAGCCCAGUUAUUGAAAUUAAAGAAAUCGAAAAAGAACCCAAAACAUUAUACACAAUCUAAUUCAAUGCAGGGACUAGAAAAAUAAAACAAGAACACUACACAAAGCUUUAUUCUAAUAACACUAAAUAAACAAAACAACUAAAAAUGCAAGCUUUUACUAUCAAACCAAUGAAGAGCAAAGCAAUUACCUGAAACCUAAUUUUCACUUCUUCUAUCCUUGAAAUACUAAUUAUUCAAAUCCGACUGAAUUAUAUUUUUCAAAUUUGAUUCUAUUUCCUCAUUUGAUUUAGAUAAAGUAGAGAGAAAGCAAUCGCAAAAUUUAUAUAGGAGUAACUGAUUAACCACAAAUUUUCAUAGGAGUAAUUGAUCAACCACAGCAAUAGUGUGUGUAAUUUAGCUCCUUUUUUUGCAGAUUCGAGUUUACUUAGUUUUUGUAGAUUCGAAUUUACCAAUGAACACGAGAUUUCAAUUUUCUGGAAAGAAUGGAAAGAAUAAGAAGAAAAAAAAGGAGUGCCGAAGUGGCGGGUUGAGUGAAAGAAUGGACAAAGAGGACAAAUGCGUACUCACCCUUCCCUCCAAUGGGGCUCAAUAUAAUGCAUUAAAAAAAGGAAAUUAGUGGAGGACGAUGUAUAUUUGCGACACGUGUCCAGCAAAAGUUUUGCUUUUUUUCAUAUAUGUAGGAUAUAUAAGUUUCGAGAUUAAAAAUUUGAAAAUACUCCAACAUGCUCUUUAUCUUUAAUAUUUAAUAUUACUACUCUUAAUAUGUAUUCAUUAUUUUCUCUAGCUUUCCUUUAAAGUAUUAUAUUAUUUUCCUCCAUUUUAUUUGUAUAUACUGCUUAAUUGGGUUAAUAUAUGUAGCAUUGAAAAUUGGAAUAUUUUGAUUACAUUUAAUUAUAGAGAGUGAAUUUGGUUCUUGGUGCAUAAUUCAAAGAGUUGAUUCUUUGAAAUAGACAGUAAAGGAGGACCCAUAUAGGGUCAUGUGAGGUCAAAUGAUUGUUUUUUUUUUUUUUUUUUGAAAAUAGUUGUUUUGACCCUUUACAACCUACUUUAACGCACUCAAAUGUCAAACAAAGUUGAAACGUUGCAUUUUUUAUUUAUUUUUAAUGACUCAAGUGUUCGAGUUUCACCCGACUAAUCUUGAAGAGUGGCGGUCUUCUCCCCGGUUCGCACCCGGGUAAAUUCGGAUGCGGUCAUAGCUUAUACACAUUUGGACCUGAUAUUCGGAAUGCGGUUCUCCUUUCUGCGGACCUCCCUAGUUUUUCGUUCAUUAAUGGUGUGCAAAAAGACCAACCGUAGCAAAAGUUACGACGUAUCAAAAUAGAUCGUUCCAAACUAAUAUUUUGAGAAUUUCGAUAAUAUGCUAACUUUAAAUUCUCCAUUGAUCGUAUAUUAUUCGAAUCCACAAAUCGCUUACGUCUAGAAGCUCGUGUCAAAAACUAUAUCUCUUACAUAUUGAAUGGUCCAAAUGGAUAUCGAAAAUAAUAAAAUAUGAGUCAAAUGUACAUCUUAAAAGAAGCGUCUAACUCAUCAUUUCUUUUAAAAAUUUCAAUUAUUUCAUUAUUAUUGAUUAUUUUUUGCACGAUAAAUUUUUUUAAGAUCCACUGAAGCAACUAUCCUUUAAUUUUCCACAACAAAUGGGAACGACAUGAACACUGGGGCCUUGAAGUCGUUUCUGAUUCGCAGAAAUACACGUUAAAAAAAAAAAAAUUUGGGUACGAAUCUUCACUCAUCAGUGUUAUUUGUUUAGGCCGACUAGUGUUCAACUCGAUUCUUUUCGUUUCCACAAGUCUUCAUGAAAAAAAAUCCAACCAACUGCUGUGUUCACUUUUUCACCCUGACUUACGUUACGAGUAAAUAAAUUAAUUGAAUUUUGACAAUCGCAAGAUAAUUUGACUUCUCUCUUCUUCUUCGUAAAAUCCAAGUCUUCAUGAAAAAAAAUUCAAGUCAACUGCCGUGUUCACUUUCACCGUGACUUACGUUGCGAGUAAAUAAAUUAAUUGAAUUGAGACAACCGCAAGAUAAUUUGAUUUCUUUAUUCUUCUUUUUGGUUCUUCUGUUUGUUGUUGAGUCAGGCAGGCAUGGUUUUCUCACGUAGGGCUGCUUCCAGUUUAGCUGUUUAUGUCUCUCUGUUUCAUCUAUAUAUCCUUCGCUGGGUUGAUUCUCAUUGCCCAAGGCAAUUCCAGUGUGGAAAUCUUGGCAAUAUGGAGUUUCCUCUGGCCAAUUCUCCGGGAUGUGGAUUAUUCAUGGUUAACUGCGGUGCUUGGCCGAAUCCAAUAAUUCACCUGGAUAAUGAUUGGCCUUCACCAUCCUAUGAGAUUCUGGAAAAUUCAUCUCCCAAUGAAUUAUUUAUUCGUAGUCAAUUUCUUCACGAUCGUUUAUAUAAUAAUUAUGAGGAUAGAUGCGAUUUAUUUUAUGAUCUACCUAUACCAACCUCUCCUUCUAUUUCGAUUUCAUUCUUCCCCACUAUCACUUUGUUCAGAUGCCCCAAAGAUAGGAACUACGACAAUGAGAUACCUAAUUUCCAAGAAAUUUAUAGAAACUACACUGGUUGCAAGUGUAAGUAUUAUACCCUAGGUCCAAUCAAUUUUGGAUAUAAAUACUUUGGAUAUAUAAUUAAUGCAAUUUAAUGGCAGAUCUAUUAUUUAAUUAAUAGACAAUUAAAUAAAUAAUAGAGUCCAUAGAUUCAAAUCUUCGUAAUUUGUUAAUCACAAGGAGUUGUGAUUGUGAGAUACAAAUUACGUCUGAUUGAAUCUUAAAUCGUCCGUGGUGGUAAGUAUUAACGAGAUACGGAUAUCGUUAUUACGGAUAGACCAUCACGUGUGACAUUUCUUACUUGUGAAGUAAGUAGCUGAUCUCACAAGUUAAAGUAUGGUGACACUUAAAUGAACACUUGGAUAUUUUGUUAUAGAACAAAACAUUGGAGACCCGCCGAAAGAUUCCACAUGGAUAACUAUCUGAGUGUCAGUGGUUAAUCUCUAACGUUCGAUAGUGGAAUUAAUCCUUUAACUUGAGGUCGUCAUGGUACCUUAUAUGAGAACAGUCAUACUUUGGCGGUGUUGAAUGUUGCUCUACAAAGGGCCGCUAAUACAAUAUCGUUCGGGUAUGUCAAGAAUCAUAUGAAGGUUAUGAUUGACCAAUAAAUGAUUCGUCACUCUUAGAUAGUAGGAGAUUAUGAUCUGCAUUUCAUUCAAUUAAGUCGAUGAUGAAAUCCUUGGCCAAGGUGUACUCAUAAGUCGAAAAAGAGUUUUCGACUUGUAUUGACUUAAUAGUGGAGUGAAAGAUAUGAUCGAUAAUCGAGAUUGACACACUUCCAUAUCUCGUAAUUGGUCGGAUCAUAUUGACGAAGGGAUUAUAGUUUCACGGUAAACGAACGAGUUUGGUUUUGUCAUACCACGUGACAUUUUCCGUCACAUAUAUUACCCUGACACAUUGCUAGAUGUCAAUUUGGGACGGCGAGUGUGAAUUGACGAUAAAUUAAAAGGGUGUUUUAAUUUAUAAAUUUUGAUUAGAUCAAAAUAAUAUUUCACGUCAUUAGGUAUCGUGAUCGAGAACCUGAUGGGUCACACACAAAAGAGAAUUGAUUUGUCAAUUAAUUAGUUUAACAAUCGUUGGAUAAAUUAAUUAAUUGGAUUUGUUAUUUAUAUUCCCGAAUUAAUUAAUGGAUUAAUUAAUUCACGGACCGAGUUUAAUUAAAUGAAUUAAUUAAACAUUGAAUCGUAUCGGGCCGAGCCGGUUAGGUUUUAUAUAAAUAUAUGGUUAGGGUUUGAGGUCCAUAUAGUUUUCAUUAUUCUUGCUGGCACAAGAGAGAAAACCCUGGUAGCUGCAAUAUUAUUCUCUGUGUGGAUCACCGUUGGAGGCUGGACAAUUGGACAGCUGUGGAUGGCGAAUCAAGAUUGCUGGAACGAAAAUAAAAGCAAAAGGUUUGCAGAAUUUUUCAAAUGUACCAUCUUUAUCACGAUUUCUAUCUAAACACAAAGGGAUUCUCGGUGGGAAUCGAAAUAAUUUUAAUUUUUCAUUGUGCAUGUAUAAGUAGAUUCCCAACAGUGGUAUCAGAGUCUACUUUGUGUUUGUUAGAAAUUGCUUUGUAUGUUGGAACAAUUAAAUGUUAAUUGUUUUUCUUGUUUUGGCGAUUAAGGAAAUAAAUAAUUUUUCAUGUUUAAAAUCAGAUUUUGAAUAGAAGUUAUUUUUUGGGAUUGGAAUAAUUUAUGAAAUCUGUUUAUGGAAAAAAAUUUAAAAGAAAGGGCAGUCGCGGCGCAGCCGACGACGACGAGCUCGCCGUCGGGCGUAAGCAGCUGCGCACGCUGCUGCUGGUUAUUGCAGCAGCGCGCACUGCUACCAAAUGACAGGGAGGCCGCCGCUUUUAACAGCGGCGACUCCUCGCCACGUAUAUUGAGGGACAGCGGCGAGGGAUGAACUUUCUAGGGUUUUCAGAUAUCGCAUGGAGACGGGGGCUUGAUCUGAAAUUUGGGAAAUUGUUGGCUGCAAUUAUGAAAAUGGGUCACUCUUGCAAUUAGAAGUAAGGGGCUGUUUUUCAAUAGUUGAUAUUGAGGACCCUUACUUGCAAUUCCACUACCGUGUCAUUUAUGUAAAUAACAAAAAGGUGCCUUUUAUAAUUUAAAGAAAUUGGAGGGCCUGUUUAGAAUUUUAAAAUGGGUCAAUUUGCAAAUUUUAAAAUGAUUUUGAAUUUGAAUUUUAAAAUGGUUUUAAAAUUGUAUUUCAAAUGGGUUUUGACUUAUUUUGACUAAAGUUUUAAUUUUAACUCAAAUUAAAAUCUUAUUUAAAAAUUGACGACAAUUUAUAUUUUCGUUAAAAUUGGCUUUUGACUUAAACAUUAAACUUUGACCCAAUUGAAUUUUUAUUUUAUUUAGGAGUGUUAUCCUAUAUUAAAAUAUUAAUUCAAUUUAAAUUAAAGUUUGACUUUAAUUUAAUACUUAAUUAAAAUUUGAUUUUAAUUGGUUAUUCACCCGAAUUUAUUCUUGUAAUUAGAAUUGGAUUAUAAUUUCACAUUUAAUUAAAAUUUGAUUUUAAUUAAAUUGUCUCACCCUAAAUUUCUUCUUGAAAUUAGAGUUUGACUCUAAUUUGGUAUUUAAUUAAAAUUUUAAUUUUAAUUAAAUUAAUUCGCCCUUAAUUAUUGGAAUUAGAGUUAGACUCUAAUUUUUUACUUAAUUAAAUUUCACUGCCUUAAAUUGUGAAAUUAGAGUUUGACUCUAAUUUGAUUUCUAAUUAAAAUUUGAUUUUAAUUGGAUAAUCUCGCCAUAUAAUUGUUGAAUUAGAGUUGGACUCUAAUUUGAUAUUUAAUUGAAAUUAGAUUUUAAUUAAAUAUGUCCGCUAAUUAAAUAAUUGGUUAAUGUGAUUAAUUAAUUAUUUAAUUGUUCAGAUCUUUUUCUCUAAAAGAGUUUAGACGACUUAAUUGCUAGAAACUUGAAACUUAUUUUCAUAUAAUAUUAGAUAUUAUAUAGGUAUAUAUUUAUGUGAUGAAUGUAUUAUUAGUAGACGAUUAUGGACUCGACUAUAUGGAUGUGUUGAAUGGUUAAUUUUUAUUCUUGUCGUUUUCUGGGCCUGGGAGCUCUUAAUUGUUUUGGGCCUGUGAGCUCUUGAUCAUUUUGGACCUGCGAGUCCAUUGUUAUUAUUAUUAUUGUUGUGGGUUUGCAAGUCCAAUUUCAUUUAGGUUUGCGUGCCAACUAGUACAGGAUACAAAUUGCAAUUGGACUAAUUGAAAAAACAAGAAGACGAGGAGACCAUGGAGAUGGUACAUCGAUACUAUUCAAUACUAUACCCCCUAGGAAUUGACCAACUAAUCUUCCUUAUAACUCGGGAAGACUAGAUAGUAAAAGUCCAUUAUCGUCCAUACUAUUAUAUUAUGUUAUAUAUAUAUUUAUUUGCAUGGUGGAUGUAUAAUAAUAUAUGUAUGAUUGUAUUGUUGUUGAUGAGACUUUUGAAUGCAAAAUCCCUCCAUAAAAUAUUAAGUCACAUUUGUAAUCGCCUUCCAUCAUUAUAGUGAAAAACCAGAGCCCCAAAUCGUCUCAACUUGUUAAGUACACUCAAGGCUGAUCCAUUAGGGAUAUGUUUGACACUAUAAGUUAUUUGAUAUUUCUGAAUGACGGGUUUGACUUAACUAAAAAUUAUUAUUUGUUGAGUACACUCAAGGAGAUAAAUUUUAGGGGCAUGUUAAGCUAACACAUAAGAUGUGUGAAAACAAAGAAUUGUUAGCUUAAUGAUCUGGGAGUUGUAUGGAGAUACAAUUAAUAACAAUAUCUACCCAAAUGUUAUAUUAAGGCUUGUUGAGUACAUUCAAGGUCUUAAUAUAAUAGAUGGCAUCCCAGCCUACUGGAAGUCAAGUUUGGGCUCCAUAAAUUUAUGUAAGAGGGUCAUAAAUUUUAUUUAAACAGUGGGAGCAUAAUUAAUUUAAUAAAAGUCCAUGUAUAAAUUGAUGCAUUUUAUAUAUUAUUCUUUCCUUUUUCGUCAUUUAUAUUUAUUGAAUCGUGAGUAACCAUGUGUAUCUGAAUGGCAUACUAGAUGCCAACAACCAAACUAUAUUUUUUUAAUUGACACCGUAAUUUGAGAAUUAUUCUCAUGUAUGAGAAAAUUGGUCACGUCCUUGAGUAGCCCUUUCCAGAUACACCUGCUGAUAACUCAAUUAAAGAAGAGGUGGCUACUGUAGUAAACGCAGUGAUGACAAUAGUACUGCAACGUAUGUGAUACUUGCAACUAUGUCACUGAGUUACAAAAGCGACUUGAGAAUAUAGAUGUUAACACAUAAUUCUUCAUUACAAAGAGUUGUAUGAUGAUAAUCAUGUGUGGAAGGAUAUGAGACUUCCAAACAACUAUACCGGUGCAAAAUCGAUGCUUAGACACUAAAGAUGAUUGACGUUGAGAAAUGUCUCAACGGUGUUCAAUCAUAAACAAUUAACUAAGUUGUCACAUGGUUCUGCAAUCUUUGUCAGCUAAAACUAUUCACAACUAAUUAUUAAUUUAACGUGAAUAAGUUCGAAUGCAAAAUUAUUGAGUUGCUUAACAUGUUUAGGACUGUUAAGCCCUUUAUCAAAGUUGGUAGUGGGCAAAUCAUUGAUUUCUCUAAAGAUAUUAAGAGGAAGUCUAAAGGGGCUUUAUGAAAGCAUCCAAUAUGGUUAAGAUGGUCUAAGCGAAGGACAAUACCAAAUCUAAUGACCCUUGGUUUCAUUAUAGAAUAAAAGGUCAUUGGAAGGAAUAUUGUAUGGCUUACGUCUACUUCACGAGUUUUUUAGGUAUCUGAUAACAGAUGUAAAUCUCAUAUUUAUACAAAUAUGGAGAAACUAAAUAGAAAUAUACCACUGCGAAAGGGAGAAGUUAACCUACGUGAUAGAGAUGAGCAAAUGUUGCUGCGUUGUCUGUAGGAGCAUACUUCUUGCCGUUGCCUUUUGACUUAGUAAUGGAAUUAGAGAAAUGUUGCUUUGUACCCACCAUAGCUGGAACAUUAAAAUGAAUUUCAUGUUCAGACAUGAAGCAUUUUAAUAUUAAGGAUAAUUAAUUGUUGCUUCUGCAUAUCUUGAUUAAGAUCUUAAUAGUUGUGGUAAGUUACAAAAUAACAUUUAUAUUCUAAAUACUAAGGGUUCUAUAAUGAAUAUAGAAAUCAUAAGGCAUAAAUGCGAUAAUCUAAUUAUUACUGAAAUCUGGCAUGACAGACUUUGUCAUAUAGAUGAAAAGUAAUUCCAAAGUUACAUAGAGAUGUAUACUUGGGAUUAAUUGAUUUUGACAAGUACAAAUUAUGCAUGUCUGGCACAAUGACCAAAUCUUCUUUUACUUGAAAAAAAGAAAGGUCAGCAUAAUUACUGGUCUAAUGCAUAGUGAUGCAUAUGGACUCGUGUCAAUUAAUGUUAGGUAAUGUUUCUCUUAUUUCAUCAAUGAUCAUAUACUUGAUGAAAACUCAAACAUGAAACUUUUGAAAAGUUCAAGGGAUUCAAACUAAAAGUAGAGAAACAAAUAGGUAAAGAUACCCUCACAUUAAGAUUCGAUCAAGUGAGAAUAUUUUAAAGAUAAAAUCUAGAUUAUCUAAGAGAGAAUGAGAUUCUCUUGCAGUGAACUCUUCCACAUACACUGCAGCAUAAUGGUGUAUCUAAAAGGAGGAAUCGUUAACUAUUAGAUAUAAUGCGAUUAAUAUCAAGCCAUGCAAAUCUCCCAAAAUUGUUUUGAGAUCAUGCAUUGAUUGCAGUGUGCAACACACUAAACCAUGUCCCAUCUAAAUUGUUUAACAGAACUCCAUAUGAGUUAUGAAAAGGCAAUAGUCCCAAUUUAUCUUAUAUGAAAGUUUGGGGCCAUUACGCUUAUUUGAAGCGCCUUAAAUCGGAUAAAUUUGAGACUAAAUCUUAUAAAUACAUAUUUGUGGGAUAUUCAAAUGAGACAUUUGAAUAUAAAUUCUAUUAUUAUGAAGAAAGUCUUCCUCUCACGAUAUAUCGUCUUCUUAGAGAAAAUGUUUACCCUAGGGAAGGAUAGUGGGAGUAAAAUAGAACUUGAAAGAGUUCAAGAGUCCACAGAUAUAGUCAACCAAGUAGAUAAAUUCGAGUUUGAUCUCAUAUCUGAUAUGGGACAUACACUUGAUCAGGAAGUAAAGACUCCUGAGAACAUGUCAGCUCCAUGUGAAUCUAGUAGGAUCAUUCGACCUUCAAGAAGGUGCGAAUCCAUGAUUACUAAUCAGAUAUUACUGAUCGAGGAUAAUGAACCUGCUAGUUGCACCAAAAUAAAGUCAAGUGUUGACUUAAAAGAUGCAGUAAGAGGCCAUGAAACUCGAGAUGAACUCGACGUAUGUGAACAAGGUUGGACCUUGGUCAAGUCUCUUGAUGGAAUAAAAUCCAUAAGUUUUUGUAAAUAGUUUACAAGGAAAAGGUCGAUAUGGAUGGAAAUAUCCAUAUAUACAAAGCAAGGCUAGAAGUGAAGGUUAAGUGUUAGCCUUGGCGAAACCUUUAUCCUGUAGCCUUAUUGAAGUCCAUUCGAGUUUUGCUUGCAACAGUUGCAUAUCGUGAUUAUAGGUUAAGAAAAUUCUCUUGGAGCUGAAAUCUUCGAUUUGAUGGAAAAGUCAAAGUUUUUGAUUUUAUCAAAUUUGAAGAUGAAUUGUGUGUUUACAAGAAAAUAGUGGGAGCAUUGUCGUAUUGCUAACAUAUUAGAAAACGACAUCCCUAUGUUUCAAUCGUUAAAAUAAUGGUUGUUAAAUGACUUAUUCUUGAAUAAUAUGGGGAGAAGCAACUUGAUCUAUAGAGAUAGAUCUAGAAGGUUGCUUAACUCGUUCCAAUCUAUAUAAAAUAUUGAAAAGAUUUUAUAUGGAGAAAUUGGUUUACUCUUAAACCGUAUGUUGGAAAGGUUCCGAACGUGAAGCAACCGUUGAUUCAAUAGUAGAAACCUAAUACAUGAUUACUUCAGAAGUAGCAAGGAGUUGCAAUCUAGAUCAUGAUGUUCAUAAAUGAAUUUGGAGUAGUUCCUGAUAUUGUUGAUCACAUGCCAUUGUAUUGUGAUAACAAUAGAGACAUUGCGAAAGCAAAGGAACUAAGGUCUCAUCAAUGAUCAAAACAUGUAUUAAGGCGGUAUAAUCUCAUCAGAGAGAUAAUACAUAGAAAUGACGUAAAGUAAAGAAAAGAACAAAUUUUCACAUUUAACAAUAUUGCAGAUCCACUGACAAAGAGUUGUCGUAGCAUAAACACGAUCGUCAUGUAGACUUAUGAUAUUGGAUAAAUAAGUGAUUGGAUCUAGUGCAAGUGGUAGUUUGUAAGUAUUAUGCCCUAUGUCCAAUCAACUUUGGACAUAAAUACUUUGGAUAUAUAAUUAAUGCAAGUUAAUGACAGAUCUAUUAUUUAAUUAAUAGACAAUUAAAUAAAUAAUAGAGUUCGUAGAUUCAAAUUUCCGUAAUUUGUUAAUCACAAGGAGUUGUGAUUGUGAGAUACAAAUUAUGUCUGAUUGAAUCUUAAAUCGUCCGUGGUCGUAAGUAAUAACGAGAAACGGAUAUCGUUAUUACGGAUAGAUCAUCACGUGUAGCAUUUCUUACUUGUGAAGUAAGUAGCUGAUCUCACAAGCUAAAGUAUGAUGACACUUAAAUGAACACGUGAAUGUUUUGUUAUAGAACAAAAUAUUGGAGACUCGUCGAAAGAUUUCACAUGGAUAACUAUCUGAGUGUCAGUGGUUAAUCUCUAACGUUCGGUAGUGGAAUUGAUCCUUUAACUUGAGGUCGUCAUGAUACCUUAUAUGAGGACAGUCAUACUUUGGCAGUGUUGGAUGUUGCUCUAUAAAGGGCCCCUAAUACGACAUCGUUCGGGUACGUCAAGAAUCAUAUGAAGGUUGUGAUUGACCAAUAAAGGAUUCGUCACUAUUAGAUAGUAGGAGAUUAUGAUCUACGUUUCAUUCAAUUAAGUCGAUGAUGAAAUCAUUGGUCAAGGUGUACUCAUAAGUCGAAAAGGAGUUUUCGAUUUGUAUUGACUUAAUAGUGGAGUGAAAGAUAUGAUUGAUAAUCGAGAUUGACAUACUUCCAUAUCUCGUAAUUGAUCGGAUCAUAUUAACGAAGGGAUUAUAGUUUUACGGUAAACGAAUAAGUUUGAUUUUGUCAUACUACGUGACAUUUCCCGUCACAUGUAUUGCCCUGACACAUUGCUAGAUGUCAAUUUGGGAUGGCGAGUGUGAAUUGACGAUAAAUUAAAAGGGUGUUUUAAUUUAUCAAUUUUGAUUAGAUCAAAAUAAUAUUUCACGUCGUUAGGUACCGUGAUCGGGAACCUGAUAAGUCACACACAAAAGAGAAUUAAAAGAUUGCAAUUUGUUAAUUAAUUAGUUUAACAAUCGUUGGAUAAAUUAAUUAAUUGAAUUUGUUAUUUAUAUUUCCGAAUUAAUUAAUUGGAUUAAUUAAUUCACGGAUCGGGUUUAAUUAAAUGGAUUAAUUUAACAUUGGACCGGACCGGGCCGAGCCCGUUAGGGUUUAUAUAAAUACAUGGCUAGGGUCCGAGGUCCAUAUAGUUUUUAUUAUUCUUGCUGGCAUAAAAGAGAAAAUCCUGGUAGUUGCAAUCUUAUUUGCUGUGUGGAUCACCAUUAGAGGCUGGACAAUUGGACAGCUGUGGAUGGCGAGUCAAGAUUGCUGUAACGAAAAUAAAAGCAAAAGGUUUGCAUAAUUUUUCAAAGGUACAAUCUUUAUCACGAUUUUUCUAAACACAAAGGGAUCCUUGGUGGGAAUCGAAAUAAUUUUAAUUUUCAGCUGUGCAUAUAUAAGUAGAUUCCCAACAGCAGGCUCUUCAAUAUAUCCUACCCCAGUUCAAAUGAAAGACUUCCGCCCCGCAACAAGUGUUCAGUUCUUCACUUGCCACGCAGUUUAUGAGAUAAAUCGGAUUCAUUGGACUUGUUCCACCGGUUUUGCGCUGAUUAUCAACUAGAAUGGAAUGUGUCUGGUGAUUGUCUUAAUUGCCACAGAAAAGGAGGAAAAUGUACAACUAACAGAAAGAAUGAAUUUCGAUGCGAUAAAGGUACCAUCGGCCUUUCAACAUGAUCUUUUCAGUUUUCAUUAUGGAUGUAUAUUAUUGAAUAUUGAGAUAAAAAAAUUAUUAAAUUAAGAAACUUUUUAUAUGACAAUUUUUAUUUUGUCAAUCUGGCUCUUUCCCAAUAUAGUUAUUUGCCCUGUUUUUCUUUGUUUCAAAUUGAACUCAACCUUAUCCUUAAUUUGUUUGUAAUGUAUACACCAAAUUUGGUAAAAAAAAUUUCUCAUUUUGUGGAAAGUAAUUAUUCAAUAUUAUAACUAUUUGAAAGACUUAAUCAAAAAAUAAAAUAAAAUAAAAUAAAUAAAAAUCAGUUCAUAGGACACAACUAUUAUUUGGAUCAUGAUAAUUGAAUGUCCCUUUACAAAAUUCCAUCACCAUAUUAUGAUAAUUUCAAAAGAUGUUUGAUAUACAUCACAUUCUAUAGUGUGGACAUAAUUUAUAUAUGUUUUCAUAGUCAUCAACUUAUGGUUCACGAGCAAUAUCUUUAUUUGACCAAGUCUUGUGACGCCAAAAUAAUUUGCAAUAUCUUUUUGUUUAUGAAUGUACGUACAUAUAAAAUGUUGACAAGAUCCAUUAUUUUUCAAUCUAUAAGUCAUAGAUAUAUUUUUGUAAUGUACAAUUAGUAAAAAUACAAAACACUUUUUAAAUAAAUAAAUUUUGGUUAUUGAUAAAUUAAUGUUAUUCAUUAUAUAAAAAAUAAACUAUUCAAAUAAUAUUUUUCUUAGUACCCAGAGUAUUACUUUAUAGGGCUUUAGUAUAGUGUGUCGCACUACAAUCACUAUAGAGGUUAUCCUUUUCUGUAAGUUUGUCUUUUAGCAUUGUAAUCUAUAGAGGUCAAGUGAUCUCAAAUUUAAUUAGAAUUUAAAUCAUUUACAGAGAACAAAAUUUGUUGAAUUAAUAGUCGUGGUUUUCUUUUGAUACAAGUAUAAGAGGAAAUUUAGCAGAAAAUCAUGACUCCGACUGUGAGAAAAUCAGAAUCUAAAUCAUUUAGAAGUUGCUUAAUCUAACAUGUGUUUUGACUUCAGCUGCAGGAAGGAUUAAAUUGAAACUGGUUUUACUUGCAGGUAACUCUUCCAAAUUUCAGUACCAUUUCUUUUGUUUUUUAAUUUAUAAACAUUGUUGUCUUUUUUCAUCGCAGGUGUUUCAGCUGCAGCGGGAGUCCUCAUCUCCACAAUCUUGUUCACUUUCAGGAGGAGGAAGUACUUGCUGAAUUUGAAGGGAAAAACUCAAAACCAUAAGGACAUUGAACUCUUCCUGAAGAACAAUGAGAAGCUUACACCAAGAAGAUACAACUAUUCUGUUCUUAAGAAAAUGACUAACUCAUUCAGUGACAACUUAGGGAAAGGCGGCUUUGCUAGUGUGUAUAGAGGAAAGUUACCUGAUGGCCAUCUUGUAGCAGUAAAGAUUUUAAAAGAAUCGAAAGGCAAUGGAGAAGAAUUUAUCAAUGAGGUAGCAAGUAUCGGUAAAACUUCCCACGUUAACGUUGUCGCUCUCCUGGGAUUUUAUUUUGAGGCUUCCAAAAGAGCUCUCAUUUACGAGUUCAUGCCCAAUGGAUCUCUUGAGAAGUUCAUGUGCAACAACACCUCCAUAUCAAGAUGUCAAUUAGGAUGGGAAAAAUUGUUUCAAAUUGCUGUUGCUAAUGCUAAGGGAAUAGAAUACUUGCACCAAGGAUUUAAUACACGGAUUUUGCACUUCGACAUAAAGCCUCAUAACAUUCUUCUGGAUGAAGAAUUGAACCCUAAGAUAUCGGAUUUCGGCUUGGCUAAACUUUGCCCCAAUAGGUCUAGUAGAGUUUCGAUGUUAGGGGCUAGAGGAACAAUAGGAUAUAUUGCUCCAGAAAUAGCUUAUAGAAACGUUGGCGACAUUUCUUACAAGUUGGAUGUCUAUAGCUAUGGUAUGAUGCUUUUGGAAAUGGUUGGAGAGACGAAAAAUACUGACGUCAGAGUUGAUCAUUCAAGUGAAAAAUAUUUUCCUGAUUGGAUCUAUGAGCACCUCGAACAGAACUUUGAGCUUGAUUUUAACCGAGUUGAAAACGAAGAUGAAGUUUCGAAAAGGAAAAUGGUAAUAGUUGGCCUGUGGUGCAUACAAACUGAUCCUAAAACUAGACCAUCAAUGAGCAAGGUUAUAAAAAUGUUAGAAGGGAGUAUGGAAUCUCUUCAAAUCCCACCAAAACCCUACUUUUUACAGCCAAGAGCAGCAGAAAACUUUUCAACUAGUGAGUCGCUAGUCACUCUCUCCUAGGUUCAUGAAGUUUAGCUUCUUGGAAUCCCACGGUGUUUGGUGGCUCCUAUUUACUGCACAAUAUAGGCAGUUAUCUAUGUUGUUUUGCUAUUGUAAUUUUUAAGUUGUUAACACAUCUCCUGUCUCAAUGUUUAUUAAAUUUCUUCUUGGAGAUCAAGCUUGGCAAUUCAUGAGCAUAAUGUUUAUUUCUAUGUCAUAUUGAGCUUGAUUGCAGAUAUCAUUCCAAUUCCCAGGUACUCCAUGACUUCCACCCAUGGAAGAUCUUGUAGGUUUCUGGCUUUGAGAAUGAGGCUGCGCAUAGUAGCCAUCAUGGGUGCAACAUCUGAUACUCUGUCCACUCGUGAAAGAGUCGAAACUUUUCUCUAAAAAUUCAGCUUUUAGAAUUUUCUCCACGUUUUAUGUAAAAACUAAAAUGAUUAUACUUUUGAACAGGUGAAAAGUACAUUUCUCGUGCAGCCAAAAUCUGAUAACUUUUCCCUUUUAUAUCAGUUAUAAGUCUCCACUUUAAUGUAACAAAAUAUAGAACUUCCUCCUCCAAGAAGUUUCUUUUUGCCCUGUUCUUCAUUUUAUUGCUGAUUUUGAUUUGUUUCUGGUGGUCUUAGUACAGAUUUUUCUGUGUUCUUUCAUAGAAAAGUUAUCGACUUGACAGUCUGGCAAGAGGUACAAGUAAUCCUUCAGAAUGACAGGAAUAAUGUAGGAAUCAUGCACCGCCAGUUGCAGCUUGGGUGUUUUUCGAGCUUUCCAAGUUCUAACCCUUGAACUGAAUAAGGGAGAACCUGUCCGCCUUACACAAAUGUGCAAAUGUCCAAUUGACAUUUGCCUCAACUUCAUGUGUCACAUUUUAGCCAUCGUUUCAAGGGUUGUGAUGGGGAAGGCCCCAUUUUUAAUAGCAUUUAUGUCUGCAUGUAAUUCCAUUUAGGAUUGAUUAUGUCAAGAUAGUCCAAAGGAUCUCUUUUAAGAUCAUGCCCCGUUCGAGUCUCUUUCUCUAAAAAUUUAUUAUUUUUUUAAACUCAUUUUCAAUCACAUAUUCUUCCAAUAAAAUAAUUCAAAACAUUUUCCUACUUUUUCAUCACACAUUCUAAAGAAAAACACUAUUAUAAAAUUCAUUUUUUCCAAAAUGCACAAACUAACAUCCUCAAAUCUAGAUACCCAAAUUGAGAAGUAUUAUUAUUUAAUUCUCUUAAGAUCAUAAAUGCGAAAAACGAUUAGAUAUUUCUUUAACAUAAUAAAUAUCAAUGACUUUGAAGAUAUUUUGUACACCGUUUGGUACUAAUUUAAAUCAUAUUUAUCUAAAUCAAAGUCAAACAAUCAAUUUUAACCACAUAUUUCAUGGGUCCCACAACUUUUCAACCAUAAAUUUCAAAAAAGUUUAUCAAAAUCUACUAAAAUCUAAUUUUAAUACCUACCAAAUAGGGGCCUAAUAAAAAUAUAAGACAAUUAAAUUAAAUAUUAACUUUAUUUUCAAAAUGAAUUCAAUAUUUAAAUGUGAUAGUACUAAGUUCGUUGCACCACAAGUACUCGUCUCGGAUCAUUUUCUUGCCUUCAUUAUCUGAAAAAUGGGAAGAGAUAACACGGAAUGAGCUAACACUCAAUAAACAAAUCUUGUACAUAUGAUGCAUGUUUAUGAUAUGCAUAUGCUUAAUUUUAAAAUAAAUAACUUUUUUUUCAACAUGUGCCCCCUUUCUUUAAUUUUAUUUUUUCAUUUUUUAAUAAUGAUAAUGUGAGCUUACUUUAGUGUAUCGGUUAACCCAUCAGAAUACAAUGGACAAUUAUUAUUUGGAACUCGAUUCAUUCUACCGACAGUAUUGCAAAGUGGUUAACAUUAACAUUAAACAUUUAACAUUGGUUAGAUGCAUCAAUCCCCUACGUCCUAUUUUCCACUCACACCUUUAAUGAAAUAGACGUACACUUCUUAGCAAAAACAUCCGGGAUACAUAUUUUUUUAUAAUAUUUAUUGACUCAUUGAUAUUUGAAAACUUUUUAUUUCUUAAAACUUUAAGUGUGCUUAUAGAUGCAUUGACAUACAUGAAUAUGUCAUGAGAAGCACUAAUGACAUAAAACAUAAUAAUCAAAUAUCAUAUUCACAUAAUAGGAACUUUAGGUAACACAUUUGUACAUUUAACAAUGUAACAUAUGCAUGAAGACAAAGGAAGGUUUACUUACUUGAAAUUGAUUGAAAUUUAAAUUUGAAUGGCAAGUAAGGAUGCUCCCGCUUACGAAGUUAAUGUAUCAAAAAUACUAGCUCAUUAUCAUCUAUUUGUAAACUUCAACAAUAUGAUUAGACAUCACUCCAGUCUAGACCAUUGUUCUAAUAAUUUAAAUUUACUUGUUAUUGUUUUCAUUAAAUUCCAAGUCUUAAAGAAAACUGUAGAGAAUUAUAAGAACUAAAAGGGAACCUACUAUUGAAACAAAACAGUUUUGUCCCAUAUGGGUCAUGUUUGGUUAAAUUUCUAACGAUGAAAUAGUUUCUUUCUCUACUUAAAUUAAUGCUUUUAUAACACUAGAAUAGAGAGACAAGAAGAAAAGUGAAAACUGUUACUGAUCAUAUAUAGCGGUCCAAUGAGGUCCACAUGGAAGCCCCAUAUUCAUACGCAUGGCAUUGGGUCGAGUAAAAGAAGAGUUAUGGACGAGAUCAAUAGGCGAGGUUGUUGCAUUGAAUGUUGAGCUCAUUUUACUAGAAUUCUCCAAAGUGGUUCUAGCCUUUGAUCGCGCGAAGUGGGAUUACUUAUUUCUGCCGAACCCCAUAGCUUCUGAAGUCCUUGACACUCGGAAAAGGGUUUGAUAAGCGUAUCUUAGGGAUUGAUUGAUGUGACGUUCUCAUUAAAUAAGUGUCAAGAAUGUUAGCCUAGGGAUAUAGAGUGGUUGGCCCCUUGUUCUGUUAAUGUAAUUAAUGUGAGGUAGAGUUAAUGUGAUGUCAGGGUCUAAUAGAUUAAUGUGAUGCCAGGGUCUAAUAGAUCAGGCCACGUGGAUCGGAUCUAACGAUAACCACAUCGGCCUGAUCACUAUAAAUAGCUAAUUCUUGUAUCAUUUUGAACAUAAAAAGAAAACAUUAUAUAUUUCUCCAUAUAAAAAGAAAACAUUAUAUAUUUCUCCAUAUAAAAUUAUCCAUUGCUUCCACCUUCUUCUUCCACAAAUAUACACAUUUACAAUCAACAUUACAAAAUAAGUCCACGUGUAUAUUGUCUUUGAACGACAUUUUUUGAUCAUUUUUGGAGGUCAACAAAGACUAUAAGUUGAAGGACUUCAUUCAAUUUAGACUAUGUAGAUAGAAAAAAGGAAAAAAAAGUGAUGGCAAUAGACAAUAUAUACGUGCAAAAUCGAUUAUGUUAGCAACAUUCAAUACAAAGCCAAAAUAUGAAAUAUGCAGGGCUUAGAAAAUAAAAUAAACUGUAGAUCAUAUAUUAUUCUAGAAACUAAAAUAGUUACCAAAAAUAAAACGAAGAAACUAGGUUCUUAAUCUCAAAAGCCAAAUUAAAACUUAGCUAGUGCACAUCUAUUUUUUUUUUUUUUUCAAACUCUAAAAAUACUGUCCGGUUCAACCCAUUUUUCACACUAGUUAUCUACAAUCUAUAUCCUACAUUUUAUAGUUUAAAUUACUCAUUCUCAAUUCAAUUCCUUAUUUCGUUAUUCAAUUAUCAAUCUAUUCAAUUCAUCUAUUAUAUUUCUCAUUCCUUAUAUUUUCUCACUUUAUCUCAAUUUUAUAAUUCAUCUAUUGUAUUAUAUACUUUUAUUUCAUAUUUAUACAUUUCAAUUUCAUUUUACACAAAUGGAACCCAAUAUUUAUGUUGAGUGUUUGUUUAGUGAUAACUCACCAUUGACACCACAAUUUCAAUUCCAUAAUGAUUUAGACAUCAGCGAUGUACAUGAGGAAUAGACAUCCAAUUGAUAUAGAUGGUAUUGAUGAAAAAGCGGAACUCGAAAUAAUUGAUGCAAGAGGGAAUCGAAAAUUUAAACAAACUGAAAAGUAUUGGGAACACUUCAAUUUGGUUUCAACGGGUCAUACAGUCUGCGGAGUCCAAGAAUCUAAAGCAACUUGUAAAUAUUGUCAAAUAUAAUUGACAUAGCAAAAGGGAAUCGAAACUACUCACCUUAACCGUUACUACAAGAAAUGUUCAACCAAACAUGGACUUAUUGGCCAUACACAAACACAACUUCAAUUUGGUACUCCCUUGAUAAUUGUAUUUUAUACACUUAUUCGGUACCUUAAAUAGAAAUAUUUGAUGGUUCUUUUGACAAAUUAUAUCCUUUGUAUUUUAUGUUUAAUAGGUAAAAUUUUAUGAAGGAAAGAAGCAAAAGCAUGCAAAAUUGGAGAAAAGAAUUAAAUCGCAUGAAAUCCAAAGUUCGGGGGCUAAAGUGCAAAUAUUCAAAAGUUGUGUUGAAGCUCAAGAUGAAGAUCCGAGAGUGUUAAGAGUUAAUUGGAUGAAGAAAGAUAUCAAAGGGGUCAAAUUUAAGCAAAAUAUGAUCACAAAUCAAUUUCCAACCGAAAAGCUAUGCUCUAGAAUUUUAGGCUCACAUUAAGACCCAUUUUUGACAUGGAAAGCGAUUCAAUCGAGAAUGAUGUCUCAAGCAAAAUUGUAGCACUUUGAGUUAUCUUUCCAAAACAUCUUGAAUCACCUCAAUUAAAUAACAAGAGAGAAAGUUAUGCUAAAAAUACUGAAAGAAGUACGUGUUAUCUAUUCGAAAAGUGGCACUGGAGAUUCAGAGAGGUGGCGCCAUUUUUGGUGUGAAGCUGUGAUGCUGCAUUUCAAGCGUCACGACACCGCAUCCCAGAUGCGUUAGGGCACAAUUUUGGCCCCUUUUUGAGUCCAUAUGAAAACCCUAUUCUUCCAACACGGCAAGGGACCUAUAAAUAUUAAAUUCCUCACACUUUAAGGGGGUUCUACAGAUUCUAGAGGCAAAAACACUUCUUAAGAGAAAUGGGGAGAGAUUCAAAGGGAGAAGACAACUCCAAAUUCAUCGUGUGAAGCAUAAAUUGGAAGGAGAAAUUCUUGGUACAAGAUCCACUUUUUCUUCUACAUACUCUUAUUAAAAAUUCGGUGAUGUACUCUAAGAUAAUUUGUUGUUGCUCUUCUUUUAUUAUGCAUAGCUAAAUCCAUUGUUAGGGCGAAUAAUGUAACCAAUUUCAGAUCCUUUAUAUUUUCUUAUUAAGAUUCUUGGAUUUUAAUUUUUCCAUGUGUUGAUUCUUGCUAUGGACUGAUUGCAUUAAAUUAUCUGAUUGAUAAUUUGAUAAAUUUUGUGAAUCCUUUACAAAUAGAGAUAUGAGUUUAGGAUUUAGACCAUGUACUAAAAUCUAGUAAUUGGUAUAAUGAGUAGAGAUACCUAUGACAUUUAUUGCGGUCAUUAUUAAAAUCCUAGGAUGAAGAAAUCGUUUAACUAAGUUAAAUUUGCAUAGAGAUAUGAAAUUUAAUUAGUUGAAUAUGCUCAAUGAGAACUUGAAGGGGUAAAUUGAAUACAAUAGGAGAAUUCGAUCAAACACUACAUUAGAAUUGAGUCUUAAUUUGAGAUGUAAAGGUAAUCAAUAUGUGAAAUUAUUCUGUCCUAACGUCCUCUAAUUAUUUGAUCUUACAAAUAAGUGUGUGAGAAUUUAUUUAUUGUUUAGAAUUAAGAUUUAAACUCAAAUCACUAUAACUUUUAAUUUAUUUUCAUCAAAUAGUAGUUAAAAGAAAACUGAAUUAAAUACUAGAAAAUAGUCAUUGUGGGAUCGACAAUCCGAACUCUUAGGUCCACUAUUACUCGUUACGAUUCAUACACUUGCGAAACUAAAAUAUACAACAAGUUUUUGGCGCCGUUGCCGGGGACUAUUACUUUUAGUCUUAAUUUAUUUUUAUUUUUAAUUGUUAUUUGAUUUUUUUUUCUUUUAUUUACAGAAAAUUGUGUUCAUUGUAUGUUCCGUGCUCAAGGCGACGAUCUUGAACCAUUUGAUUAAGAGAUAGAACGUACAUUCAGACGAAGAUGCAAAGAACACAAACAAAAACAGCAUCAUCAAGUGACUGACAAUCAACAAAUCCCUAUCCCUAUUCAGCUGAUUAGACAAAUGGCCGCAAGAGUGGUGGCACCACCGGAACAGCAGCAUGAGCGAGGGGAAGUAAAUGAAGUUGAUUUGCCAGUAUCAAUGUUCCUGACACCUAUAGCAGCACCCAUGCGCUCCAAUAUCAUGUAUCCAGAUUUUCGGGUGAAUAACUUUCAGAUCAGGCCAAAUUGGAUUAACUUGAUGAGCAACACUCUCCAAUUCUACGAGUUACCUCAUGAAAAUUCGAACACUCAUAUCUCCAGAUUUCUCGGGAACUAUCAGAACUUUCAUGCUCUGGGAGUCAAUGAAGAUGCUAUUAAACUACGAUUAUUUUCAUUUACAUUGAGAGAUGCUGCAUUGGAAUGGUUAGAUGUUGAGCCUCAUGGGAGCAUUACUACAUGGGAAAAAUUGACCAGAAAAUUUUGCAACAAAUUCUUCCCAUCGGCCACAGUAGCUAAAAUCAAAUUGGAAACUCAAACUUUUCAACAGAAAGAUGGAGAAAGCUAUCACGAGGCACGGAAUAGAUUUAAUGAGCUAAUGAGAAAAAAGUCCAAACCAUGGAAUCACUCUAGGAAACCAAGUGCGGUACUUCUACACCGGACUUACACCUCUGUCAAAAUCUCAAGUUGAUGCCUCUGCUGGUGGAUCAAUCAUAGGGAAAUUAGUAUAACAAACCAUGGACCUAUUUGAGUAAAUUGCCACCACACAUUUAAUGUUCUCAUCAGAAAGAGUGGUACCACCAAAGGCAACAGGAAUGCAUGACAGCACAACAUCUGCUAAUGCACAGAUAGUAGCUUUAACAAAACAGGUAGAGAUACUUGUAAAAUUGCAAACAUAUGGAGUAAAUGUAAUGAUGGCCAUUUCAACAUGUGAGAAUUGUGGGAGAAAUCACUCUACAGAGAGCUGCAUGAUGCUCACUUCUUCAGAGGAACAAGUAAAAUUAAUUCAAAAUAACUCCCAUAAGUUCAACUCAUAUGGGAAUAAUUUCCAACAAGAAAGAAGACUAAGUUUGGGAAAGAUGUUUCAACAAUAUGUGCAGAAGGCAGACAAGAUGUUCCAGCAAAUUGACACGAACUUUCAAAAUUAGCAGGCAUCCAUCAAGAAACUGGAGACACAAAUUGGUCAGAUAGCGCAACAACUUGUAGAUCGUCCACAAGGGACUUUGCCAGGCAAUACAAUGAUAAAUCCCAAGGAACAGAUGAUGGCAAUUAAAAUAGUGGAGAACGAACUACCCAGGGCCCCCGUGAAAGUUUGAAGCGUAUGUACAUCCACUCUCGUUUCCCCAAAGACUUCGAAAGAAGUCGAUGGAGCAAAAUAUUCAUGUUAUAAAUACAAAGAGCGAGGUACAAUCGCCAGAGAUCACUACUGAGAGACCCAAAAGAAAAGAUGACCAGGAAGUGAUUGAUGAAGCUACAAGGGUAGAAAAAUUUGCACCAAACGCAACUGAAAAUGGAGAAAAUACAGAAACAUCAGCUGCCAAAACACCAAGUCUAGACAAAGCUUAUAUAUCUCCCAAUCCCUUUCCUCAAAAGCUCAAGAAAAACAAACAAGACACAUUAUGAAAAAUUCCUCGAUGUUCUCAAAAAGCUCCAGAUCAAUGUUCCGUUCAUUGAUGCGAUACUACAAAUUCCAAGCUACACAAAAUUUUUGAAAGAGAUGUUGACAAAGAAAAGAAAGCUUCCGGAGUUUAAAACUAUGGCAUUAACUGAGGAAAGUAGUGCAAGAGUCCAGAGAAAAUUGCCUCCUAAAUUGAAAGAUCCAGGGAGUUUUACUUUACCAAUUUCAAUUAGAAAUUCCUGUUCAAUUAAUACAUUGUGUGACACUAGUGCUAGUAUCAAUCUAAUGUCAUAUUUUGCUUACUUAGAAAUUGGGACUGGGUGAAGUCAACUCACCAUCAAUAAUGCUACAGCUAGUUGAUAGAACAAUCGUAAAACCACGUGGCAAAGUUGAGGAUGUACUCGUAAAAGUAGGAAAUUUAAUAUUUCCUGUGGAUUUCAUUGUAUUGGACAUCCCAAAAAAUCGAGACAUUCCAAUUAUAUUGGGUCGGCUGUUCAGGAAAUUAUUUCUUUCGAUUUAAAACUACCGCAGGUGUACGGCUUAUUAACAAGUAAUAAAGUGGAUUAAAUGAGUUCGAAUAUCGUUCCACAGAGAUUGAUUAGUUCAAUUUUACCUAUCGUCACCUUAAUCGAAACUAAAUUACUAAAGUGGAUGUUAACCUAAUUAAAACCCUAAUUUUGGAAAGAAAAUCCUAAUUAUGCAAUUUUCAUUAAGUAUGCAAAACAAUAUUUUUAAUACUCUAGAAUGAAAUCAAAUGUUGAGAACGCAUGUUUGCUGUAAUCAAUAGGAAUUAAACACACUAGGAUCACUAUUUCUCGUGCAAUUAUCACUUUAAAACCUUAGUUUCACAAUAUGACAACACACUUCAAUUGUGACGAAUCAAUGUUCCUAAAUCUAUCAAAUACUCUCUCUCGAGAUGUAUCAAACCUAUUUCUACAUACCACCGGCCUAUAUUUCUAUGACAAGUGCAUAUGUAAACAUACAUGCGAUUUUAUGAAUACUUAAAGAUUCACGUAGGGCAUAGAGGUAUAUUUCUAUCCCCUAUCGGACCCUACGAUGAUUUAUAUUAUGUCAAACUUAUUUCAAUUCUCUAGAAUGUAAGAAUACAUCACCCAAACUCACACAAUUACGGGUCCUUAAUUGCGAAAACAAUAAUUGCAUAUAAAUCAUUCAAAUCAAUAGAAAUAUGUCUUAAUGUCAAAUUGUAAAACUAGAAAAUUAAAGAUCAAAUUACAUGGUAUAUCGAUCUCCUAACACAUAAAAAUCUAGCCUAACAUGGUUAAAAUAAAAUAAUACAUCAGAUUUUGGAUAAAAGGCAUUAUCAGACUAUGAAAUCUUGAGAAAUCUUGAAACUCUUCCUGUAAAUCUUCGUUCUUGUGCUCAAAAUCCUCUCCAAGAAGUGUUUUUCUGCUUCCAAUACCGUUCUCCCUCUUUUUGGAGGUUUUUUGGUAUUUAUAUCGCGUGAAAAUUAGGUUAUCAAAAGAGUUUCAGUCGUAUAAGGAAACUACAGAAUCGGCCCCGAAUCUUGUUCUAUGCGAUUGCAUAGAGUAAAAAAAAUUGAGAAAAAAUUCUCGGGAGGCCUCUAUGCGACCGCAUAGAAGUUUAUACUAUGCGACCGCAUAGUUAUGCGAUUCUUUCCGCCGAAUAGCUUUUAGUAUUUUGGUCAUGAUUUUUUCUCUUGAUUUCCGAUUGAAGUGAUUCAAAGCUCAUUGGGAAGAAAACUCAAAUAUAUACACUUUUGAUAGAAAUAGACUUCCUCAAAAUCUGAUGUUUACUAUGUCAAAAAUGGAUCUCAAGUAGAAACUAAAAAUCACAAGAAUAGUUUUUUCGCCUGAAAGUUGAUACUUAAUAAUACUUCGAUCAUAUUUCACCUCUUUGACUUCGUUCCUCAUCCAAUUGACCUCUAACACUCUUGAGCCUUAAUUCCGUUUCCUGUCUCAUCUAUAGAUUAUUUGCAACUUGGUCCCCGAACAUUCAGUUUGAUUCAUUUUGGUCCUUUUUGCUUGUUUCUUUUAUUUCCAUCAUCUCAUAAUAUCACCAAAUUGGUACUUAGCUCAUUCACUUCCUUGAUUUGUCCCUCAAACUUUGGAUAAUUGCACUUUGGUCCCUAAGCUAUCACUUUGCUCCAUUUUAGUCCUUUUUCGGCUCUUUUAUCCUGAAUUCCAUCAUUUCCAUAGAAACACCUACAUUGCAUGAAUUCAAUGAGAUUAAGUCACAAUUUAAAUAUUUUUUCUGUAAUUAAAUCAUGUUUGUGAUCUAAAUAAGUGUGCAAAAACACACUUAUCAUAGGCCAUUCUUAGCAACAGGACGAAUCCUUAUUGAUAUGGAAAAUGGAGAACUAAUCUUGAGGGUGGAGGACAAGCAGGAGAUAUUCAAUAUUUACACCCAACAUGAGAAACCUCCCAAUAAAAAUGAUUGCUAUAGAAUUGAUGAAGAAGAGCCACCUGAUCAACGAAGCUGUCAGAACAAAAAACCAAAUCUUGGGGAAUUUCUUGGUAGAGAUGAGAAUGGACAAAUCAAAAUCUGGAGAGCAAAAAAGGGUUGCAUGAAUAAAAAUUGCACAGAGUGCAAUAAUGGAAUAACUUGGUUUAAGCCACCAUGAUAAAUCAGCGGCACAAGUCAAGCUAAUGACUUAAAAGAAGCGCUUCUUGGGAGGCAACCCAAGCUUUUAUUUUAUUUAAUUUAUUUUGUUUUCAAAGUUAUAGGAUAGUUUAAUUUAUGGUUUAUUCAGGAAUCAUUACCCAUACCCUUUUUACCCAUAGGUCUUCGAGUAAUUAAGUGGUUAUUAGAUGUUUGAGCUAAGUAACUCUUGUUCCAUGAGUUUAAAUUUUUCAAAUUUUAUUUUUCAGGAACAUGACGUCGCGGAACACUCAAACCAACAUGGACAUGGAAAAAAUGGAACAAAUCUCAAGUUUGAGGGAGAAUGUGGAAGAAGAAUCGAUCAAAUGCAACACCAAGGCACUACAACAUCAUAGGCAAUACAGACAUUUCAGGGAAGCCUCCUCAUUUUCCUUUAACUUUCACAUUGAAGACAAUGUUUAGUUUAAAUUUGGGGGAGUGUAUUUUUAUUAAUUACCUUAUUGCCUACCUAAAAUUUUUGUGUGAGUUGGAUAGUUUGGCUUAUAAUUACGUUUUACUUUGAGAUUUGGUGUUGAUUUAUGAACUGUGGAUAGGAUACAUGCUAGAUUAAUUGAUGCUCAACCUUGUAAAACUUGAAAUAAUACAUGCAAUAGAAUUGAGUCUAACACUAUGAUGAAACGAGUUGAUUGAUUUGUUACAUAGGUUGAUUUAAAUAGACAUAGAUGCUUUACCUAAAUCAUAAUAAAUUAUAUAUCCUUAGACCAAAUUUAGAACAGUUUGGGGGCAUUUUACAGUUGUAGAAAGAUGCGGAUGUGAAUGUAGAUUCCAUAUGUGAAAAUUUAUGUGUGGAUUAUCUUAGACUAACAUAAUGAAACGAGGCGAAAGUCUUAAGUUGGAGGUUAGUUUGUUUGAAUAAGUGUGUAAAAUGGGCAUUGUACUAAUCAAGGCAUAUACAUUUGAAAUUUAAAAACUUUUCUUUGAAGUCUUCAUGACUCGAGUAAUUAAGCUUGCAAGAGUAUCUUAAAAUCUGAUGCCCUAAAGUCGUCUAACUUAGGAGUCAUCGGUGUAAAACUCACUACAUGGGUCAUUUACAAGGCAAUAAAAGAUGAAAUUGUAAUUGAAAUGAAAAUUGGUUCUCUUCGAAACCUUUUUGACUCGGGUCAGUAAACCUAUAAGGGUGUUUAAAAUCUGGUGCCCUAAAAUCAUUUGAUUUGGGAGUCAUCGGCCUAAAGCCUACUACAGGGGUCAUCUAGAAAGAUUAAUGAAGAGAAUACAAAUAAAUAAAUAAAUAAAUAAAUGUAAAAAUCAGAAAAAACAAGUGCAUAAAAAGAGUAAAAGCACUAAAUACAUUGGUUAAGCCCAAUACUUGUUUGAGAGAAUUUGACUUUCGAUGAAGGAUAAUUAGCUAGUUGAGUUGUGAUGGUCAAAGCAAUCAAAUAAUUAGAGAAUCCCUAUUCAUUGAAGUGUUGACUUGCAACUAGUAACGUCCACUUAAACUCUAGAAGGUAAGGAUAAUAAUGAAAUAUUAGACAUUGGAAAGGAGUGAAAAAGAACAAGUUUGGGGGUGUGUGAAUCUUACGAGUGAUGAAAGGACAUAUAUGACCAUGAAGGAUCAGGAAUUGGAACAACUUGUUAAUUCAUUAAUGUCUACUUAAUUCUUUAUGCACACACGUCGAUUUUGCAUUGGAAGAGUGAAUAUUAGUUUGGUAUUGUAACUUUGAAGCAUGUUCGUGGAAUUAACACUUAAAUCUUGAAUCCUGAGGUGAAAAGCUAGAUUGUCCAAUCAAAUAUUUUUGCAUGAUUGUGUGUUUACUACUAUUUAGUUUAUAGUUUUGUUUGAGGACAAACAAAUGUUUAAGUUUGGGGGGGUAUUUGAUAAGUAUAUUCUAUACACUAAUUUGGUACCUUAAAUAGCAAUAUUCGAUGGUUCUUUCGACAAAUUAUAUCCUAAAUAUUUGUAUUUUAUGUUUAAUAGGUAAAAUUUUAUGAAGGAAAAGGACUUGAAGGAAAGAAGCAAAAUUGGAUAAAAGAGCUAAAUCGUAUGAAAUCCAAAGUUAGAGGACUAAAGUGUAAAUAUUCAAAAGCUGUAUCAAACCUCAUGAUGAAGAUCUGAGAGUUUUAGGAGUUAAAUGGAUGAAGAAAGAUGUCAAAGGGAUCAAAUUUAAGCAAAAUAUGAUCACAAACCAAUUUCCAACCGAAAAGCUAUGCUCUGAAAUUUUAGCCUCAGAUUAAGACCCAUUUUUGACAUUGAAAAUGAUCAAAUCGGAGAAUGAUGUCUGAGAAAAGUUGUAUUCCUUUGCGUUUUCUUUCCAACGCAUCUUGGAUCGCCUCAAUUGAAUAUCGGGAGAGAAAGUUAUGCUAAAAAUACUGAAAGAGGUGCGUGCAGUCUAUUCGAAAAGUGGCUCCACAACGCCACUUUAGGGCGCUGUGACGCUGUAUUCCAGGCGUCGCGGCACCACAUCCCAGAUGCGUUAGGGAGCUAUUUCAGCCCGUUUUUGAGUCCAUAUGAAAACCCUAUUCUUCCAACAUGGCAAGGGACCUAUAAAUACGAAAUUUCUCACUUUAAGGGGGUUCUACAGAUUCUAAAGACAAAAACACUUCUUAAGAGAAAGGAGGAGAGAUUCAAAGGAAGAAGACAACGCCAACUUCAUCGUGUGGAGCAUAAAUUGGAAGAAGGAUGAAUUCUUGGUGCAAGAUCCACUUUUUCUUCUACAUACUCUUAUUAUAAAUCCGGUGAUGUACUUUAAGAAAAUUUGUUGUUGUUCUUCUUUUAUUAUGCGUAGAUAAAUCCAUUAUUAGGGCGAAUAAUGUAACCAAUUUGAGAUCCUUUAUAUUUUCUUAUUAAGAUUCUUGGAUUUUAAUUUUUCCAUGUGUUAAUUCUUGCUAUGGAUUGAUUGCAUUAAAUUAUUUGAUCGAUAAUUUGAUAAAUUUUGUGAAUCCUUUACGAAUGGAGAUUUGAGUUUAAGAUUUAGACCAUGUAGUAAAAUUCAGUACAUUUUUAUAACAAGUAGAGAUACAUAUGCCAUUUAUUGCGGUCAUUAUUGAAUUCCUAGGACAAGAAAUCGUUUAACUAAGUUAAAUUUACAUAGAGAUAUGGAAUUUAAUUAGUUGAAUAGGCUCAAUGAGAACUCAAGAGGGAUAAAUUGAAUACAAUAACAGAAUUCGACCGAACACUACAUUAGAACUGAGUCUUAAUUUGAAAUGUAAAGGUGAUCAAUAGGUGAAAUUAUUUUGCCCUAACAUCCUCUAAUUAUUUGAUCUUACAAACAAUUGUGUGAGAAUUUAUUUAUUGUCUAGAAUUAAGAUUUAAACUCAAAUCACUAUAACUUUUAAUUUGUUUUCAUCAAAUAGUAGUUAAAGGAAAAUUGAAUUAAAUACUAGAAAAUAGUCCUAGUGGGAUCGACAAUCUAGACUCUUAGGUCCACUAUUACUUGUUACGGUUCGUACACUUGCGAAACUAAAAUAUACAACAUACCUCUCCCAAUAUUAAUUCUACUUCACUAAGGCCCAGUUUGAUAGGGAUUUUUUUCCAUGGAAAAUGGAAAAAGUUUUCCAUUUCCACCCAAAAAUUGGUCUUUGAUGGCAAAAAGUUCCAUGGAAAACAUUUUCCAUUUCUCCCCUCACGUAACCUAAUUUUCUUGGUUUUCAAGGAAUUCCAAUUCCUUGGGUUUUGGUGAGAAAUGGGUUUUCCAACUUUUUAUUAUUCAUUUUUUUUUUUUACAAUGGAAACAAAUUCUAUCCAGAAUUAGGAAAAAAAUUAUCCAUUUAAUUGACAAUUUUCAUGAAAAAAGUCAAACAAACACCAAAAGAUCUAAAAUUUUAACAUUUUUUAUGACAAUCAAAUACAUUUAAGUAAAACAAGUUCUAGACAAUUCAAUACCCUGGAAUUCGUUUUAUUUCCAUCUAAAUUUCAUUCUUACAAUCAAACGGAUCCUAAGCAAAUCAAUCAACUGGAAAGAAAAUUACUGUGAAUGAAUAGUCAUUUUCAUUGUUGGAGCUGAGUUACUUCUAAGCAUAGUGGAAAACAAACAUUUCAAAAGCUCGUGCAAGAAUACUUUCAACCAAGUGAAGUUGGGGUAAGUAAAAAUACUCUUUGUUACGAUUACAUUGAUUAUUUUGUUAGACAUAAAAUAGUUGAUACAUGAAUUACAAAAAUAUGACGAUGUUAUACAUUUUACAUUGGAUUUAAGGGAAGUAAUAAAUUGAAAAAAAAAAAAAAGUUAUGUAGCUACAAACGUUCACAAUAUAGAUCCACUUUGGGUAAUGAACAAAAGAAUAAUUAUUUUUAAAAUAAUCGAGUUCCCUCACAAUUUUAAUAAUAUAUUUAAUGUUAUUAUGUAAGCGAGCCCCUUUAUUCUGAAUUCAUUAAUUCAGAAUGAAUCAAAUCUCCCCAGGUUGGAUUCGAACCUAUGACCAAUCGAUUAACAACCAACCGCUCUACCACUGAGCUACUGAGGAACAAUGGGAGAUUGGAACGAUGCCUCCUCACAAAGAGGGUCGCAAUGACCAUGCCUGGGCGACUGUUUACCAAAAACAUAGAUCUCCGCAAAGUCGUAAUAGAAGAAUAUCGUUGUGGAUAUAAAAUUCAUUAUUUUAAAUUUGAUUAUGCAGGUGUUAAUAAACUUAUAAUUAACAAACUAUGUAGGGUUCUUAAUCUUGAUUUUGUUGGUUUUUAUUUUAUAUUUGUUGUGUAUGUCAUAUAUUUGAUUUAAUUGUGAAAGAUGAAUACAUAUUAAUGAAAAAAUUGAAACAAUUAGAGAUGUAUUAAUAUAUAUUACCAUAUCACAUAGUAGAAAAUGAUUUUUGAAGAAUAUAGUGCUCAAUUUCUAUGGAAUGCAAAAUUUUUAUAACGUCACGGGUGGAACUCAACUUACCUAUUUCUCAAAAUUUUUGAAGCUUGUGAAACAUUAAUUACUAAAUUUUAUAACUUCAGACAUACAAAUGAGUCAGACUCAGUUUUGAUAGAUUCUAGGAAAUAAACUUUUAAAGCUAAAUUUUUUUGACAAUUUUCUAUGAUUCUACAAAUAUAUUAUUUGGGGGUAUAUUACCUUACUAAUGCUAAAGUUCUUGAAUGACUUUCUCUUUGGAAUAGGCAAGGACUAGGAAUAGUGGAAAUAGUACAUGAUUAGAUUAUCCAGUACUUAUUUAUGUGAAACUUAAUAGUCUUUGUGCACAACACUCAUGCUCUACACAUUGAGCUAGUGAUUGGAUUCUUGAGGAAAAUAGGAUAAACCCGAAAAAUCUUUAUUGUAUUGACCCAUAAGCCAUUUUUAGAGUAGUUUGGAGAUGGUUGAACAAUUGUAGGAGAACAUUGAGAUAAGUGGGGUUUCGUGCAUGAAAUUAUACUGUGUGGAUUGCUUAAGACCAAAUAGAUGAAGAUUAGGUAAAAGUAUUGAGCUGAGGAGCAGUUUUGGAGACUGAAUAUCUAGAAAAGGGCAAAAAUAUUAAUUUGUGUAAAAAUAAUACUUCUCUUAAAGCCUUUUUGACUCGAGCAAGUAAGACUGAGGGGUAUUUUGAAACUUGGUACCCUAAAACCAACUGGUUAAGGAAUCAUCGACUUAAAGCUUGCUACAAGGUUCAUAUAGAAAGCAAGAAUGGGAGAAGUUAAUAAAAAGUCAUCUUAUUGAGCAUUUAUAACUCAAGUAAAUAAGCUUGCAAGGGUUUAAAACCUGGUGCCCUAAAAUCAACUGAUUUGAGAGUCAUCAGUCUAAAACUUCCUACAUGGAUUAUAUAGAAAGCAAAUGAGAAUAUGGCAAUAAAAAAAUUUCAGAAAUUCAGAAAAUAAGACACAAUAACAUGAAGAAAGCCCUUGAACAUUUGGUUGAUGAAACUACACCUUUAAUGCGAGACAAGUAGCUUAAUUUAGUCUUAAAGGUUUAAACAACCAAAAUAGAAGAUAUGUGAAGUUGUAAUAGUGAUAUCUAUCCAAAUUAAGAGAGGGUAAGGAUUGUAGUUACCUAAACUACUAACUUUAUAAUACACCCCGGGAUAAUUGAGUGAAAAGAAUAAGUUUGGGGGUGUGUAUCGCUCGAGUGAGGAAAUGAUAUAUUUGACCACCGUGGGUCGGGAAUAAACAAAUCAUAAGUUUGAUACGUUGACAUGAGUUUAGACAUACACGUUGAGUUAUGCAUUUGACAGGUAAAAGUUGAUUUAAUUUGUUCACUAUUGAAACUGUUUCUUGUGUUGAUUACUAAAUUCUAAUCCUGAGAUACGGUAGGUUAUCAGGUCAUAUCUUGUAUAGAAUUAAGUCACUAUCUUGUUUGAGGACAAACAAUAAUUCAAUUCUGGGGGUUUGAUAAGUGCAUUUUUACACACUUAAAUAUUAAACACAAGUUGUUCUCUAUUUUAGAGAGUCUAUACAAAAAUAUGCUCCAAGUGACAUGCCCCACUCCGGAUAAUGCUAGUGGACCCAAAACGUUACGUGUGCCGAUGAUAGAUACCAACUAAAAGUUGGUUCCACCAUCAAAGCUUCUAUAAUAUACAACAUUUUAUAAAUUCUUUUAAUAGAAUUUAGAAUUUAUUUUCCCUAUAAAUAGGACUAAUCGACCUGCAAUCCACUAUCUACAAAUCUUAACAAUAAUACAACACAAUGGAGAUAAGCCAAAUUCUCAAAUUUUACUAUAAAAAUAACAUGAAAUGUACAUAUAGAUGCAAAAUAUAAAGUGAGCCACAUAGCUAUUUACCUAGUCAUAUGAUAAAUACGUUUUUACACACUUAUUUGGCCACAAAACAUGAUUAAUUGUUGAUCAAAGCACUUGAGUCAUGACUUAAUUCUGUAUAAUUUCGUUUUGUAGGAUCAUGUUGAUGGAUAUGGUAGAAUUCAAAAGAAAAGAAAUGAAAAAGUGCCAAAACGAAUAAAAAACAAAAGUGGAGGGACCAAAGUGCAAAUAAUUGAAAGAUGACCUGAAGGAUGAGUGGAGAAUGUAAAUGAGCUAAGUACCAAUUUGGUGAUAUUAUGCGAUGAUAGAAGGAAGAAAAUGAAAAAAGAGAGACCAAAACAGAAGAAAACAAAAGUGUAGGGACCAAAGUGCAAAUAGACAAAACAUGAACCGAAAGCAUAUAUGAAGGUGUUAAAGAAUCAUGGACCAAUUUGUUGAAGAUUUGAAGUAUUAGGAGAAGAAAAAUGAGAAAAGAUUUCAAAACGCAAGAAAUUUGAAGUUCGAGAAACAAAAUGCCACUUUUGGGAAUAAACCUUAUACCAUGUGGUUGUAUGAACCAUCAUGCAACCGCAUGAUAGUAAUCAGAAAAAUUGAAGGGACAAUCAUGCAUAACCAUGCGGUCGCAUAGUACAAAUCUGAUGCGUGAUUUUCAGUUUCCUUCUUUGCUUCAAUCUCUUAUGGAAACAAGUUAAUGGACAUAUAUAAAAUCCCUAGAGCCGUCAAAAGAAAGGGAGAACGCCUUGUGAGAGAAAAGAACACAUCUUGAAGGGGAUUUUGAACCACAAUAACGAAGAGACACGCGAAGAUCGACAAGAUUACAUGCAAAUUCUAACAUCGAUGAUGUCGUUUCUUAAAGUUUUUGUGUAUUUUGUUAAUUUUUCCAUGCCAGGCUAGGUUUCAUGUACUAGGAUACUGAUGAACCUCGUAAUGUAAAUUUUUGAUUUCUUGUUUUAUAAUAUUGACAUCAAAACAUGUUAUGAAUUUUUGAAUGAUUUAUAUACAAUUAAUUGUUUCCAUAAUUAUGUGCACGUAAUUGCAUGGGUGUGAUGACUUAUUUCAUGCAUUUAAGAGAAGGGAAAUGUGUUCGACAGUGUAUAAAUCAUCAUCGGGUCCAAUAGGGGAUAGAGAUAUACAUCUAUGCCUUGCGUGAAUCUUUAAUUGCUCUCAAAACCACAUGUAUUCUUGUAUAAUUGCACCUGUCAUUGAGAUGUAGGCUAAUGGUAUGUAAGAGCAAGUUUAACAUUACUUGAGAGAGAUUGUUGGAUAGAUUAAGAAGCAUUGAUUCAUAAAAAAUUCAACGUGUUAUCAUUUUGUUGAACUAGGGUUAAGAGUUAACAUUGAUUGAAGAUUCGUGAUCCUAGUGCGCUUUACAUUCAUUAAUUACAUCAAUUUUGCAUUCAAAACGUCACUUCACAAUAUAGUUAAUCAAAUUCACAUACAAUUGCAUAUUUAGUCUAGGUUAGGGUUAAUCAAGCCACAAUUAUCUUGUUGGAUAAUUUGGUUUUGGUUUAGGCUGAGAUAGAUUAAGUUUAGUUACUCAAUCUCUAUGAGACGACAUUCGAGCUCUAUUUUCCACUUUAUUACUUGUUGUGAACCAUACAAUUGCAGAUACAAAUUGAAAGAAUAAUUUCGUGAACAAGUUCUUGGUGUCGAUGCCAGGGAUUGAGUUUUCGUGUGAUUUUAUUUAUCUUGGCAAUAAUUCGGACUUCUACUUGUAUUCUUGCAUUUUUAUUUUCGUUUAUCUCUCUUUUUCAAGAUAUAAAAACAUCAAAAAGACCAAAAACAGUAAAGACAAAUGGCUAACGAAAAAAACAAAUUGAUAAUUCAAGCUAAUGAAGAGGAAGUUGUGGACGAGAGAAAUAUGCUUGUAGGGGAUUUCAUGAUCCCUCAAAUAAUUCAAAGCCAGUCCAACAUGAUGUAUCCACCUUUUGGCAGUCGAAUUUCCAACUGAAGAUCAACGUCAUACAAUUGUUUCAAAAUGGACACCAGUUUUAUGCAGAGCUGAAGAAAACCCAUAUACGCACAUCUCUCGAUUCUUGGAGAUGUGCCAACAUUUCAGAUAUCAGGGUAUCACAGACGAUGCUUCAGAUUAAGACUAUUCUCAUACACAUUACGAGUUAAAGUAAUUGAAUGGCUAGAUUCUCAACCAAUAACCAACAUCACCACAUGGAAUGGGUUAGCGCAUAAAUUCAGCAUCAAGUUUUUCCUGCCCGCCAAAAUUGCAAAGGUAAAACAUGACAUCUCUAUAUUCCGUUAAAGAGAAUUUGAAUCUUUUGAUGAAAAUUGGAACAGGUUCAAGAACAUGCUUCAGAAGUGUCUACACCAUGUGAUUAGUAAGGGACUCCAAGUCAAGUAUUUCUAUGCAGGACUUCUUCCAACCUUCAAGGACAUGGUUGACUCUUCAUCUAAUGGGUCACUAUCAACAAGAACUAUUGAUGAAGCAUUAAAGCUAUUUGAGACAGUGGCCACCAUUUCAACUAUGUGGACGUUAGAACGAGCAGUUCAAAAGAAGACACCAGGUGCGUAUGAAAUGGAUGCCUAUUUAGCCCUAUCUCAAUUCCAUAAGGUGGAAAGUAUAUCACAGUCAGCGAAUGCAAUACAUGCAUGAAAACCAAGUUGUGAAGAAUGUGGAGUGAAUCACAGUACAUCAGAAUGCCCAAUUUCGUCAUAAGGAAUGGAACAAGUAGAGUAUGCACAAUGGUGUCAACAUCAACAAAACAGCCUGACUUCAGAUACUUACAAUUCCGGUUGGAGAGAGCAUCUAAAUCCCUUGUGUGGUGGUAACCAAAAUCAAUUUCAAAAUCAGAAUAGACUUCAUGAGCAAUUUUAGUAGGAGAAGACAUUUCAGUUGGAAAAGAUGUUUGCAAAGUCAAUGGAAAAAAACUUAUAAAUACAUGGAAGCAAAUAACCAAUUCAUCAGAAAACUGAAACUACUCUCCAGAAUUAGGGUGAUGUAAUUAAGAACUUAGGGUGUGUUUGAUACACCAAAAUUUUCCAUGGAAAAUGGAAACUGAAUUUCAUAUUCCAACUUUAUGGUGUUUGAUAGGGUUUUAUUUCCAUGAAAUUGUCUUUUCUUGCUUGUCUCGGGAAUUGAUUUUUUCUUGGUCUUUAAGGAAAACCAAUUGGAAUUCCAUGUUACUAUAGCAUUUUGUUUGUUUGUUUGUUUUUUUUUUGUGUGUUGGUAAUGAAAACAAAUUCUAAGAUUUAUUGUAAAAAAAAAUAUUUCCUUUUAAUUGACAAUUUUCAUAUAAAACAAAGCCAAACGAACACCCAAAGAUAGAUGAUUUUCUUGAAUUUUUUUUAUUUUUAUUUUUUGCAAUGGAAACAAAUUUCAUUCUCAAUACCAGUAAAUUCUAUCCUUUUAAUUGAAAAUUUUCAUGUAAAACAAAACCAAACGGACAUCAAAAAACACUUUAAUUUAAACAUUUUCCAUAUGAAAAAUUAUACUAAUCAAACACAAUAAUUUACAAUUUCCAGGAAAAUAAUUUUCCAUCAAUUCAAUUCUCUGGAAUUCAUUUUCUUUCCACCCAAAUUCCACAUUUGCAAUCAAAUGGACCCUUAAAGAUAUAGAUGGGACAGAGAUCACUUUCUAUGACAAGAUGGGCACCAGAUAUUUUGCCAAGCAGUACUUAAGUGAAUCCAAGCAAACAUGUUCAAGCAAUUACUACAAGAAGUGGGGUUCAAUUACGAGAAUUCAAUGUGAAGGGAUUAUAUGCAGACAAAGAAACAGUGACUACUUCUGAUGAGGAGCAGACUAACCAAACCAAAGAAACAACUACUAAGGAAAGUUCAAAUACAUCACGGGCUAAAGCAACUACUCCUGUCAAUCCAUACGAGCCCCCAAGCUGGAAGAGCACAAAAUGGUGAUGUUGACAGAGGAAUGCAACGCUAGAAUUCAGAAGAAGUUAUCUCCAAAGUUAAAAGAUCCAGGGAGUUUUACUGUACCCUGCACUAUAGGGAAUUGCUACUUUGAUAGAACUUUAUGUGAUUUGGUGCUAGUAUUAACUUAGUGCCACUAUCUGUUUUCAAGAAACUAGGAUUGCGAGAACCUACGGCAACUACGACGACGCUACAGUUGGCUAAUCGAUCAUUCAUUCAUCCACAAGGAAUAAUUGAAGAUGUUUUAGUAAAGGUGGAUAAACUCAUAUUUCCAAUGAAUUUCCUAAUUCUAGACAUGGAAAAAGACAAGGGCAUGCCGCUCAGAUUGGGUCGACCAUUUUUUUCCUACUACAAAAGCUUUUAUAGAUGUGCAGUAAGGUCAACUAAUUCUGAGGCUCGGGGAGAAGUGGGUUUCUUUCAAUGUUUUCAAAGCGAUGAAAUAUCCUAUUGAAUCAGACAACUAUUUCCAGAUUGAGGUGGUUGAGAACAUAAUUCAUGACACUUUUGAGUUGCAGAACCUGUCAGAAGUUUAUGAUGCCUGUAUUAUGCAUCCUCAACCCACUCUCACUAACUCGAAGGAGAUUGAGGUUUACACUGUUGAGUUCCAAACGGAUGAUGAAGGGAAAUCACACUACUUGGAGAAGGACAAUGUUGAAAUUUGGAAGAUAGCUGCAAUACGGAAAAAGAUCAUAUUGAGCAAACCAAGUAGGAUCUCCAAAACCAUAUAAAAAUUCCAAUAACACACUUGUGAUAAAAGUCGAUCUCUAGACUAUAAAUACAGCACUUAAUGCUAGGCAACCCAUUCCUCUAUCACUUUUAACUUUUUUUGAUUACUUAUUGCAUUACAAGUAGAAUUUUAGGGAUUACCUAAGUAUUUAGAGCCAUAUUUAGGAACUCAUGUAUGUAGAUUGUUUUUAACACGUUUUAGAUAGUAUUUUAAGACUUGCAUUAGUAACUUAGGGAUUUUUAUCUAUUAAGUUAAAUUUACUUAGACUCAUCUUAACAUCCUAUCAUUAUGUUGAGCUUACAUUGAUGUAAUAUGCAUUCUUAAGGUUAUACUUAGAUUUCAAUCUCCAACUAACUAGAAAAACUUAUCUUCUCUUAUAGGAUUUUUACAGGGACGUUAGAAUAUUAGAAUUCUACGUAGUGUGAUUUUAUUGCACAUAUUUCAAACUUUAUUUGUUAUUAUUGAUAUUUGCUUUAAAUUCUCCAAACAGUAAACAAAAGCCUAGCAAUAGAGAAAGAUGAUGGUUGUCAUGACAUCUACCAGUUGGGCCAGCUUGAUCCUUCUACCUAUCCGCAACUACUUCGGGGAGUUUCUGAUCCUUACUAAUUUAUUUUAAUUAUUUUUGCUUGUACAUUAAGGACAUGUGAUUUAUAAGUUUGUGGGUGGCAUAAUUUUGGCAUAAUUUUCAUGGUACCGUUGAUAUUCAUCACUAGUUGUUUCUAAUUUUAAUUUACUACCUUCUGUGUGAUUAUCGUGUGAAAAGAAAAUCUUGCAUGCUCUGUUUAUUCUUGUUUAUGACUUUGUGUGCUUGUGUGAGUUUGAUAACCUUGUCGGUAAUGAUGUGAAUAUUAGAAUAGGUAAGGACAGUGAAUAGUGGAAAGAGUGCAUGAUUAGAUUAUCCAAUACUUGUUUAUGUGAAACUUAACAGUCUUUGUGCAUGACACUCAUGCUCUGCACAUUGAGCUAGUGAUUGGAUUCUUGAACAUAAUAGGAUAAACCCAAAAAACCUUUAUUAUAUCGACCCAUAAGCCGUUUUUAGAGUAGUUUGGAGAUGAUUGAGCGAUUGUAGGAGAACAUUGAGAUAAGUGGGGUUCCAUGCGUGAAAUUAUACUGUGAAGAUUGCCUAAGACCAAUGAAAUGAAGAUUAGGUGAAAGUCUUAACUUGAUGGGUGGUUUUGGAGUCUAAAUGUCUAGAAAAAAGGGGCACAAUAUUAAUUUGUGUAAGAAUAAUACCUCUCUCAAUGCCUUUAUGACAUGAACAAGUAAGUCUGUAAGGGUAUUUUGAAACCUGGUGCCCUAUAGUCAACUGGUUUGAGAGUUAUUGGCCUAAAGCUCGCUACAAGGGUCAUAUAAAAAGCAAGAAGGGGAGAAGUUAAUAAAAAAUCAUUUUAUCGAGCCUUUAUAACUCGAGCGAGUAAAUCUACAAGGGUUUAAAAUCUGGUGCCCUAAAGCCAACUGGUUUGAGAGUUAUCGGUUUAAAACUUGCUACAUGAGUUAUGUAGAAAGCAAAUGAGAAUAUGGUAAUAAAAAAAUUCAAAAUUUCAGAAAAUAAGUAAGCAAAGACACAAUAACAUGAAGAAAGCUCUCGGACAUUUGGUUGAUGAAACUACACCUUUGAUGUGAGACAAGUAGCUUAGUUUAGUCUUACAGGUUGAAGCAAUCAAAACGGAAGAUCUGUGAACUUGUAGUAGUGAUAUUUAUCCAAAUUAAGAGAAGUAAGGACUACAGUUACCUAAACUCCUAAAUUUAAAAUACACCCCGUGAUAAUUGAGUGAAAAGAACAAGUUUUGGGGUGUGUAUCUCUCGAGUGAGGAAAUGAUAUAUUUGACUGGACAUUUGGUUGAUGAAACUACACCUUUGAUGUGAGACAAGUAGCUUAGUUUAGUCUUACAGGUUGAAGCAAUCAAAACGGAAGAUCUGUGAACUUGUAAUAGUGAUAUUUAUCCAAAUUAAGAGAAGUAAGGACUACAGUUACCUAAACUCCUAAAUUUAAAAUACACCCGUGAUAAUUGAGUGAAAAGAACAAGUUUUGGGGUGUGUAUCUCUCGAGUGAGGAAAUGAUAUAUUUGACCACUGUGGGUCGGGAAUAAACCAAUUAUAAGUUUGAUAUGUUGACAUGAGUUCACACAAAUAUGUUGAGUUAUGCAUUUGACAGGUAAAAGUUGAUUUAAUUUGUUCACUAUUGAAACUGUUUCUUGUGUUGAUUACUAAAUUCUAAUCUCGAGACACGGUAGAUUAUUAGGUCAUAUCUUGUAUAGAGUUAAGUCACUAUCUUGUUUGAGGACAAACAAUAGCUCAAGUUUGGGGGUUUGAUAAAUGUGUUUUUACACACUUGUUUGGCCAUAAAACAUGACUAAUUGUUGAUCAAAACGUUUGAGCUAUAACUUAAUUUUGUAUAAUUUCGUUUUGUAGGACUAUGUUUAUAGAUAUGGUAGAAUUCAAAAGAAAAGAAACGAAAAAGCGCUAAAAUGGGAAAAAAAUCAAGGACCAAAGUACAAAUAAUUGAAAGAUGACCCGCAAGAUGAAUGGAGAAUGAAACUGAGCUAAAUACUGAUUUUGUGAUACAAUGAGCUAAUAGAAGGAAGAAAAUGAAGAAAAGAGAUAUACCAUUAUGCCUUGCGUGAAUGAGUUCGACAUAAUCGCCCUCAUUGUUAAGUGUUUCAUAUUUUAUUGCUUUUAGUUUCAUAUUUUCCUAGCAUGACAUUUUCGACCUCAAUGUCAAAGUGUUGACUCCUUUAAUUUGAUCAGUUAUAAGGUAUUAAAUCAAGAGAAUCAAAUAUUAUAAACGAUUGCUUAAAUGGCUAUUGUCGAUCAAAUAUGAGUUGACAUAGAAGAACAAAUGUGGAUUAGCUUGUUAGGAUGCCAACAAAUGCCUCACAUCGACGAGACAUACGGUGAAUAAUGUGUGUAGGGAAAUCGACUGAUCAUAUUUUUAUGAUGGAACCCCAAUUCUCUAACACAUGCAAAGAACCAACACAAACCUUACUAGUCGAUAGAGGGCAACUUGUCCCAAUAAUCAUGGAAAGUUCUGCAAAAGCCACACCACAAGUGUAAAUCACAUAGAGGAUUAGGGAUUUGACGCUACAUAACAAAGUUCUUGUUUGACCUCUAUUUUUUAAAAUUUACUUUCAACCAUGAAUUUUCUCAAUAAAAUAAAUUGCAUGUAGAUUCAUAUUUAUUUCUACUUGUUAACUACACAUUCUAGAAAAAAUAAAUAAAUAAAUAAAAAUCACCUUUCACAAUAAAAUGUAAAAUCCAUCGAAGAAGUAAAUAUCGUUUAAUUUUCCACCAAAAUUGGAAACGACGUGAAGAGUGGGGCCUUGAAGUUGUUUCUGGUUCGCAGGAAUACAAAAAAAUUCGUUGUAUACGAAACUUGGCUCAUCGGUGUCAUCUGUUUAGGCUGACUGUUUCAACACAAUUCUUUUCGUUUUCACAAGUCUUCAUGAAAAAAAAUCCAAGUCAACUGCCGUGUUCACUUUCACCCUGACUUACGUUGCGAGUGAAUUAAUUAUUUGAAUUUAGAGAACCGCAGUAGAAUUUGAUUUCUAUAUUCUUCUUCUUUCUGUUCGUUUUUGAGUUAGGCUGGCAUGGUUUUCUCCCGUAGGGCUGCUUCCAGUUUAAUUGUUUUUGUAUUUCUGUUUCAUCUAUAUAUCCUUCACUUUGUUGAUUCUCAAUGCCCAAGGCAGUUCCAGUGUGGAAAUCUUGGCAAUUUGGAGUUUCCUCUGGCCAAUUCUUCGGGAUGUGGAUUGUUCACGGUUGACUGCAGUGCUCGGCCGAAUCCAAAAAUUCAACUGGAUAAUUAUUGGCAUUCAACAUCCUUUUCCUUUGAUAUUAUGAACAAGUCAUCUCCCAAUGAAAUAUUUAUUCGAAAUCCAUUUCGUGAACGUGUUUUAUAUAAUAAUAAGGAAAUAUGCUAUUUAUUUUUUCUUCUCCCUAUGCCACACUCUCCUUCGAUUUCGAUUUCGUUCUUCCCCAAUAUCACUCUGUUUAAAUGCGCCAAAUAUAGGAACUACGACAAUGAGAUACCUCAUUUCCAAGAAAUUUAUGGAAACUACGAUGGUUGUGAUUUCUUCAAUAUAUACUACCCCAGGUCGAAUGGAAGUCUUCCGCCCCCCAACGACUGUUCAGUUCUUCCCUUGCCAGGCAAUUUACAGUGUUACUCAGAUUCAUUGGACUUGUUCCAGCGGUUAGGCUCUGAUUGUCUUCUAAAAUGGAAUGUGUCUGAUGAUUGUCGUAAUUGCCACAGAAAAGGAGGAAACUGCACAACUAACAUGAAGAAUGAAUUUCGAUGUGAUAAAGGUACCAUCGGCCUUUGAACAUGGAUGAUUACGAGUCAUCCCUCUACAUAUUUUCUUUUGUUUUGCAUUUUUGCCCGCAAUCCAGAACAGGGUUCAAGCGAUUUAAACUUUAAAACAUAUAGAAUUGUUUGAUUAUAUGUCACUGACAAUUUAUCACGUGAUCGCUAUAUGCCAGUCCUCACGAGUACAGUUGUUUAUAUCCUUCCCUCACAUAGAUGUGUUCUUCAUGCCUUGUUGCGGGUUUCAUUUUUCUUUCUUCAGUUGAGUUUGAACUGACAUAUUUGCACGUUGACUAUGGCUACAGAGAAAAGGAGGGAUUUGAAGAAGAUUCUAGCCGCAGGUAAAUGUGGUAAAGGAAUGCAGAUACAUUACAUAUUAGAUGUCAAACUCCCAUUCUUACUUUCAAAACUUCUUUACAUAAUUUUUUCCAAUUGAGGUUUUCCUUUUCAAUUUUUGGUUUCUGAGUUCUUGAUUUCUCUGUUUAUGGUUUUCAGCUAUACCUGGAAGUAUAGUCACACUUUGCGUGGUAGGUUUUUUCAUUUGGCGCCAUAAAAAAAGAAUCAAUGAUGCAUACUUACUUUCGAGGAACAUAUCCACCGAUCCCUCAAAAUCAGACAUUGAAGGCGGGAGUCUCUUCUUUGGUAUCGCCAUCUUCACCUAUACAGAACUUGAAGAGGCUACCAAUAAUUUUGAUUCUUCUAAAGAACUUGGAGACGGAGGUUUUGGAACUGUCUACUACGGUAAGAAUCUAUUAGUCAUUAUGAAGCAACGUCAAUCAAAAUCAUGAUAGAUAAAAUUGUCUGCUAGGUGUAUAACUGUUUAAUACUAAUAGUAAGUCUGACUUCUUUUCUAAUUAGGCAAACUCCGGGAUGGAAGAGAAGUAGCAAUAAAGCGCCUCUACGAGCAUAACUACAAACGAGUAGAGCAGUUCAUGAAUGAAAUCAAAAUCCUUACUUGCUUGAGGCACCUGAAUCUUGUUUCUCUUUAUGGCUGUACAUCUAGGCACAGCCGGGAACUCCUACUCGUUUACGAGUACAUUCCUAAUGGCACAGUUGCGGAUCAUAUCCAUGGUGACAGAGCUAAUGAAGCACCACUUUCAUGGCCAAUUCGCAUGAAAAUUGCCAUAGAGACUGCUUGUGCAUUGGCAUACCUGCAUGCAUCUGAUAUAAUACAUCGCGAUGUGAAGACUAACAACAUACUGCUCGAUAACAGUUUUUGUGUCAAAGUUGCGGAUUUCGGGCUUUCAAGACUCUUCCCUAAUGAUGUCACUCAUAUAUCAACUGCCCCUCAGGGGACCCCUGGAUAUGUGGAUCCGGAAUAUCAUCAAUGUUACCAACUUACUAAUAGAAGUGACGUAUACAGCUUUGGAGUUGUCCUCAUUGAGCUCAUAUCAUCAAUGCCUGCAGUGGAUAUAAGUAGGCAUAGGCACGAAACCAACUUGGCCAACUUAGUGGUAAGCAGGAUACAACGGUGUGCAUUUCCCGACUUAAUCGAUCCAUCUCUUGGAUUUGGAUCUGAUGCUGAAGUUACAAGGAUGACUACUUCAGUGGCGGAGUUAGCUUUCCGAUGUUUGCAACGUGAAAAGGAUCUGAGGCCUUCUAUGGACGAAGUAUUAGCAUUUCUGAAGGAGAUAAGGGGCGACGAGGAGGUAGAAAUUGAGAAUAAAAUGGAGACUAUUGAUAGUCACAGUGUUCCAAGAGGUGUAAAGAUCCCACCUUCACCUGAAACAGAUGAUAUUGUAUUGUUGAAGAGCAAGAAUUUGAAAUGCUCACCAAGUGCUGUGACUGAUAUGUGGAUUAGUAACUCUACAACCACUAGUUCCAGUGGGUGAGAUUCCUUUUGUUGUUUCUACAAGUAGAUGAUAGUAAGAAUGUUGUUAAACACUCUAUAUAUUGUUUACCAAAUGGGUGGGACUUAUUUCAUCUUCUAUGCUUUCACCUUCACAAACAGUAAAUAUAGAACUAAAGACUGGGAAUAUGCUAGUAAAAUGAUGUAGCUUUUUCAACAUCUGGUGUGGUGUUUUUGUUGUUUCUACAAGUAGAUGCUGGUAAGAAUGUUGUUAAACACCCUUUAUAUUGUUUGCCAAAUGGGUGGGAUUUAUAUCAUCUUCUAUCCUUUCACCUUCACAAACAGUAAAUAUAGAAAUAAGACUCAGAAUAUGCUAGUAAAUGAUGUAGCUUUUUCAACAUCUGGUGUGGUGUUUUUGUUGUUUCUACAAGUAGAUGCUGGUAAGAAUGUUGUUAAACACCCUUUAUAUUGUUUGCCAAAUGGGUGGGAUUUAUAUCAUCUUCUAUCCUUUCACCUUCACAAACAGUAAAUAUAGAAAUAAGACUCAGAAUAUGCUAGUAAAUGAUGUAACUUUUUAACAUCGAGAUGUGUUGUUCUCUUGCUUGAAUAAUCCAAGAAAAUGUUUGCUAUGCACUACUGACAACUUUGUAUAAAACAAUAUACAACAUUUUAACGUGUUGUUCUUCGUUCGUCCUAUUAGAGGAUGUUAAAUCCAGUGCAUCAAACAUUUGGUACGCCAACGAUAGUUUUUAGUAAACUGAUAUGCAUUGCCACCAGUACAGCACAUACCACGCAUCUGAGAUGAUGCCAUUCCUGUCAUUCUGUCAAAAGUGAAGAACUCUUUGGUUUUAUUUGAGAGUUAUGUUGCAUUGAUUUCAUAAGAAUUGUUCUACAUUAACACUUGGCAGCAUUUCAUUGGUAGUUGGACAAAAAAUAUUUUUCAACUACCCAAUCACAAUUUACCAACUUGCAUAACUCUUUAUUUGAAUAAUGGAACUGACAAAGAAAAUUAAGAAAUUUUCUAGGGAUGUUUUUCUUUUCCUUGUCAUGGGGCGUUUGGAUCUCUUACACAACUAGUAAAAAUAUUCCAAACAAAUUUUCAUGCUUUUAAAGGACCAAAAUUUAUAUGCGAUUUUAAUGGAAUUAAAGUUGAUCAUAUACCAGCUGACAUAGUAGAAGAAAUAUGAAUUGGAAAAGCCUGUUAGAGCAUCUCAAAGAGGUUUUAUGAAUCCAAGAUGUUUUCUGUUUUAGGGAGCCUAUGCAAAAAUAACGAAAAGAUCACAGACACAAGAUCUUUCACCAAUUUUAUUAUUUGAUCUUUUAGUUGGUUUAGUAGAAUUUUAAACUAUUUUCAUCAUUUGCAAAAUUCAAAUUUAUUGUGUAUUUUGUUGUUAAAAUUAAAUUUAACUAUUGUGUAAUUGAGUAAUUAUUCAUGUGGGAUUCAAAACCCGGGCCGUUUGUCCACUUAUUACUUGUACGUGACUUGUGAGCCCGCGGUACACUUUUUUAGCGAAAAACAUGCCGACGCCAUUUUUAUAAAUUUAGUAAUCAAAAUUCGACUAUCUCAAAAUUCAUUGAGCAAUCGAAUACGUUUUCUAAAGUUUGUUGAACAAUGAAAAACGUUUUCUCAUGUGACAAUUUGGUAAAGACAUGACGGGACUCCACAUGUGCAUUCCAUUAGCUACGACAAAUUUCGUUGGAAGUUUGAAACGGGUGUUAUGCCAAUAAGUAAUGUCCAACGUUUGGAUAGAUUUAAUGGUUAAAACUCGACAUUUUAAACUUUAAUUAGCAAUCGAAAAUACAUACACAAGUUCAGUAAAUAUUGAGAUAAUUAACUCUGCUAAACAUGGGCUAAAUAAAAGAGCUUUUAUUUUCUGUUGAAAAUUUGAGCUGUCACCCAUGAUUUAAAAAAAUUGUUGAAAGUAGCUUGUAUUUGCUACUUUCAGCACAAAAAAAAAAAAAAAAAAAAAAAGGAAGGAAAGAGAGAGAGAGAGAGAGAGAGGCAACCUUGCUACGUUACCAGCUAGAUUUUGCCACAUUUCUUGAUAUUGACAUUCUGUCAUUGGCCGGUUAAAAAGAAAAGGGACAAUUUUUGCACCAAUCACUUGCUACACUUCAUCUAUCAUUUGGAAUGUCUAGGGAUGGCAAUGGGCCGAAUCGGCCUUUAACUCACGAGCUCGGCUCGGGCUGAUGGCGAGCCUAGCUCGAGCUCGACUCGUUGCUUGGGGGAGCUCAGCCCAUGAGCUCGCGAGGCCGACCGUGUUAAGCAUAGGCGCGGAGAACACCCUUCUUUGGCAAUGCCCAAAAUUGCAAUGGAUUCCACCUUUACCGAGCCCACACGCAGCUCGCGAACUCGUGAUUUUUUUAAUAUUUUUUAAUUAUUAUUAUUAUUAUUUUUUUUUUUGUGUAAAUUUGCACAUUUUUUGACUUUUUUCUAUUCUUCUUCUUCUUCUUCUUCUUUUUUUUUUUGUAAAUUUACAUAUUUUUUGAUGAGCCCACAGCUUGUGGACUCGUCAAAAAUGGCUCGUGGGAUUGAGCCCCCUACUCGGCUCAAGCUCGAGCUCAUCAUUUGAUGAGCAUGAGCCACCCACGAGCCGAGCAUCCCCUCGACCCGUUUGACAUUCCUAUGAAUGUCAAAUUCAUUAGGCAAAGUGGCAUUAUCAACACAACUGGUUUAAUCGGUGUUGCGUUAGUCAAAUGGGAGGUUACAAUUAAUCAAUAAUAAUAAUAAUAAUAGUAAUAAUAAUAAAGUGUGGAUAAGUGAGAGAUUCGUUUUGGAUUUAAAUAUUCUUUUAACUCCUUUUUUUACUGUUGAUUUAAAUUUAGGUAAGAGUCUAAUUGUCAAAAAGGAUUAAUCGGGUUCUAGCCACUAAGAAUUUCAAAAAUUUAUUUUUGAAUCUUUUGCACUUUUUAAUUUUUUGUUAAUUUUUUGAUUUUUUAAUAAUUUAUUUGAGACUCAUUUGCAUUUAAAAAAAAUUCUAAUUUUUUUAAUAAUUUACUUAGGAUUCAUUUGAACUUUUUAAAAAGUAUGUGACUAUGGUUGCAAUAAUUUUUUAUUUUUGUUUUUUUGUUUAAAUAGGAGGGUAUAUUCAUAAUUUCAUGAUUUUUUUGUUGAGAAAUUGGAUGAAAAUCGAUAGAAAAUGAUGGUCCCAUUUAUACAGAUAUGGUAGAGGGGCCUUACAUUGGGCCUAGUGCCCAGGUGGUUUGGCCAAUAGUGGAAGGUAUGAUAGUAAGUGGACGAAAAGGGAAUUUUAGGAAAAAGAUCUUGGAGAUACCAUUGUUUCUUGUACAGAAGUUCCUAUAAAAAUGAUUUCCGACUGGCAUAGAAGUCUCUCGUGUGCCCCCUUGGGGGCUGGGGGGAGAAUUACCAUUCCUUUGCGUAAUCAAAGGUAUAAUUAAAGGUGAAAAUAUCAAAAAAUGAAAGGUGAUGUUUUUCACAAUAGUAGUGAAAGGAAUUAACAUUAUGUGUUAAUUACCAUUUUACUAAUUUAUUUUGAACUGGUUUGCAUUUUAUUUAAAAUGGUACUAUGAUUGCAAUGAGUUCCUUUUUUUCCCCUCUUUUUGUUUAAUUUAAAUUGAAAGAUAUAUUCGACACUUCGUAGCGUUUAAUUGAGAAAAUUGAUGAAAAAUACCUUUUGCGCAAUGAAAUGCGGAAAUGAUGGUAAAAAUGCCAAGAAAAUUGAAAGAUAAUGAUUUUUUCACAAUUAUAGUGAAAGUUAAGGACGAUAUAUGCUAAUAACAGUUUAGAAUACUGCUAAUUAUCAUUAUAAUAAUGGAACAUCGUGAUAUAACAAUUUAUGUGGAAUAAUGAUAUUGGAUAGUUCAAUUUUUACAAGAGAGAUGGGAGAUGUGGUCGAGAGAGAGAGAGAGAGAGAGAGAGAGAGAUAGUAGAUUAGUGUCUCUUGGUCUUGUGUAAUUUAAGUCUUUCAUAAUGAAUUAUUCCGUGUUCUUUUCAUAUAGACUUAUAGCAUAAUGAAUUAAGGUCUUUAUGUAAUUUUGUUAUACUAUUUUCUUUUAUUAAUUAUGCAAAUUUUAUUUAUAAAGCUUUGGUUUUAAAGCAUUAGGUAAAAAGUAUUUUCAAGAGACUCUCUAUUUUUGAAUAAUAUUUUCUAUUAUUUCGAGAUCAUUUAUAAAUUUAGAGAGUAAAAAUUUUAAAUACUCCAAAAUGCUCUUUAUUUUUAAUACUUAAUUUACUACUCUUAAUAUGUAUCUAUUAUUUUCACUAACUUCGCUUCAAAGUAUUAUAUUAAUCUCCUCCAUUUUCUUUGUAUAUAUUAUAUAUUUGGGUCAAUAUAUGUAACACUGAAAAUUGAAAUAUUUUGAUUGUAUUUAAUUAUAGAGAGUGAAUUUGAAUCUUGGAAGAUGAUUUGAAGAGUUGAUUUUUUAAAAUAUAGAGUAUUUCAUUUCUUGAAAAUGCUCUUAUUAUCCGUUCAUAAUUUUAGCCAAUUUCAUUUUGUUUUUGUGGUCCAACCCAGUGAAUUUGAAAUUCAUGUCCCAGACCCAUGUUGUUGCUAUUAAUUUAUUAACCAACUCCAGCAUGCUUGUAUUGCCACCAGCGACAAACAAUGCAUCCUAUUAGUUUGAAUCCAAAUAAUGUCAAUAUAGGGCUAAGUAGGUACUAGAACAAAACUUUAUUUUAAGGUACGCAUUUUAGAGUUUUUUUUUUUUUCAAACUAGAUAUCAAUAUUUUAAUUUUAUGUCAAUUAGAUAACUAAAUUUAAAUUUAAUUUCGAUUAAUGUAACUUUGUUCAAUUUCAUUAACAGUGAUGUGACCAUCAUUUAUUGAUGGUCAACACGUGGGGCCGUCAAUUGUUGAAGUGGAAUAAAUGUAAUAUGAGUGAAAUAAACUUUUUUUUUUUUUUUUUUUUUUUUUUUUUGGGGGUUUUCCAGCUCACGCGCACCUCGAUUAAUCCUAUGGGGCUCUGAAAUUUACACUGAAUACUCAUCUCAGUGGUCCUGAGAGGAUUCGAACUGAUGACCAUUGGGGAGCAAAUUCAAAGUCUGACCACUGAGCUUUCCCUCAGGAUUUGAGUGAAAUAAAUGACGAAAUAAUAUUAAUAACUGUUAGAUAACUAAUUUCUAUCUAUCUAGUAAAUAGAAUCAAAUGAACUUACCAAUUAUAUAUUUAAAUUAAAGUACACUUGUUCGAUGGGCAAAAUUAAACAAAGAGGAAUAAUGACAGACAUUUCACAUUUGAAUAGUUGAAUUGUGAUUGUGACACUAUCUACCUCAUAUGAUAGAAAUUUUGCUUAAAAUUACAUGUUUAAUUGUCAUGCUAAAGUGAGUACAGUAAACAUGUAAAAUUCAAGGAAAUAACUAUCGUUUAAUUUUCCACCACAAUUGAAAAUGACAUGAAGAGUGGGGGCCUUGAAGUUGUUUUUGAUUCGCAGGAAUACAAAAAAAUUCGUUGGAUAUGAAACUUCAGUCAUCAGUAUUAUUUGUUUAGGCUCACUGUUUCAACUUAAUUCUUUUCGUUUUCACAAGUCUUCGUCAAAAAAAUCCAAGUCAACUGUCGUGUUCAUCUUCACUUACGUUGCGUGUAAAUAAAUUAAUUGAAUUGACACAACCUCAGCAGAAAUUGAUUUCUCUAUUCUUCUUGGUUCUUCUGUUUGUUGUUGAGUUAGGCUGGCUAAUGGCGAAUCUAGAAAUUUGAAUCAGCACGAGCGGACGUCGACCGUAUUAAAUAGUGAUUUAAUGGAGAAUGUGUGGUUAAAAAUAAGGAUAAGUUUUGAAUUGUGUGUAAUAUUAUUUUAUUUAAAAAUGUGUGGUUAAAAAUACAAGAGAGAAAAAUAUAUUUUAAAAUAAAUGGGAAUCAAACAAGGUUUAAAAUUUAAAUACAAUAAUUUAUUUUGUUGAAUUUUUGUAAUUGCAUUAAAACCGCUUAAAUCUAAUAUAUAUAUUUUUUGUUUAAAUACUACCACAAAUCAAUAGUUGCCUUAGUGGUCACAUUCUCAACAAGUUGAACUAAACUUCGCAGGUUUGAAUCUCGUUGGCACCAGUUAUUAUUACAUUAAUUUUUGUAAAAAUAGUAUAAUUAAAAAUAUUUGUACUAUACAUUCAGUUGGCUAAAAAAAAUUUGAACCCGGGACCUCAAGGAUGUGUGUGCAAGCUCUAGCCAACCUGCCCUGAAGAAAUGUUGGAGAUAAAAGUAAAUUAUCAAUAAUAUAAUAUAAAUCAUUAACUGUCAACAACAAAAAAAAGGGCGAUCGACGGAUCCAGCACACGCGGCCAUGGGAGCUCGCCAGGUGCUGGAUCCACCACUGGCUGGCAUGGUUUUCUCAUGUAGCGCUGCUUCCAAUUUAGUUGUUUAUAUCUCUCUGUUGUUGGGUAAUUGCCUCAAAAGUCAUAAGUUGGAGGACUUUUAUUACAUAUAGUAAAAUGUAGUUAUUGUAUGGAAGACUUCUAAUUAAAGUUGAGAGCCUUGCAAAAUUUGUUCUCCAAUUUACGAUCGAUUUUGGAGUAUUGCACAUUAAGAAAUUCUUGUUGAGUUAAACGAGUCUUGUUUGAGUUUAAAUUGAACUCUUCUACUUGAUUAUUGAUCCUAUAAAUAAUGGAUGUACUUCAUUAUUUUAGGUGUGGCUAGAGAGUUGAUUUGACAGGAAAAUAUUGUGAGUCUAGUAUCUUGAUAUUUAUCUUACAUUGAGUAGAAAAGUAGGUGUAGUAAAGCUUGAGUAUGUUUAUUUUUCUUUGUAAUACUUGGGGAUUGGGUUGAUGAGUGAAAUUCUAUAUGAUUGUAACAAUUUUUCAUAUAGUGAAAUUCUAUAUGAUUGUUUAUUUUUCUUUGUAAUACUUGGGGAUUGUGUAUUAUAUUCUUUAUUUUUCAUGUUUGCUAAUAUUCUUUUGAACAACAAAAGAUCUUGCAGGUAAAUAGAAAUAAAGGGAAUCGGCAUGAAAUUCUCAACAAGUGGUAUCAUAGCAUCAAGUGGUUUGGAGUAUUGGAGCAAUAGAAAAAUAUGUCGUCGUUAAAAUAUAACAUGGAGAAAUUUGAUAAGAGAAUCAAUUUUGACUUGUAAUAAGUACAAGUGGAGGAUUUAUUGAUUCAAGCUGGACUAUAUAAGGCUUUGAAAGGAAACCCAACUAAGAGUUUUAGCAAGAUUGACAACUCCAUGAGGAAGAAAGUAACUUAUUGGAACUACCGUCAGACUGGCCACGUGAAGAGAAAUUGUCCAAAAGGUGGAGCAAGGUCGACUAACUGCUUGGGGAUCGAACAAUACGUCUUUCCUGAUGAAGGAGGAUGCGGAUGUGGUGUUGUAAAGUAAGAUGGGAAUAUCCUCAUAGCAUGUCGUCAGUUGCCAUAAUAGAGGAUGUGUUCUUACUGGUGCGGGUCAACAUAUAGGCACAUAGCAUUGACUGACAUUUGAUGCAAAGUGUGCAGGUAUGUGGUGGUAUUGUAAUAUCGAUGGCUGAUGAACUCUCUAGAAAAGUCAAUGGGAGAGUUGCACCAUAACUAUCAGCAGGGUUAUUUCGACAUGUAACCGAUAAAAUGCUUGAAGUUCACAAAUAAUUCUAAGUGGUUAUGCUCAUAGAGUGGAGUAUGGAACCGUUAAAGUGUGUCAAAGGCUUACCUAUUUUUCCAAAUAUUGUGAUUAAAAGUUGUAGAAGAGAUAACGAGAUUUUGACUCAUAUUCGGUAAGGUGUAGAUUGUUGGAUAAUUGCCUCAGAAGUCAAAAGUUGGAGGAUUUAUAUUGCAAAUAAUAAAAAUGUAGUUAUUGUAUGGAAGAUUUCUAAUUAAAAUUGAGAUCAGAAUCCUUGCAAAAUUUAGUCUUCAAUUUACAAUCAAUUUUGAAGUCUUGCACACGAAGAAAUCCUCAUUGAGUUAAAAGAGUAUUGUUUGAGUUUAAAUUAAACUCUUCUAUUUGGUUCUUGAUCCUAUAAAUAGUGGAUGUAUUUCAUUAUUUUGAAUGUAGCUAGAGAGUUUAUCUGAGAGAAAAAUAUUGUGAGCCUAGCAUCUUGAAACUUUUUGUACAUUGGGUAAAAAAGUAGGUAUAGUAAAACUCGACUUUUUUUUUUUUUUUUUUUAAUAUUUUGAAAUUUUAUAUGAUUGUAACAAUUUUUCAUAUAUUGAAAAGUUUUAAUAGUCUGUUUAAUUUGUGCGUUAUAUUCUUUAUUUUUCAUGUUUGCUAAUAUUCUCUUGAACAACUAAAGAUCAUGCGGGUAAAUAUAAAUAAAAAGAAUUGGUGUGAAAUUCCCAACAAGUGUUGGGCCGGAGACUUGUUGGGUGGUUUUGAAUCUCUCUCACUCCAAAAGUUACUUCAAGAGAUGAUGCUUUCCCUCACAAUUAUAAACUGAAUGCCAACUCAUCUAGAACUAAUGUGAUAUAACCUCAACAAUCUCCUCCUUACACAUCGGACUUUGUGGGAGACUAAACACAUCUCCUCCUCACACAAACCCGUAUCUCCAUGACUAUUGGAUUGAAGACUUAUUGAUAAAUCGGGCUCUGAUACCAGUGUUGGGUGGUAUUGAACCUCUCACACUCCAAAAACUAGCUCAAGAUGUGAGAUUUUUCCUCGUACUUAUAAACUGAAUACCAACUCAUCCACAACUAAUGUGGAACGACCUCAACAUCUGUUUCAUCUAUAUAUCCAUCAUUUGAUUGAUUCACAAUGUCCAAGGUAGUUCUAGUGUGGAAAUCUUGGCAAUUUGAAAUUUCCUCUGGCCAAUUCUUCAGGAUGUGGAUUGUUCACGGUUCACUGCAGUGCUCGGCUGAAUCCAAAAAUUCCCCUGGAUAAUUAUAGGCCCUAUGAGAUUCUGAAAAAGUCAUAUCCCAAUCAGUUAUUUAUUCGAAAUCAAUUUCUUCAUCGUGUUUUAUAUAGUAAUAAUUAUGAGGAAAGGUGCCACUUAUUUUUUGAUCCCCCUACGCUACUCCUUCUAUUUCGAUUUCAUUCUUCCCCAAUAUCACUUUGUUCGGAUGCACCAAAGAUAGGAACUACGACAAUGAGAUACCUAAUAUCCAAGAAAUUUAAUUCUUAAGUUACAACAACCAGAACCAUAGAACUUUAUAUUCUAAGACCUAGAAUCGAUUUGAAACAGAACCAAAGCGAACUAGCUGAUUUUACUUGGUUCUAGAUCGUUGGUCUUGGAUAAAAUUUCAUGCACUUAGGUAACAUAUUAUAUUACUUAUAUGGUAAUUACCUGUUUUAUAUGUUGGGUAACUUAUUGGGAGUAAUUAUGUUAUCGAUGUUAACUCCUAUCAUCAAUAUCAAUAUCAAUAUCAAUAUCAGAUUGCAGCCCCAAAAUGUGAGUACCACCAUUAUUGUCACUCUAAACCACCACCUUCUAAACAGUCAAAAUCAGCACCACCAUAUCCUCCAACCACUGCUACGCCAACAUAAAACCAUAACUAUCACGAUGGAAAGCUUUAGAAACACAAUAAUGAUUCCAAUAUGAAAAUAUUUGAUGAAUGGUAGUUGUGUUUGUUGCACGAAGUUUACGAUGAUAAAAUUGGAGAAGCGAUAAAUGUUGAGAAUGGUGAGUUUGGUGGCAAUUGGAUUGAGAUUCCAGUAACGGUGGCGGUAUAAGACAACAACAAUGUGGGAGCUUUUUGGUACAAUGGCGGAGAAGAUAACGAGAGGAGGUCGUUGAUUUGAGAAUUUUGAAUUGGGUGUGAUACGUUGCGACAGUGAUCCAACAUUAUUGGGGUGCUAGUUUGGAAUAAUGUUAUUUAUUAUUAUGAUGACGGAACAUCAAUGAUGUGGUAGUCUAUAUGAAAUAAUGGGAUUGGACAGUCUAAUUUUUAUGAAAGAGGAGAGAGGAGAUGUGGUCUCAAGAAAGAGAGAAAUGUGAGAGAUAAUGGGUUGUCGUAUCAUUGAUAUUCCAUCAUCAUGGUGAUAAAUAACAUUACUCGCUAGUACAGUGUUUUGUUGGAUAGGAAUUUGACAAGAAUGAAGGCAUGUUUGAAACUUUUUAAAUUAGAACUCUUUAUUUCUCAUAUUCAUUUUCAUUCACACAUUAAAAUAUUAUGUAGUAAACAAAAAAAAAAAUUCCUAUAUUUUAAUCACAUAUUUUUCAAAAAAUUACUAUUUGAAACAUCAUUUUCCUCCAAUUUCUAUUUAUAGUUUUCAUCAAACAGGGGCUUAGAAUAAGUUUAUAUAUAUAUAUAUAGUUACAGGUAAAAAUCUGUAAAACAUAAAAGGGAGUUAUUUUUUCAAUUUUCGCAAGAAAAGUGAGUCUCCAACCUUAGAACAUAUCUAAUGGACUUAAAGAUUAUAUUUUAAAAUUUAGAGAUCAUCUAUAAAUUUAGAGAUUAAAACUCCAACUUACUCUUUACUUUAAUACUUAAUACUUAAUUUACUACUUAAUAUGUAUUUAUUAUUUUUCACAUAUAUUUUAUUUUCGCUAGCUUCCCUUCAAAGUAUUUUAUUAUUUUCCUUCAUUUUCUUUGUAUAUACUACUUAAUUGGGUGCAUUGAAAUUGAAGUAUUUUGGAUUGGGAAAACUCAAACAAAGAGAAAUAAGGUCAGACAUUUCACAUUUGAAUAGUUGAUUUGUGAUUGUGACACUACCUACCUCAUACGAUGGAAAUUUGCUUAAAAUUACUUUUUUAAUUGCCGUACAGUAAAAAUGUAAAAUUCAAGGAAGUAACUAUCGUUUAAUUUUCCACCACAAUUGGAAAUGACACGAAGAGUGGGGCCUUGAAGUUGUUUCUGACUCGUAGGAAUACAAAAAAAUUCGUUGGAUACGAAACUUCGCUCAUCCGUGUUAUUUGUUUAGGCUGACUGUUUCAACUCAAUUCUUUUCGUUUUCACAAGUCUUCAUGAAAUAAAUCUAAGUCAACUGCCGUGUUCACUUUCACCCUGACUUACGUUGCGAGUGAAUAAAUUUAUUGAAUUUAGACAACCGCAGCAGAAUUUGAUUUCUCUAUUCUUCUUCUUCUUCUUCUUCUUCUUCUUCUUCUUCUUUCUGUUCGUUGUUGAGUUAGGCUGGCAUGGUUUUCUCCCGUAGGGCUGCUUCCAGUUUAGUUGUUUAUGUCUUUCUGUUUCAUAUAUAUAUCCUUCACUCGGUUGAUUCUCAAUGCCCAAGGCAGUUCCAAUGUGGAAAUCUUGGCAAUUUGGAGUUUCCUCUGGCCAAUUCUCCGGGAUGUGGAUUGUUACCGGUUGACUGCGGUGCUCUGCCGAAUCCAAUAAUUCACCUGGAUAAUUAUCCGUUUUCACCAUCCUAUGAGAUUCUGAAAAAGUCAUCUCCCAAUGAAUUAUUUAUUCGAAGUCCAUUUCUUGAACGUGUUUUACAUAAUAAGGAAAUAUGCAAUUUAUUUCUUCGUCCCCCUAUGCCACACUUUCCUUCUAUUUCGAUGUCGUUCUUCCCCAAUAUCACUCUCUUUAAAUGCGCAAAAUAUAUAAACUACGACAAUGAGAUACCUCAAGAUAUUUAUGGAAACUACGAUGGUUGUGAUUCCUUCAAUAUAUACUACCCCAAGUCGAAUGGAAGUCUUCCGCCCCCCAAAGGCUGUUCAGCUCUUCCCUUGCCAAGCAAUUUACAAUGUAACUCAGAUUCAUUGGACUUGUUCUACCGGUUAAGCGCUGAUUAUCAUCUAGAAUGGAAUGUGUCUGUAGAUUGUCUUAAUUGCCACAGAGGAGGAGGAAACUGUACAACUAAAACAGAUAAUGAAUUUCGAUGUGAAAAAGGUACCAUCAGCCUUUGAACAUGGGUGAUCGCAAGUCAUCCCUCUACAAAUGUUCUUUUGAUUUGUACUUUUGCCCGCAAUCCAGAACAGGGUUCAAGCGAUUUAAACUUUAAAACAUAUAGAAUUGUUUGAUUAUAUGUCACUGACAAUUUAUCACGUGAUCGCUUUAUGCCAAUCCUCACGAGUACAGUUGAUUAUAUCCUUCCCUUAUAUAGAUAUGUUCUUCAUGCCUUGUUGCGGUUUUCAUUUUUCUUUCUUCAAUUGAGCUUGAACUGACAUGUUUGCACGUUGACUAUAGUUACAAAGAAAAGGAGGGAUUUCAAGAUGAUUCUAGCCGCAGGUAAACGUGGUAAAUUUCAGUAACAUUUCUUUUGUUUUUUGAUUAAAAAACGUAGUUGUCUUCUUUCAUCACAGGUGUUUUAGCUGCAGCGGUAGUCCUCAUCUUCAUAAUCUUGUUCACUUUCACUAGGAGGAAUUACAUGCUGAAUUUGAAGGGGAAAACUCAAAACCAAAAGGACAUUGAACUCUUCCUGAAGAACAACGAGAAGCUUACACCAAAAAGAUACAACUAUUCUGAUCUUAAGAAAAUGACUAACUCAUUCAGUGACAAGUUAGGGAAAGGUGGCUUUGCUAGUGUUUAUAAGGGAAAGUUACCCGAUGCCCAUCUUGUAGCAGUAAAGAUUUUGGAAGAAUCAAAAGGCAAUGGAGAAGAAUUUAUCAAUGAGGUAGCAAGUAUCAGUAGAACUUCCCACGUUAAUGUUGUCACUCUCCUGGGAUUUUGCUUUGAGGGUUCCAAAAGAGCUCUCAUUUACGAGUUCAUGCCCAAUGGAUCCCUUGAGAAGUUCAUAUGCAGCAAUAUCUCCAAAGCAGAACGUCAAUUAGAAUGGGAAAAAUUGUUUCAAAUUGUAGUUGGCAUUGCUCAUGGAAUAGAAUACUUACACAAAGGAUGUAAUACACGGAUUCUGCACUUUGACAUAAAGCCUCAUAACAUUCUUCUUGAUAAAGACUUCAUCCCUAAAAUAUCGGAUUUUGGCUUGGCUAAACUUUGUCCCAACAGGUCCAGUAUAGUGUCAAUGUUAGGGACUAGAGGAACAAUAGGAUAUAUUGCUCCAGAAAUAGUUUAUAGAAAUGUUGGAGACAUUUCUUACAAGUCAGAUGUCUAUAGCUAUGGUAUGAUGGUUUUGGAAAUGGUUGGAGAGACAAAAAAUACUGAUGUUAGAGUUGAUCGUUCAAGUGAAAAAUAUUUUCCUGAUUGGAUCUAUGAGCACCUCGAACAGAAUUUUGAAUUUGAUUUUAACCGAGUUGUAAACGAAGAUGAAGUUUUGAAAAAGAAAAUGGUAAUAGUUAGCUUAUGGUGCAUACAAACUGAUCCUACAACUCGACCAUCAAUGAACAGGGUUAUAGAAAUGUUAGAAGGGAAUGUGGAAUCUCUUCAAAUCCCACCAAAACCCUACUUUUUACAGCCAAGAGCAGCAGCAAAUUUUUCAACUACUGAGUCGUCAGUCACUCUCUCCUAAGUUCA
rnacentral:lncRNA from 1 species